GAACCUCGAGUGAAGGUAGGGCACUUAAAAUUGGAAUUGUUCUCAAAUCAUUCCAUCCAACAUCCGUAAUUUCUUCAAUCCUAGUAAGUCUUGAAAGCCUACAUUAUUAAUAAAUAAAUAAUAUUCAUAUGUUUUGCUUAUGGAUUUGAAAGUUAUACUCGUAAUUAAUUUUAGGUUAUUGGGCAUAUAGAAAUAUGGAUAAGAAUAUCCAAGACAAUAAAAUAUUUCAAAAUAGUUUUAAAUAUAACUUAAUUAUCUGAAGCAAAUAUUUGUAAAUGUUAUUGCAGAAUCAAAGCAGGGGUAAUUAAGAUUACCUUAAUUAUAUAUUGUGAAAAAAAAAACUAGUUUAUGUCAAUUUGAUUGUGAAAAAUUACAAUAAAGAAUAAUAAUAGGAAGGAGAAAAUAAGAAAACAAAAAUAUAAAAUGUAGAAUUUACAUAACAAUUUACGUUUUCAACCAAAAGCCUAUAUAAAUUGGUUCUAUUCAAUUUGAUUAGAAAACAAAAUAGUUUAUGUCAAUUGCAAAUAAACUUAAAAUGCCUAAAAUUUGGUAUGCAAGUUAGAAGGCAUUAUAAGCUAUUGUAGCUUACUUAAGCCCAUCAUUCUACUACAACACCUUCCUCUGAUUCUCCGUUCUUAAAUACAUUAUCUGGAAUUUUAUAGAAAACAGGUUGUAGCUGGUGUUAUUGCUUCCCUGGGCAGCCUAUCUUGCUUAUGAUUUUUAUAGUUGGGAGCUGGUGAUAUUAAAUAAGACUUGUCCUGAAAUUUAUUUAUUUUUGAAAUUCUAAUUUAGGUUCCUUGCGUUCCCAUCCAAGCGAAAAAUAUUUGAUGCAGCCCACGCCCAAUCCAUUGUUCCUGGCCCAAGGCCCAGGCUUAGUUAUCAGAGCCGAGGCCUUAUGAUUGCAUGUGGGCCUUUUGCCAACUCUUGGGCCGGCUAUAUAUAAAUGAAAGAUUCAUUUACAUAGCCUAGAGGCCAGGGUAUCAAACCCCUACAUGGUGUGGGUACAGAAACUGCACGGACAGUCUUUGCGAUGGCUUCUUAUUUUUGUUUUAAACCGUCACAAUUUUUAGACAUAAAAACUCUUAUUGAGCAUGAAAAAGAGUUUUUUAACUUUUUAAAAAUCAGACAAACAAGCCCCCUAAGGCACAUAAAAGCACUUUUGUUUCUUACCAGUUACCACAACUCCUACUCAAAUUGCUUACCAAUUGUUCAAAAAAGUAACAAGCUAGUUGAAAAAGUAUAAUAAUACACUAAUUUCCUGGGCAACACACAAUCUAAUCUUACAUUAAAAGUAUUUAAAGAGAGAUGAAAAAAGGAUGGAGAGAAGACCAAGAGAAGAAAUAACAAAUAGUUGUAAGAAUACUAUAAUUGCCACUUAUUAUUACUGUUCCAAGUUAAAAUUGAAAUCGAUUGAAAUUUCGUAUUCUUGGAUUUCACUUAAAUUGAGCUAGCAUAUUCAAAAAAUUAAGGAACCCAUAAAGAAGACAAUAAAAGAUGGACUACUACCCAAUAAACUUAAUAUUCAUUUUUUUAAAAAAGUUAAUAAUUAGAGAAAUUUUAAUGAAAGAUGGAAAAAAAUUAGAAAGGUGGUAAAUGGAGUGUAAAACAUAGAAGAAAGGUGCCUUAGGUAUAAGGAAAGUGAUGUUAUUUAAUGCCACAAAAAUACUAAAGCUUAGUUUACCUUCCCUAAAAUACUAAUUUUAAAUUUAUACAAAAAAAAAAUCAAAUAUAAAAAAUAAACCUUUUUAUACCAUAAAUAAAUAAAACAAAUUUUUGUUAUUUUAUCUUCAAAUUCUAUUAAACUAUUGAUUGGAAACCUAAAAAUUAUAUUGAUAAUAUUUUAAUGAUCUGUUUUUUAUUUUUUUUAAUUCUUUGUAUACUAAUUAAAUACAAAACAAAUAUUUAAAUAAAAUUUUAAAUAUUUUUAAACACUAUCGUAUUAAAAAAAAAAUCAUACAUGUAUAAUUAUUUCAUUUAUAUUCUUAAAUAAAUUGAAAUUAUGUAGAUCAUCAUUUUAUUAUGAAAAAAAAAAAUCAAGAGACUAUUAUAUAUAUAUAUAUAUAUAUUUUAGUCUUUUUUUAAAUCAAAAUUUUGAUUGGAUAUUUCAAUCAUGAAAUACUUGCACCUACAUUUAUUAUACAAGUACUAACUGAACUUGUUCCUCCUUAUCUUUACCAUUUUCCCCAUCUUGUUAAUUAUUUUUUACAAUUUUCAUUGAAAUUUUACUUUCUACAUAUCUAAAUUAUUUUCUCCAUUCCACACGCAAAUAAUUUAUGGUAAAUUGGUAAUCACUUUCUUUUGAAUUUUUUUUUGUAGACUUUUGAGGAGCUGGUGAGCUCUACCCCUCUACCCCUACAGAUAGUUGUGUUCUUUAUAAUGGGUUGGGCAUUGGGUUCCCUUAAAAUCCAUAUGUGUAUCAUUCUAUUUAUAAGGUAGAUGUGUAUCAUUUCUUAUUCUGUGAAAUUUCUUUUUUCACACAUAAUCAAUGGAAUACUACCCAUUAAACUAUUAAACAUUAGAUUCAACACCUCCAACAUGCUCAAAUAUUUUAGUUUUAUCAAACAAUGAUACAAAGGUUAGUGUUAGGAGUGCACGGAAGAUAUACCACAUGCUUUUAUUAGAGUUAAGAUGCACACACCUUGCAAUUGGGAAGAAUUUAUAUGAUUGAAGCUAAGAUCCAAAACCUUGAGUGAAGGUAGGGCACUUAAAUUUGGAAUUGUUGUCAAAUCAUUCACUCCAACAUUCAGAACUCGUAAUUUUUUCAAUCUUAGUAAGCCUUGAAUGCCUGCAAUAUUAAUAAAUAAAUAAUAUUUAUACUUAUUGCUUGUGGAUUUGAAAGUUCCAACUAAUUUUUAGUUAGUGGGUAUAAUAGAAACAUUGAUGAUAAUAUGCAAGACAAUAAAAUAUUUCAAAAUAGUUACUACAAAAUUAAACAAAGAGUAAUUGAGAUUACCUUAAAAUUUUAGCUGAGAAUAUUAAGGACUAAAAUGAAUAAAAACUAGAGUAUGAGGAUGUGGAAAAAAAGAAGAAAAAAAAAAUGAUAAUAUAUAUUGUGAAAAACCAUGACAAAGGAUAAUAACAGUAAUUAUUUAAUUCUUUUAUUAAUAAUGAUGAGAAAGUAAAAUUUUCCUCAUUACUUCUAAUGAAUUAAAGUAAAAGAUUUAAUCCCUAGCUCUCGUAUACAAUAUUAUAAAUAAUUAAUAACAUUAAUAUAUAUAUUUAGAGUAUAGAAAUGAGGUAGUACUGUACAGUGGAAUAAAAAAAAAGGAUUUUAAAUUAAUAAAAAAUUAUUUUUUAUUUUUAACUUCUUUCAUCUUUCGAAUAAAUAAUUUUUUUCUUCAACAUUAGAUUAAACCAGCCUAAAAUAUUUUGUCAAAAAUUAUGAUGAUUUUUCAAUCCAUGUAGUCAAAAGUCAAUCAUAUUAAUUUAUGGAAGAUGGAAUGAUAAUAUAUUAAAAAAACAUAGGCAUGAGAGAGAGCCACCAACCUGUCAAUUCGUUCAAAGACAGAUCUAAAAUUUGAAGCUGUUGGAAGGGAAGAAGUAGGGAGGCAUUCAAGGACCACUUUCCGAACUCAAAGUGUCUGAUAUCAAUGAGAGAAAGUCGGGUCACUCGGUUUGUUUUGUUAUGACAUGUGACAUAUUCCCAUCUGCAACAAUCACCAACCUCUGCUCCCCAAGAAGAAAGGGCUGUGCCAUUUGGGUGAUUGAAGGAAGCUUUAAGUUGCAAAAGACCAACUUUUUCUUCCUCCAUGCACCCUAAACUUCCAUAACCAAGUAGUAGACUUAAGAAAGUCCCAUAAAGUACUGCAAGAUACAAACAGGAAGGGACUUCCAUCUUUCAGCUCCCAGUUUGCUAUUGACUGUCGAAUGUAUAUAUUCUCAUACUUAGGGAUGGGGUUUAAGUACAUGGCAGAUGACGGUCAAUUCAAAGUUAGAAAUUUUGCAGCUGCCGAGUUUGAAAUUUUGAGUGGCUAAGAUACUUCCAUUUAAGAUAUUUGUAUAAGACUUUAACUUAUUAUAAAAUUUUGAUUCUAUCUCUUUUCAAUUUUAAAUUCAAGUUAAAAUUGAGAUCAAUCAAAAUUUCAUAUUUCUAGAUUGCACAUAAAUUGAGCGAGUUAACAAAUUCAAAAAUUUAAGGAACCAAGAAAUUGGAUUUGGAUAAUAAAAGUUGGACUACCUAAUCAACUUAUUUUACAUAAAGAGUAAUAUUCAUUUUAAAAAAAAAUUAAGACGUAGAUAAAUUUUAAUGAAAUAUGAAUUGGUAAAUGGAAGUGUAAAAUAAACAAAAAAAAAGUAAUAGAAAUAAGGGAAAUCAUGUUAUUUAAGUGCAACAAAAAUACAAAAAUCAGGUUAGUUUACCUUUCCUAAAAUACUAAUUUUAUAUUUAUACAAAAAUGAUCAAAGAUCAAAAAAGAACUCUUUAUACUAUAAAGAAAUAAAUAAAACAAAUUAUUGCUAUUUUAUAGUCAAAUUCUAUUAAACUAUUGAUUAGAAAUCUAAAAAUCAUUCUGAUUAUCUAUUAUUCAACUGGUUUUUUUAUUUAUUUAUUUCUUCUUGUAGUGAUUAAAUACAAAACAAAUAUGUAAUUAAGAUUAUAAAUAUUUUUUAACACUACUGUAUUAAAAACGGUUUAUAAUUUUUAUUACUUAUUUUAUAAUUUUAUAAUUUUUUUUUAAUGUUUUUGUGAGCUUUAAUUUUUAUUUCAAAAUUUAGAUUCUAUAUUUCAAUAAAAUUCAAUCAUGAAAUCCUUGCACCUAACUUCAUAGGAGCGAACAUGUUUCUCCUCUUUACUAUUUUCCCUAUCUUAUCAUUGAAGUUCUACUUUCUACACGUCUUACUAGGUUCAUUCCACAUGUAAAUAAUCCAUGGUAAAUUGAUAAUCACUUUCUUUUGCAUUUCUUUUCCAGACUUUUGGGGAGUUGGCGAACUCUAUCCCCAGACAUAGUUAUCAUCUUUAUGUCACUCAUGGCCCAUAUUAUUCAUUCUCUUAUUAUUUAAUUUUUUUUCCACAUCUUUGACUUAAUCAAAUUGAUGUUUAGUUCUAUCUCCAACAAUGGUUACACAAAUUCCACAUCUUUUGAUCUGUCUUCCACACAAAUUUCAUCCUCUUAAAAAUUUCCACAAACCUUUAUAUCCAAUUCUAUCCUCUUAAAAAUUUCCACAAACUUUUAUGUCAAUUUCAUAGUUAACCCAAUUCCACACGGUAGUCUUCUCUUUCCAUCAUCAGUAGGGCACUGGAAAUCCGUUGAGAGAAUUUAGAGUGAUAAUGAAUUUAUGACUCCUUCAAUCUUUUGUCAUUUUCCUCCUUUUAAUUUAUGCGUUUUAAUUUAUAAUAUUAUUUCUAUAAAUAUUAUUAAUUUUUUUAUUAUUAUAGUUGACAAUUAACAAUAAUAAUAACAUUUUAUAAUAUUAUUAUUUUUAAUUUUAUUAUUACUAGUAUUAUUAUUCUUAAAAAUGCUAUUAAUUUUAUUAUUAUUUCAAUUUAUUCUUUUCUUUUAAUGCUUAUAAUUAUUAAUGCUACUACUUAGUAUUAUUUAAAAAAAUUAUAUAAUAUGACUAUUAUUACUAUGGUUCUUAAAAAGAAAUAUUAUUAAUUUUGUUUUAUUCAUUGUGAUUACUUUCCUUUGAUUUAGACUCUCUUUGAAGAUUCAAAGUGACUACAAAAUUAACUUGAGAUAACAUAGGUAAAUAAGGUUGAGAUAAUUGGGAAUAAUGAUGUAGAAGGUAUAAAAUAAAGUUAUAUGGAAAUUUGAGAAAAAAUUAAUUUGAAAAAGAAGUUUAAAUUGAGAAUUUAAAAAGGAAUUUAAAAAAAAAAAAACUCUUUGAAUUUUAAAAAACAUCUUUUCAAAUAUUUCCAAAAUUUGCUAAGUUUCCUAAAUUAUUUUCUUAAUAAAAUAUAUUUACUAAAUCAAGUCUAAAUCCACUAAUAUUUAUUUAAUAUAAAUAUGCCUCUUGGAAGAGUCCUCAUAAGAACUUGCAUGUUUAAGUUUUAAGUAAUUAUUCUUUGCAAGAUUUGAAAUUCUUAAAAAGGUGUUCAUUUUCAUCUUUGGGUUCAUGAAAUAAAUUCAUAUUCCCUCAGGGUGUUGAUGAGUUUAUUAAAGAGCACAGUGGUAUUGCCUCAUGAAAGUGGGAUUAAGUAUAGGUUUUGGGAUGUAAGUCUCAUGAAGUAAUAGUCUUUGACAACAUGGUUUUUAAAUCUACAAAGUCUCUAGAAGAAGGCUUUAUGGAUGGUUUUUCACCUAUAUCCUACGUCAUUGUAUGUGAUUGAAAUUCUUGUAUUGAUUAUUAAUUUUCAAUCUAAUUAAAGAAUUCAUCAUAAAAAAUAAAAAUUGGUAAACUUUAGGCUAAUUGAAUAAAAGACUAUCCAUCCCUUCACACCUGAUCAAGUAAUUUCAUAAAACAAAAUCAUAAACCUUCAAUUAGUAUUAAAGUAGGGGAAAGUUUUAAAAUCAAUUAAUGCAAGCAAAUAUACGUUUUUGUUUUUAGGAAUAAAAAACUAUUUUUCAUAAUUUAGUUUUAAAAUACUAAUUUGUUCUUAAUUAAAACACUAAAAAAACCAUUCUUAAAAGUUAUUUUUUAGAACUACUUUCAAAAACACCUCCUUAAUCAUUUUAGUUGUUUUUUGCUACUUUCUAAUGAUUAUUUUAAAAGAUAAUUAUACAAAUGUAGAAAAUGAUAAAAAUAAAGCACUAUAGAUAAAAAUUAUUUAAAAAUAUAAAAAAGAAGUUCCCAACAGAUUUUUAUUUUAUAAAAUAAUUUUUAAAGGCUUCCAAACUAUUUUUGAAAAUACUUUCCAAAAAAAAUUGAGGAGUAUUUUCUAUAAAUUUUUUUGAAGGAAAUUUCUACCAUUUUGCCCGUUUUAUUAAAUUCUCUCUUACAUUUUUUAGUUACUACUUUCCACGCCUCUAAAUUAGUCAAAGUCAACAGGUAAAUGAUCUUUCUUCUUUUCCCAUUUUGUUUGUGUUCUUUCGUAUUCAUUUUCUUUUGAUUUUUUUUUCCAUUGGCUUUCCAGGAAUUCGUUAUCGUCUUUAUGUCGUUCGUGGCCCACAUUAUACUUGCCCAAAUCCCACGCAUGCUGAUCUGUCUUCAUGGUCAUAUUUAAUUCUAUGGCCCAUAAUAUUCAUUAUUUUAAAAUUGUCCACAAAUUCCACACGUUGUUGUCAGUCUUUGCUGGCUUUGCGUUCUCUUUUGACUCCAAUGCACUUCAUCUUCAUCAUUAAUAGGGUACCCACAGUGAAUGAUAGCUCUAAAGAGAAAAGGUUAAUGGAAUAGGCAGAAAACUUCAAUUUUGUACCGUUGAAUUUUUACACUAUAUACACAUAGAGAAGAGACAAAAGGGAAACAAAGACUAUUCAUUUUAGAUUAAGAGUAAUAUUCAUUUAAAAAAAAUUAAGAAUUAAAGAAAUCUUAAUGAAAGAUGAAAAAAAAAAUUAGAAAGUUGGUAAAUGGAAGUAUAAAAUAGACCAAAAAAAAAAAAAUAGUGCUUUAGAAAUAAGGGAAAUCAUGUUAUUUAAGUGUAACAAAAAUACAUAAGGUUAGUUUACCUUCCCUAAAAUAUUAAUUUAUAUUUAUACAAAAAUAUCAAAUAUUAAAAUAAAACUUUUUAUACUAUAAAUAAAUAAAUAAAUAACCUUUUUUUGUUGUUUUAGGUUUGAAUUCUAUUAAACUAUUGAUAGGAGAUCUAAAGAUAAUUUUGAUAAUAUUUUAUUCAACUGAUUUUUUUUUUCUUUUUAUAGUGAUUAAAUACAAAACAAAUAUAUAAAUAAAAUUAUAAAUAUUUUUAAACACUGCCGUACUAAAAACGGUUUAUAAUUUUUAUUACUUGUUUUAUAAUUUUUAACUUUUUUAAUGUUCUUGUGAACUUUAAUUUUUAUUUCAAAAUUUAGAUUUAAUAUUUCAAUCAAAUUCAAUGAUAAAAUCCUUGCACCUACCUUUAUACAAGUCAGCGUGUUUCUCCUCUUUACCAUUUUCCUCAUCUUAUCAUUGAAGUUCUACUUUUUACGUGUCUAAAUUAAUUGGUACAUUUCACACGUAAAUAAUCCAUGCUAAAUUGAAAAUAAUUUUCUUUUACAUUUCUUUUCCACCACACAUAACUCUAUUGUUUAUCAUGUUUAUGUGGCUGAUCAUGACACAUUAUUUAUUGUCUUAUUAUUGAAUUUUUUUCCACACCUUUGACCUAAUCAAAUUGAUGUUAAUGGUUACACAAAUUCAGCGUCUUCUAUCUUGUCUUCUAUACAAAUUCUAUCAUCUUAAAAAUUUCUACAAACCUUUAUGUCCAUUUCAUGAUUUAACCAAUUCCACACGCUAGUCUUCUCUCUCCAUCAUCAAUCGGGUGCCAAAUAGAGUGACAAUGAAUUAUGACUCAUUCGAUCCUUGCCAUUUUCCUCCUUUUAAUUUAUGCUUUAAAUUAUUAUUAUUAUUAUUAUUUAUAUAAAUAUAAUUAAUUUGUUAUUAUUAUAGUUGACAAUUGACAUUUUAUAAUACUAUUAUUUUUAAUUUUAUUAUUACUAGUACUAUUAUUCUUAAAAAUGCUAUUAAUUUUAUUAUUAUUUCAAUUUGUUCUUUUCUUCUAAUGCUUAUCAUUAUUAAGGCUACUACUUAGUAUUAUUUAAAAAAAUUAUAUAAUAUAACUAUUAUUACUAUGGUUAUUAAAAAGAAAUAUUAUUAAUUUUGUUUUAUUCAUUGUGAUUACUUUCCUUUGAUUUAGACUCUCUUUGAAGAUUCAAAGUGACUACAAAAUUAACUUGAGAUAACAUAGGUAAAUAAGGUUGAGAUAAUGGGGAAUAAUGAUGUAGAAGGUAUAAAAUAAACUUAUAUGAAAAUUUGAAAAAAAAUUAAUUUGAAAAAGAAGUUUAAAUUGAGAAUUUUAAAAAAAAAACUCUUUGAAUUUUAAAAAACAUCUUUUCAAAUAUUUCCAAAAUUUGCAGUUUCCUAAAUUAUUUUCUUAAUAAAAUAUAUUUACUAAAUCAAGUCUAAAUCCACUAAGAUUUAUUUAAUAUAAAUAUGCCUCCUGGAAGAGUCCUCAUAAGAACUUGCAUGUUUAAGUUUUAAGUAAUUAUUCUUUGCAAGAUUUGAAAUUCUUAAAAAGGUGUUCAUUUUCAUCUUUGGGUUCAUGCAAUAUAUUCAUAUUCCCUCAAUGUGUUGAUGAGUUUGUUAAAGAGCACAGUGGUAUUGCCUCAUGAAAGUGGGAUUAAGUAUAGGUUUUGGGAUGUAAGUCUGAUGAAGUAAUAGUUUUUGACCACAUGGUUUUUACAUCCACAAAGUCUCUAGAAGGCUUUAUGGAUAGUUUUUCACAUAUAUCCUAUGUCAUUGUAUGUGAUUGAAAUUCUUGUAUUGAUUAUUCAUUUUCAAUCUAAUUAAAGAAUUCAUCAUAAAAAAUAAAAAUUGGUAAACUUUAGGCUAAUUGAAUAAAAGACUAUCCAUCCCUUCACACCCGAUCAAGUAAUUUCAUAAAACAAAAUCAUAAACCUUCAAUUAGUAUUAAAGUAGGGGGAAAGUUUUAAAAUCAAUUAACGCAAUUAGAUAUACGUUUUUGUUUUUAGGAAUAAAAAACUAUUUUUCAUAAUUUAGUUUUUAAAUACAAAUUUGUUCUUAAUUAAAACACUAAAAAAUCAUUCUUAAAAGUUAUUUUUCAGAACUACUUUCAAAGACACCUCCUUAAUCAUUUUAGUUGUUUUUGGCUACUUUCUAAUGAUUAUUUUAAAAGAUAAUUAUAUAAAUAUAAAAAAUGAUAAAAAUAAAGCAUUAUAAAUAAAAAUUAUUUUAAAAUAUAAAAAAGAAGUUCCCAACAUAUUUUUAUUUUAUAAAAUAUUAAAAUUAUUUUUAAAAAUAGUUUUCAAAAGCUUCCAAACUAUUUUUGAAAAUACUUUCCAAAAAAAAUUGAGGAGUAUUUUCUAUAAUUUUUUUUUCAAGGAAAUUUUGUUAUUCACUAUUUUAGAAAAUUUGAUCAAUAAGUACUUUUCCUAGGGACAUCAGUCAAGCCAUGUUGCCUAUCAUCCACAGCAAUAAAUACUUUUCCAUUUUUGUUGACUUCAAUUGAUGUCAACCUCUACCUCCAACAAUGGUUAUACUUGCCCAAAUCCCACGCAUGCUGACUGUCUUCAUGGUCAUAUUUAAUUUUGUGGUCCAUAAUAUUCAUUAUUUUAAAGUUGUCCACAAAUUCCACACCUUAUUGUCAGUCUUUACUUCUAUCUCUUUUCAAUUUUAAAUUUCAAGUUAAAAUUGAGAUCAAUCAAAAUUUCAUAUUUCUAGAUUGCACAUAAAUUGAGCGAGUUAACAAAUUCAAAAAUUUGAGGAACCAAGAAAUUGGAUUUGGAUAAUAAAAGUUGGACUACCCAAUCAACUUAUUUUAGAUUAAAAGUAAUAUUCAUUUUUAAAAAAAAAUUUAAGACGUAGAUAAAUUUUAAUGAAAUAUGAAUUGGUAAAUGGAAGUGUAAAAUAGACAAAAAAAAAAAAGUACUUUAGAAAUAAGGGAAAUCAUGUUAUUUAAGUGCAACAAAAAUACAUAAGGUUACUUUACCUUUCCUAAAAUACUAAUUUUAUAUUUAUACAAAAAUUAUCAAAUAUAAAAAAAAAACUUUUAUACUAUAAAUAAAUAAAUAAAACAAAUUAUUGCUAUUUUAUAAUCAAAUUCUAUUAAACUAUUGAUUGGAAAUCUAAAAAUCAUUCUGAUUAUCUAUUAUUCAACUGGUUUUUUUAUUUUAUUUUAUUUUUUUAUUUCUUCUUGUAGUGAUUAAAUACAAAACAAAUAUAUAAUUAAGAUCAUAAAUAUUUUUUAACACUACUGUAUUAAAAACGGUUUAUAAUUUUUAUUACUUGUUUUAUAAUUUUUUUAAUGUUUUUGUGAGCUUUAAUUUUUAUUUCAAAAUUUAGAUUCUAUAUUUAAAAAAAUUUCAAUCAUGAAAUCCUUGCACCUACCUUUAUAGGAGUGAACAUGUUUCCCCUCUUUACUAUUUUCCCUAUCUUAUCAUUGAAGUUCUACUUUCUACACGUUUAAAUUACUAGUUCCAUUCAACACAUAAAUAAUACAUGGUAAAUUGGUAAUAACUUUCUUUUGCAUUUAUUUUCCAAGACUUUUGGGGAGUUGGCAAACUCUGCCCAGGCACAGUUAUCAUCUUUAUGUCACUCAUGGCCCAUAUUAUUCAUUCUCUUAUUAUUGUAUUUUUUUUUCCACACCUUUGACUUAAUCAAAUUGAUGUUUAGUUCUAUCUCCAGCAAUGGUUACACAAAUUCCACAUCUUUUGAUCUGUCUUCCACACAAAUUUCAUCCUCUUAAAAAUUUCCACAAACCUUUAUAUCUAAUUCCAUCCUCUUAAAAAUUUCCACAAACUUUUAUGUCCAUUUCAUAGUUUACUCGAUUCCACACGGUAGUCUUCUCUUUCCAUCAUCAGUAGGGUAUUGGAAAUCCAUUGAGAGAAUUUAGAGUGACAAUGAAUUUAUGACUCCUUCAAUCGUUUGUCAUUUUCCUCCUUUUAAUUUAUGCGUUUUAAUUUAUAACAUUAUUUCUAUAAAUAUUAUUAAUUUUUAUUAUUAUUAUAGUUGACAAUUUCCAAUAAUAAUAACAUUUUAUAAUAUUAUUAUUUUUAAUUUUAUUAUUACUAGCAUUAUUAUUCUUAAAAAUGCUAUUAAUUUUAUUAUUAUUUCAAUUUAUUCUUUUCUUUUAAUGCUUAUCAUUAUUAAUGCUACUACUUAGUAUUAUUUUAAAAAAUUAUAUAAUAUGACUAUUAUUACUAUGGUUCUUAAAAAGAAAUAUUAUUAAUUUUGUUUUAUUCAUUGUGAUUACUUAAGAUUCAAAGUGACUACAAAAUUAACUUGAGAUUACAUAGGUAAAUAAGGUUGAGAUAAUUGGGAAUGAUGAUGUAGAAGGUAUAAAAUAAACUUAUAUGGAAAUUUGAAAAAAAAAAAAUUUGAAAAAGAAGUUUAAAUUGAGUAUUUAAAAAGGAAUUUAAAAAAAAAAAAAAACUCUUUGAAUUUUAAAAAACAUCUUUUCAAAAUAUUUCCAAAAUUUGCUAAGUUUCCUAAAUUAUUUUCUUAAUAAAAUAUAUUUACUAAAUCAAGUCUAAAUCCACUAAGAUAAUAUAAAUAUGCCUCUUGGAAGAGUCCUCAUAAGAACUUGCAUGUUUAAGUUUUAGGUAAUUAUUCUUUGCAAGAUUUGAAAUUCUUAAAAAGGUGUUCAUUUUCAUCUUUUGGGUUCAUGAAAUAGAUUCAUAUUCCCUCUAGGUGUUGAUGAGUUUAUUAAAGAGCACAGUGGUAUUGCCUCAUGAAAGUGGGAUUAAGUAUAGGUUUUGGGAAGUAAGUCUCAUGAAGUAAUAGUAUGUGACAACAUGGUUUUUACAUCUACAAAGUCUCUAAAAGGCUUUAUGGAUAGUUUUUCACCUAUAUCCUAUGUCAUUGUAUGUGAUUGAAAUUCUUGUAUUGAUUAUUCAUUUUCAAUCUAAUUAAAGAAUUCAUCAUAAAAAAUAAAAAUUGGUAAACUUUAGGCUAAUUGAAUAAAAGACUAUCCAUCCCUUCACACCCGAUCAAGUAAUUUCAUAAACAAAAUCAUAAACCUUCAACUAGUAUUAAAGUAGGAGAAAGUUUUAAAAUCAAUUAAUGCAAUCAAAUAUACGUUUUUGUUUUUAGGAAUAAAAAACUAUUUUUCACAAUUUAGUUUUUAAAUACAAAUUUGUUCUUAAUUAAAACACUAAAAAAUCAUUCUUAAAAGUUAUUUUUCAGAACUAUUUUCAAAAACACCUCCUUAUUUUUGGCCACUUUCUAAUGGUUAUUUUAAAAGAUAAUUAUAUAAAUAUAGAAAAUGAUAAAAAUAAAACACUAUAAAUAAAAAUUAUUUUAAAAUAUAAAAAAGAAGUUCCCAAUAGAUUUUUAUUUUAUAAAAUAUUAAAAUUAUUUUUAAAAAUAGUUUUCAAAAGCUUCCAAACAAUUUUUGAAAAUACUUUCCAAAAAAAGUUGAGGAGUAUUUUCUAUAAUUUGUUUUUCAAGGAAAUUUUGUUAUUCACUAUUUUAGAAAAUUUGAUCAAUAAGUACUUUUCCUAGAGACAUCAAUCAAGCCAUGUUGCCUAUCAUCUACGGCAAUAAAUACUUUUCCAUUUUUGUUGACUUCAAUUGAUGUCAACUUCUACCUCCGGCAAUGGUUAUACUUGCCCAAAUCCCACGCAUGCUGAUAUGUCUUCAUGGUCAUAUUUAAUUUUGUGGCCCAUAAUAUUCAUUAUUUUAAAAUUGUCCACAAAUUCCACACGUUAUUCUUAGUCUUUGUUGGCUUUACGUUCUCUUUCGACUCCAAUGCACUUCAUCUUCAAAUUCCACACAGUGAAUGAUAACUCUAAAGAGGAAAAGUCGAUGAAAUAGGCAAAAAACUUCAAUUCUCUAUCAUUGAAUUUUUACAAUAUAUACACAGAGAGGACAGAAAAUGGAAACAAAGACUAUUCAUUUUAGAUUAAGAGUAAUGUUGAUUUUAAAAAAUUAAGAAUUAAAGAAAUUUUAAUGAAAAAUGAAAAAAAAAAUAGAAAGUUGGUAAAUGGAUGUGUAAAAUAGAGAAAAAAAAUAGUGCUUUAGAAAUAAGGGAAAUCAUGUUAUUUAAGUGCAACAAAAAUACAUAAAGGUAGUUUAUCUUCCCUAAAAUACUAAUUUUAUAUUUAUACACAAACAUCAAAUAUUAAAAUAAAACUUUUUAUACUAUAAAUAAAUAAAUAAAAACAAAUUUUUGCUAUUUUAUAGGGUAAUUCUAUUAAACUAUUGAUUGGAAAUCUAAAAAUCAUUCUGAUAAUCUUUUAUUUUAUUGGAUUUAUUUUCUUCUUAUAGUGAUUAAAUACAAAACAAACAUAUAAAUAAGAUUAUAAAUAUAUUUAAACACUCCUGUAUUAAAAAAAGUUUAUAAUUUUCAACUUUUUUAAUGUUUUUGUGAGCUUUAAUUUUUAUUUCAAAAUUUAGAUUUAGUAUUUCAAUAAAAUUCAAUCAUGAAAUCCUUUUACCUACUUUUAUACAAGUGAACGUGUUUCUCCUCUUUACCAUUUUCCUCAUCUUAUCAUUUAGGUUCUACUUUCUACAUGUCUAAAUUAAUUGGUACAUUCCACACGUAAAUAAUCCAUGUUAAAUUGGUAAUCAUUUUCUUUUAUAUUUCUUUUCCACCACAGAUAGUUGUGUUGUUUAUCAUUUUUAUGUCGCUCAUGGCACACAUUAUUCAUUUUCUUAUUAUUGAAUUUUUUUCCACACCUUUGACCUAAUCAAAUUGAUGUUAAGUUCCAUCUCCAACAAUGGUUAUACAAAUUUCAUGUCUUCUAUCCGUCUUCUACGCAAAUUCCAUCCUCUUAAAAAUUUCCACAAACCUUUAUGUCCAUUUUAUUGUUUACCCAAUUCCACACGCUAAUCUUCUCUCUCCAUCAUCAAUAGGGUACCGGAUAAAAUGAAAAUGAAUUAUGACUCUUUCGAUCCUUUGUCAUUUUUCUCCUUUUAAUUUAUGCUUUUAUAUUUCUUUUCCACCAUAGAUAGCUAUGUUGUUUAUCAUCUUUAUGUCGAUCAUGGCACACAUUAUUCAUUCUCUUAUUAUUGAUUUUUUUUCUACACCUUUAACCUAAUCAAAUUGAUGUUAAGUUUCAUCUCCAGCAAUGGUUACACAAAUUCCAUGUCUUCUAUCCAUCUUCUAUACCAAUUCCAUCCCUUUAAAAAUUUCCACAAACCUUUAUGUCCAUUUCAAGGUUUACUCAUUUCAAGACAACAUCCCUUCAGGAAUUCGUUAUCGUCUUUAUGUCAUUCGUGGCCCACAUUAUUCAUUUUUCUGAAUACUUUUCCAUUUUUGUUGACUUCAAUUGAUGUCAACUUCUACCUCCGACAAUGGUUAUACUUGCCCAAAUCCCACGCAUGUUGAUCCGUCUUUAUGGUCAUAUUUAAUUUUGUGGCCCAUAAUAUUCAUUAUUUUAAAAAUGUCCACAAAUUCCACACGUUAUUGUCAGUCUUUGCUGGCUUUACGUUCUCUUUCGACUCCAAUACACUUCAUCUUCAUCAUUAAUAGGGAACCACAGUGAAUGAUAACUCUAAAGAGGAAAGGUUAAUGGAAUAGCCAGAAAACUUCAAUUAUGUACCAUUGAAUUUUUACACUAUAUACACAUAGAGAAGACACAAAAGGGAAACAAAGACUAUUCAUUUUAGAUUAAGAGUAAUAUUCAUUUAAAAAAAUUAAGAAUUAAAGAAAUCUUAAUGAAAGAUGAAAAAAAAAAAAUUAGAAAGUUGGUAAAUGGAAGUGUAAAAUAGACAAAAAUAAAUUAAAAAAAUAGUGUUUUAGAAAUAAGGGAAAGAAUGUUAUUUAAGUGUAACAAAAAUACAUAAGGUUAGUUUACCUUCCCUAAAAUACUAAUUAUAUAUUUAUACAAAAAUAUCAAAUAUUAAAAUAAAACUUUUUAUACUAUAAAUAAAUAAAUAAAACAAUUUUUUGCUAUUUUAUAGUUGAAUUCUAUUAAACUAUUGAUUAGAGAUCUAAAGAUCAUUCUAUUAAUAUUUUAUUCAAUUGUUUUUUUUCUUUUAGUGAUUAAAUACAAAACAAAUAUAUGAAUAAGGUUAUAAAUAUUUUUAAAUACUACCGUACUAAAAACGGUUAAUAAUUUUGUGGAACCGUGUUUUUCACAUGCGUUCCCACUCGACGGCGUGACUCGCUUUUCAUUUAUUUAUGAAAAAAAUGAUUUUUAGAAAAAUAUUUGGAGUCACCACUUAUUUUUGUUUUAUUUUUAAAGAAGAAAACAAAAUAAGAAAGAAAAACUCUAAGUGUGACUCUUAAAGGAAAAACAUGUAUGUAAAAAAUCGAAUCUAAGUCUGGGGGUCAGGUUACUUAUUGGGAAAGUAUGUUGAAAGACUAUAACAUCAUUCUAAGCCCCUUAAAAAAUAGGUCUCUACUAAAUAAGGUGAGACAAUCAUAAUAAUUAACUAGAAGAUCAAUAGAUAGCAAAAUGAUCAUAGGUCAAAAGCAAGUUAGGAUAAUGAAUGAAUAAAUAAAGUGAGAGUGAGAGCGUACCUUGGUAGUAGAUAAUAAAGUGCUAUUAUGGAAACGAGGUUAAUUCAAGUAUAAAAUUAUCACAUGCAUAUCAAAGAUCAAGACAAAAAUCAAGCAAUAUUCGUUAAGCAUAGCAGUUGAUAAGCAAAAGAGAAAACUCAUGUGUAGGGCCCUCACCAAAGCCUAAUUUAUCUUGCAUGAAUUACUCUCACAAAUUCUAUUAUUUUGGAAUUAUGAAAAAAUUCAUUAUUGCUUAUUUAAAAUAAAGAGAAAUAGAAAAUUAUUUGAAAAUCGAAGAAAAUUUGUACAAGUGCAUACCAAAAUGAGAAUGACAACAAACUUAUUAAAAUCAGGAUUUUUGGCGACCUAAAACCCUAAUAAAUGAUGAAAAGUUGUAUAAUUAAAAAAAUAUUUGAAAACUGGAGUGGAAUUAAAACUAUUCAAAAGAAAACUAAAGUUUUGAAAUUUAUUUGAAAAUUGGAGUCUCGAAAAUUAAAUUUAAGAAUUAGAAUUUUGGAAAUUAAAUUUGAAAGAAAUUGGAAUUUUGAAAAUUAUUUGAGAUUUGAAAAUUAAAUUUAAGAAAUUGAGUUUUGGAAAUUAAAUUUGAAAGAAAUUGGAGUUUUGAAAAUUAGUUUUAAGAAUUGGAGUUUUGGAAAUUCGAUUUAAGAAUUGGAAUUUUGGAAAUUAAAUUUGAAAGAAAUUGGAAUUUUGAAAAUUAUUUGAUAUUUUAAAAUUAAAUUUAAGAAAUGGAGUUUUGGAAAUUAAAUUUGAAAGAAAUUGGAGUUUUGAAAAUUAGUUUUAAGAAUUGGAGUUUUGGAAAUUAGAUUUAAGAAUUGAAAUUUUGGAAAUUAUUUGAGAAUUGGAGCUUUUAAAAAUUAAAUUUAGAAAAAUGGAAUUUUGAAGAAUUAUUCGAAAAUUAAAGUUUUAAAAUUAAAUUUGAAAAUAAUUAAAGUUUAGAAAGUUAAAGUUUUGAAAAUUAAACUUAAAAAUUAUAGUUUUAAAAAAUUAAAUUAAAAAAUGAAGUUUUGGAAAUUUAUUUGAAAAUGGAAUCUUUAAAAAAUUAAAUUUGAAAAUUGGAAUUUUGGAAAAUUAUUUGAAAAUGGAAGGUUUGAAAAUUAAAUUUUUGAAAAAAUGAAAAAUUGAAGAAUUAUUCGAAAUUGAAGUUUUGAAAAUUAAAUUUGAAAAUAAUUAAAGUUUGAAAAGUUAAAGUUUUGAAAAUUAAACUUAAAAAUUGGAGUUUUGAAAAAUUAAACUAAAAUUUGGAGUUUUGGAAAUUAUUUGAAAAUUAGAGUUUUAAAAAUUAAAUUUGAAAAUUAGAAUUUUGGGAAAUUGAACUUUGAUAUCAAAAUAUGAAGAAAAAAAUAAAAAAAUAAGUUGUGGUGAUCCUGCAAGCUUCAUUUCUCCAUGUGUUCACCCAUUCUCAACUUUAUUGUGUUGUCUCCAGUUUCCAUCAACCCAUUCCAUGUGAAAUACACAACAAACCCAUUUUCCAUCAAUCCACUACAUGAUGAAGUGUCCAUCGUAACCUCCAUAACGAUAUGAUGAAUAGCCAUUAGGGACAUAGCACAUAGAUGGGUCCAUAAAUUCCCAUAGUAAUAGGGUCACAGACCUCUCACAUGACUGGUUCUAACCACUUGCAACAUCACCCCAUCAACAGAUUACCAAAAGGCUUUUUAGUUGGCUCAAGGAUUUCCAAAGUUUUGGUUUGAGAAUCCAAUGACAAAUUUUGAAGCAACUCUACAACUUGAUCCAUAGGGGGAGCAACAACAGCCAUGACAAAGCCGUAAGAGUCCUUCAGCUUAGUCGCGUGCUCGCCGCAGCACGCGUUCUCGCCGUCGGCAGUGGCACACUCAUUGGUUGCUCCAACGACGACGACGACCUUGCCUAUGACAACUUCCACAUCAUCAGUCUCCAAGCAGAUCAUGCAACCGGUUCUAACAGUCUUGGCUAGAGCAUAUGAGUCAUCGGCGAGGUCAGAGACGGGAAGCGAGUAGAAAAUGAUCUUAACUUCAACAGAGAGAAUGAGAGGGAGCUCUUGAUCAUUCUUCCCCUUAGGACGCAUUGCAUGGUUCACUUCCUCAGCACCAAAUGCAUUUUAAAUAGUGAUAAAAACAUGAUUGGGCAUCUCAGAGGGGAACCAAAACAGAGCCGAAGAAAGAGGGCCAAAACCAAACAUUAAAUACAUUUAAAAAAUAAUCGCAGAUUCCACAAACAUGCACAACAUAUAAUGUCUACAAUCAAGCAUCAAAAUGAAUUUAAAAUCAGUAGAAGGUAGGACAGAACAAAGUGAAGUAGAGAAAUAUGAAGCAUGCUGUAAUCAUACCUGGAUAAAACUAGCAAGCUCCUCCUCAGCUUCUUCUUCAGUUCCAACUUUCCUUGCUCUAGCCUUUUCUUCUUGCAGUUCUGUCUCCCUCUCCUAAAAAAAAAAAAUCUUUUUUUGCUCUCUUUCCAUUCCUCUGUUUUUUCUUCAGAUAUCACCUUAAUCUUCUCUUGUCAGCUUCCACCUGCUCCAUUGUUCUUUGCUCAACAAGUCUUCAUCCCAACCACCACCAUGGCGAGGUGGUGGCGUUCUCUGCCACACGUCUCAACAUGCCACUUCAUGGAAGUUAUCCUCCACUUCAAAUGAAAAUCUCCAACUCCCCACUUUUCCUGGUCCAAAUAGGGGUGGUAAAAAAGGAAAAUAAACCUUUGGUCAAUUAAGGGGUCUACAAAUAUGUCUCUCUUCGAUAGAGUCCACGAGAGUAAGGAAUAUGAACACUAAAAUGAAAAGAAAGUGUGAAUAGUGAAUGGAACGAAGUGAACUCUACUAAAGAAAAAAAAAAAAAGACCCCUUAAAGGUACACAAAGUAAAAUACAAACUCACUCAAACCAACAAAUGAGCAAAAAGAGCUCUAAAACCCUACAAAAAGGCAAAAACGUUAAAUCCUAAGGUGUAUCUAAAGUUACACUAUAGAUCCAGACUCCCUAAAAAAAGUCUCUAAAAGUGACUCGAAAAUCGAUAUCGAAGUUGAGUAACAGUCAAACCACCAAAGAGCAUAGGAAUGAGUACAAAGGAAAAAAAAUCAUACGUGUACCAUGCAAGGACACAAGGCAUAAGGAGUACCAAUGAUACAAUCAAUACACAUGUUACAAGCUCAUAGAGCUAUAUUUUACAUAAAAGAUGAGAAUAAACUCUAAUAUCAUAAUGAAGUGAGAAACACAUAUGCAACGAAGAGAGAAGUAAGAUGGAAUGUGAAACUACGAGAACAAAGCAUGUAAUGCUAGUGAUCAUGAAUAUCAAGAACUGUGGAUCUGAAUGACAAUACUGACUCUAAACGCUAAACCGAGAAAAGAAUGGCUCUGGAAGCCAAACCAAAAAGCUAACUCUAAACGCUAAAUCAGAAAGUCUACAAGUGAAGUCCUAUGGUGGUGAUAUAAUUGAAAUGCUCAUAGAUGCCAAUUUAUGGUAGUGAAACUCUCAAAGGUCCACAGAUAAAAAUCUAUGGUGGUGAUAAUCUCAAAGGCCCAAUGAUGAAAAUCCAUGGUGGUGAAUCAACUGAAAUGCCUAUAACUGUCCAAUCUAUGGUGGUGAGAUAACUGAAACAAAUGCUCAUAGAUGAAAAUCCAUGAUGGUGAGAACUGAUCAAGGCUUAUAAAUGAAAAUCUAUGGUGGUGAAACUGAAAUACCCAUAGAUAUACAAUCUAUGGUGGUGAAAAUUGAUCAAGACCCAUAGAUGAAAAUCCAUGGUGGUGAAUCUGAAAUACUCAUAGAUGUCUGAUUUAUGGUGGUGAAAACUGAUUGAGGCCCAUAGAUGAUAAUCUAUCGUGGUGAAUCUGAAAUGCCCAUAGAUGUCUGAUCUAUGGUGGUGAAUUCGAAAUGCCCAUAGAUGAAAAUCUAUGGUGGUGAAAACUAAUCGAGACCCAUAGAUGAAAAUCAAUGGUGAUGAAACUGGAAUGUCUAUAGAUGUCUGAUAUAUGGUGGUGAAUCUGAAAUGCCCAUAAAUGUUUGAUCUAUAGUGGUGAAAAAUGAUCAAAGCCCAUAGAUGAAAAUUUAUGGUGGUGAAUCUGAAAUGCCCAUAGACGUCUGAUCUAUGGUGGUGAAAAUUGAUCAAGACCCAUAGAUGAAAAUCUAUGGUGGUGAAUCAACUGAAAUUCCCAUAGAUGUCCAAUCUAUGGUGGUAAGAUAACUUAAACAAAUGCUCAUAGAUCAAAAUCUAUGAUGGUGAGAACUGAAAUGCCCAUAAAUGUCUGAUCUAUGGUGGUGAAAACUAAUCAAGGCCCAUAGAUGAAAAUCUAUGGUGGUGAAUUUGAAAUGCCCAUAGAUGUCUGAUCUAUGGUGGUGAAAACUGAUCAAGGCCCAUAGAUGAAAAUCGAUGGUGGUGAAACUGGAAUGCCCAUAGAUGUCUGAUCUGUGGUGAUGAAUCUAAAAUGCCCAUGGAUGUCCAAUCCAUGGUGGUGAAUCUGAAAGACCCAUAGAUGUCUGAUCUAUGGUGGUGAGAACUGAAAGAAAGGGGAUGCCCUAAACAAACUGAUAGUAGGGGGAUGCCUCAGACAAAUUGAUGAAAGAAGAAUGCCUUAAAAAACUGAUAGUGAGAGGAUGCCCUAAACAAAUUGACGGUUGGGGGAUGCCCUAAACAAGCUUAAGGAAAAUGGAUGCCCUAAACAAACUAAAGGUAGGGAGAUGCCCUAAACAAGCUGAUAAAAGAGGAAUGUCCUGAACAAGAUGAUAGUAGGGGGAUGCCCUAAACAGACUAAAAAAUGGGGAUGCCCUAAACAAGCUGAAAGAAAUGGAAUGCCCAAAACAAGUUGACAGCAGAGGGAUGCCCUAAGUGAUAACUUGUAAAGAUCGACAAAUGGAUCUAAUAACCAUGAAAUCAACAUGAGAUGUGGUAAACCCAAAAAAAAUAGGUAUCCCCCAAUAGAAGAGCGCUAAAGGGGGUAUGCCCCAGUAUGACGACUUGCAAAAAUCAAGAAAUAGAUCGAGUAGUGAGAAAAUCUAAAAAAGAUUUGAUGAACUCAAUGAUGGGGGUAUGCCCCAAUAGAAGAGCGCUAAAGGGGGUAGACUCCAGUAUGACAACUCGCAAAGAUCAAGAAAUAGAUCGAGUAGUGAGAAAAUCUACAAAAAAAAAAAAAAAAUCUGAUGAACUCAAGGAUGGGGGUAUGCCCUAGUGUAAGAUAGUAACCAACAUAAGACACAGAAUGUCACCAUACAAGACACUCUAGGAUGUGCUCAACGAUGAUGCAAUGAAAACAUAUAGGCUCAAUCAACAAAUGUUCAAACAAGACCAUACGUCACAGAAACUAAAAUAAUAGGCCAAACAAAUGCUAACUAAGACUCUAAGUCUGAAAUGCACGUAAGUCAAGACAUGACAUGUCAACUAUCAAAAUGAAAACAUCAUCACAAAUACAUCAACAAACUAAUAAGCUCUACCAUCAUGGAAGAUGUCGAACCUAAUGUCCAAAGCCAUAUGAAAACUUAACCGAAAAACUCAAGACUAGUCUGCAUCCUCCCAUAAUAAUAAUGCUUCAAUUUGAUAUGGGAUUGCAUUGUUCGUGUUUAAUGGCUAAGUCCACAAUGGUUUGUAGUUCUACAGUUUAUUAAAAUUAUGAUGUUUGAGAAAAGGUUUAGGGCAGCUUCUCAAUUGUGGUGAUAAAAAGUAGAGUUCAGUUCUUGGUCAAGAAAUUCUUCUUCAUUUGAGAUGGGAGAAUACUUCCAAAAAUGGAGAAGAGUGUAGAAAGUAGGCAUUGCUUUCAUGUUUUGGGUGGAAACAGUCAUAUAGGGUUUGUUUGGCAAAUGCUUUUAAGAAUAUUGUUUAUUUUUCAGAACAAAAAAAAAAAAAAAAAACAUUUGACAAUCAAAAAUUUGCUUUUUGUUUUUUAUUCUUAAAAAUAAAAAACAUAAUGUUUUUUAGAAAAUAUUUUUUUAUUGUUUUUUGAUGAUUGUUUAAAACAAUAAUUAUAUGAACAUGUAGAAUGAUAAAAAAAUAAAAUAUUAGAUGUAAAAAUUAUUUUUAAAACAUAUUAAAAAAGAUUAAAAAUAAAUUUAAAAUUAGGUUUACAAUUCUAUAAAACAUUAGUGAAUAGUUUUAAAAAAUUAUUGUUAAAAAACCAAAAUUUAAAAUUAUUUUUUUAAAAUAAUUACCAAAUAGAGUUAUAAUUUCCCAAGAAAUGGAAAAUUUACGGAAACAAAGAAAUGCAUUCCUUAUCAAUAUAUUUGUAUUUUUGCUACAACAGAUAGUAGUGAUCUCAAAUAAACACUGAGGUGGUGUUUGUUUUUAUAGGUAAAUGGAAAAAGCUAAACCGAAAAACAAACACCACUUGAGCAAGUAUAGAUGAUGGCAAAUCCAGCUAUAUUGCAAAAAACAAUGUUAGAGAAUGAGCUGCACCAAAGAAGAUCAAGCUUCUAACGAAGACCGGAAACUUAGUUUAAAAGAACAAGCUUCAUUUGAUUAGAUUGGAUAGUUUUGAGUACUUGGGUAGUGACCAACAUAGAGCUAGCUAGGCAGAAUGUGUGAAAUCUAUAAUUUUAUUGGAGAGAUUUCUACCCUAAGCUACAGUCUUGAGAAGUUGCAUUUUACACAAUCAUCCCUUCCUGUAGGGAGAGACUAAAGUUGCAAUCUUAUGCAACAAAUUAGCAGCAUUGCCAUCAUCAUCACCAUCAUCUUAAGAGAGAGGAGAUGUCCAUUCAUGAAAGUAAUGGAGGCUGAUAGUGAAAUCUGUGAAGAGUCCAUCAACUCCUAUCUUGUUUAUCCAGUAAUCAUAUUCUGCAUAUGGGUCUUGAUGGAAGUUGAAGUGUAAGAAUUGGUUCCGAUAAGUGUAUGGGUGUACCUGCCAUCACAAUUCACAAGUUGGGUUUUUGAUGACUUUUGCUUAAUGCUUAUGAAAUACUUGCACAUGAAAAAGAGAAAUUUGAGAUUUCCUAACAAGAAAAUUUUGAAAGAAAACUAAAAUCAGUAAACCAAAAUUUGCACAUGGUCAUGAUCAGGACAAAUCGAAUCCUAGAAUUCUUCUAGAGUACACAUAUCUAGAUCUUCAAAUUUCUUAAGAAAAUAAUUACCGAAAAGUACACAAGAAAACAGAAAUCCUCGAAUGCAAUCUUAGACAAAUAGAACCAUGGAUUUGUUCUUUUUCCUUUCAAGGAAAUUGAGCACCAUGAAUCAACGUGUUCAUAGAGACCUAAAACCAUAUUUAACAGUUAUGAAAAUUAAAAAAUUAGGGAAAAUUAGUGCAUCAUGGCUAUUUCUUAGCUCAACACCUUCAAACCCGUUCCCCCUCAUAUGGAGUUUAAGUUCAUUCACAAAGAUAACAAGUUCAAUCUUUAAUGGAGCGAAAAUAUUGGGAUUGAGAUCAUGGAUGCCCUAUAUUUCUUGGCUCAUUUCCAUAGUGAAUACUGAUAUGGUAAACUGUUUUUGGUCACUACAUAAUAUCACACACAACUCAGUUGAUGGAAUGACGCCAAAUAUCAUGUCUAUUUAGGCAUCCCAUCCAAAUGUCGUUGAAAGUUUGACCAUGCAUAGCACAGAGUGACACAGAGAAACCUAGAUGUAUAAAUGCAACAUACAGUGACAAAGAGAGACAGAAGAUAUGGCAUACAUGAUAUGUUUCAUAAAUAGCCUUAUUGAUAACGUCCCACAAAUAAGCUUUACACAGAGAAGAUACAAACCUAUAAGUCGUGGGCAUGUGCUUUGACAACAAGAUCAAUAGGUGUUUACGAAUAAUUAUCUACCACUGAAACUACUGUAUCCUUCCAAGGUCCAAUCCCCACCACAUACUGCUUAAUGAAGCUACAGUACCAAGAAACCAUUGGUGGACGACUUACGGAAUGAAGAGAACCACAUAAUUGGAUGGUCUAAGGGUCACCAAGGAAGACCCGAGGCUUUGGAGAGGUUGAGUUCAAGUUUACCUUAAGGUAGUACCUAGGGUCCCUUAAGGUAGUACCUCAAGGCCACUAAAGUAGUACCUAAGGGCCCUUAAGGUAGUACCUAAGCUACAGUCCCAAAAAACCAUUGGUGAAUCACUUGAGGAAUGAAGAGAACCACAUAAUUGGAUGGUCUAAGGGUCACCAAGGAAGACCCUAGGCUUGGGAGAGGUUGAGUUGAAGUUUACCUUAAGGUAGUACCUAGGAUCCCUUAAGGUAGUACCUCAAGGCCACUAAGGUAGUACCUCAAGGCCACUAAGGUAGUACCUAAGCUACAGUCCCAAGAAACCAUAGUGGACCACUUGAGGAAUGAAGAGAACCACAUAAUUGGAUGGUCUAAGGGUCACCAAGGAAGACCCGAGGCUUGGGAGAGGUUGAGUUGAAGUUUACCUUAAGGUAGUACCUAAGGUCCCUUAAGGUAGUACCUCAAGGCCACUAAGGUAGUACCUAAGGGCCCUUAAGGUAGUACCUAAGCUACAGUCCCAAAAAACCAUUGGUGGAUCACUUGAGGAAUGAAGAGAACCACAUAAUUGGAUGGUCUAAGGGUCACCAAGGAAGACCCGAGGCUUGGGAGAGGUUGAGUUGAAGUUUACCUUAAGGUAGUACCUAGGGUCCCUUAAGGUNNNNNNNNNNNNNNNNNNNNNNNNNNNNNNNNNNNNNNNNNNNNNNNNNNNNNNNNNNNNNNNNNNNNNNNNNNNNNNNNNNNNNNNNNNNNNNNNNNNNNNNNNNNNNNNNNNNNNNNNNNNNNNNNNNNNNNNNNNNNNNNNNNNNNNNNNNNNNNNNNNNNNNNNNNNNNNNNNNNNNNNNNNNNNNNNNNNNNNNNNNNNNNNNNNNNNNNNNNNNNNNNNNNNNNNNNNNNNNNNNNNNNNNNNNNNNNNNNNNNNNNNNNNNNNNNNNNNNNNNNNNNNNNNNNNNNNNNNNNNNNNNNNNNNNNNNNNNNNNNNNNNNNNNNNNNNNNNNNNNNNNNNNNNNNNNNNNNNNNNNNNNNNNNNNNNNNNNNNNNNNNNNNNNNNNNNNNNNNNNNNNNNNNNNNNNNNNNNNNNNNNNNNNNNNNNNNNNNNNNNNNNNNNNNNNNNNNNNNNNNNNNNNNNNNNNNNNNNNNNNNNNNNNNNNNNNNNNNNNNNNNNNNNNNNNNNNNNNNNNNNNNNNNNNNNNNNNNNNNNNNNAAACCAUUAGUAGCUCACUUGAGGAAUGAAGAUAACCACAUAAUUGGAUGGUCUAAGGGUCACCAAGGAAGACCCUAGGCUUGGGAGAGGUUGAGUUGAAGUUUACCUUAAGGUAGUACCUAGGGUCCCUUAAGGUAGUACCUCAAGGCCACUAAGGUAGUACCUAAGGGCCCUUAAGGUAGUACCUAAGCUACAGUCCUAAGAAACCAUAGGUGGACUACUUGAGGAAUGAAGAGAACCACAUAAUUGGAUGGUCUAAGGGUCACCAAGGAAGACCCGAGGCUUGGGAGAGGUUGAGUUGAAGUUUACCUUAAGGUAGUACCUAGGGUCCCUUAAGGUAGUACCUCAAGGCCACUAAGGUAGUACCUAAGCUAUAGUCCCAAGAAACCAUAGGUGGACUACUUGAGGAAUGAAGAGAACCACAUAAUUGGAUGGUCUAUGGGUCACCAAGGAAGACCCGAGGCUUUGGAGAGGUUGAGUUGAAGUUUACCUUAAGGUAGUACCUAGGGUCCCUUAAGGUAGUACCUCAAGGCCACUAAGGUAGUACCUAAGGGCCCUUAAGGUAGUACCUAAGCUACAGUCCCAAGAAACCAUAGGUGGACUACUUGAGGAAUGAAGAGAACCACAUAAUUGGAUGGUCUAAGGGUCACCAAGGAAGACCCGAGGCUUGGGAGAGGUUGAGUUGAAGUUUACCUUAAGGUAGUACCUAGGGUCCCUUAAGGUAGUACCUCAAGGCCACUAAGGUAGUACCUAAGGGCCCUUAAGGUAGUACCUAAGCUACAGUCCCAAGAAACCAUAGGUGGACUACUUGAGGAAUGAAGAGAACCACAUAAUUGGAUGGUCUAAGGGUCACCAAGGAAGACCCGAGGCUUGGGAGAGGUUGAGUUGAAGUUUACCUUAAGGUAGUACCUAGGGUCCCUUAAGGUAGUACCUCUAGGCCACUAAAGUAGUACCUAAGGCCCUUAAGUAGUACCUAAGCUAUAGUCCCAAGAAACCAUAGUAGACCACUUGNNNNNNNNNNNNNNNNNNNNNNNNNNNNNNNNNNNNNNNNNNNNNNNNNNNNNNNNNNNNNNNNNNNNNNNNNNNNNNNNNNNNNNNNNNNNNNNNNNNNAGUACCUAAGGGCCCUUAAGGUAGUACCUAAGCUACAGUCCUAAGAAACCAUAGGUGGACUACUUGAGGAAUGAAGAGAACCAUAUGAUUGGAUGGUCUAAGGGUCAUAAAGGAAGACCCGAGGCUUGUGAGAGGUUGAGUUCAAGUUAAACUUAAGGUAGUACCUAGGGUCCCUUAAGGUAGUACCUCAAGGCCACUAAGGUAGUACCUAAGGGCCCUUAAGGUAGCACCUAAGCUACAAUCCCUAAAAACCAUUGGUGUAUCACUUGAGGAAUGAAGAGAACCACAUGAUGGGAUGGUCUAAAGGUCACCAAGGAAGACCCGAGGCUUGGGAGAGGUUGAGUUCAAGUUAAAUUUAAGGUAUUACAUAGGGUCCCUUAAGGUAGUACCUAAAGGCCACUAAGGUAGUACCUAAGGGCCCUUAAGGUAGUACCUACGCUACAGUACCAAGAAACCAUUGGUGGACUACUUGAGGAAUGAAGAGAACCACAUGAUAGGAUUGUCUAAGGGUCACAAAGGAAGACCCGAGGUUUGGGAGAGGUUGAGUUCAAGUUUACCUUAAGGUAGUACCUAGGGUCCCUUAAGGUAAUCAAGUCUAAUCAUUGUUUUGUCUAGACAAUGUUUUGCUCUUUGGUAUUUAUGAUAUCCAUCUCGAAAGUUUAGAUUUUGCUUAUGGAAUACCUAGAGGGAAGGUGAACAGAUAGUGCUUACUUUUUAGCCCAAAUUUUUAUUUUUAAAAUUUCCCUUAAAAAAAAUUAGAGUUGAAGUAGAGAAAUUUAAUGGCACAAGGAGAUAAAAGUUUGCAUGGAAAAUUACCCAUAAAGCCUCUCAGAGACUUUGUAGAUGUAAAAACCAUGGGGUUAAAAACCGUAGAACACAAAUCCACUAUCAAAAGAAAAGUACAUAGAUUUACCUGGCGGAUGUUAUCCAUAAGAUUUACUCCCCAGCACCUACACUUGUCUUCACAUCCAAGACACAACACCACACAUGGUCCUAGUCGACUACCUCAACACCUGAGAGGGCGCAAAUCCUCUCAUGAACCUAAGAAUGAAAAUCACACAAAUUUGAGAAUAUUAGGAUGUUGGAAAGGUUAAUAAUAUUCUUUUGAAUUUUGCAUCAACAUUCAAAAAGAAUUUUAGGCAUAGCAUUGAUAGAGAUGAAGCCCUAGUGGACAAGAUCCUAAAGUUUUCAAAGACCAAUUUUUAGAAGAUGAAAAGAAUUAAAACAUAUCACAAUUCUGAAUUAGGAAAAAUUUACUUUGAAUGCUUGAGCGCUAGGUUUGAGUACUUGAGCACUUGACCGGUUUUUUAAGUAAUUAAUUAAAAAACCAUUUUAGCUUAAUUAAAAAUCUAAAGUCCACUUUAUGCCUAUUUUAGUCAAAUUAGCCUUUCGCGAAUAUUUCUAUACUUGCUACAUUAGGGUUGAUCAUGCAACAACCUUGAGUCUUCAAUGGAGAGUAAGACAUAGUAUCCUAGAAAAGUCUUAAGGCAGGGUAAAUAGAACAAAAUUGUCAACUUAAACUAAGCAACCUGAUUCACUAACACAUUUGACAACUAAAAGGGUAUCUAGACGACCUAUUAAGAAAAAGUAAAGCAUCUAGAUGGAUACUAGCAUUUUAAUGUUGUGUUGCCUCCAAAUUAAUGGCAGAUAAUGACCUCAGAAAAAAAUUGUUUUCAUCUCAUGAAAUUUUAUUACAAAUAAAAAUAAAAAUCUUUCCAAACAAUAAUAUGUGGAAAAUUAGAUAAAUAUGUUGUUAAACUAGUAUUAAAAAUUUUCAAUAUGGUGUGCUUUAAAGCUUCUGAUUAAAAAGCUUUACUUUCUGAGUUAUUUGCCUUUUUUUUUUUACUUACAUAAUCCCCUUUCUCAUUUGAUUUACUUUUUUUUUUCCCUAUAACCAUGGGCUGCAUGUGUACACCCACAUCCACUUGCUAUACACUAAAUAGACACUUUGAUGGCCAUAAAGAAUAGCAUGGAUUAUGUGCUAAAUUUAUUUGUCCUUACGUUAUGCAUGCACAUAAUUGGAUCAUAAGGGUUGCCUAUUUUGCCCUUGACUAAAUUCAGAUGCCCUGCAUAAGCAGGUCACAUGUGCAGAUUAAAGAGAUACUGAAUCUCUAUUUUUUUUCUUCUCAUCUUAUGGACACUACACAAAUAUCUUAUCAACUAAACUUUUCCAGAUACGAGCAUGUUUAUCAUAACAUCCAGCCACAUGUGACAAGGACUCUGCUCCAUGCUUUCUUGGACCCAACAAAAGCAUUGCCUCAACAUUAUGGGGCAAUUCAGGGGUUGGCAGCAUUUGAACCCAGUGUGGUAUCAUUUGUUCUCUUACUUUUAGCAUCAAAGGAGGAAUGUUACAACUGGAUAAAGUGGCUAUUUUUUAUUUUUUAAAAACAUCAGUUUUUAUAUUAAAGAUAUUAAGGAUAACUUCUAAAAGCCCAUUUACUCACAAGAAAGACAUUUCUAGCACUAAAUUUCUGCUAGAUCCAAGGAGAAAUUAAAAAAAUAAAUAAAGGAAAUUGAAGUCCUUAUGUCCCAAGAACCUUUAUCACUGCAGAUGCUCUAGUUUUGAGCUUUCACGACAACCUCUACAUUUUCCUCAAAUUUAACCCCUCUUCGACAUUUUUUCACAGCCACACUAUACUCAUAUCACCCAAGUACCAUUUAGCUUCCAUUCAUUGAGUUUGUAUGCAACUUUUUGUCAUUCUUUUUCAUUUUUUUUUAAUUCAUUCUUAGAAUCUAUCUUUGUUAGUUUUUCCAAAUUUAUAAUUGAAGUACAACUCUAGAAGGGGGGAGAAAAGUUAGAUUUCACCAACAAAACCAACACACCUUCAAAUGAAUUGUGUAGGCAUGUUAAGGGGUGAACCCGCCAUUGAAGAUCGCUGUCCCUAGAUCUGACCCAUUUCAAUCAGGAAUCAACCAGGGUUCUUUCCCUCUCACCAAGACACCCAAAUCCAAGCAUACGAGGCCACCUGCAGCAUGUAGUUUUCUCCACCAAGAAAUCUUCAGGUUGUUCAAGAUGAUAUAGGCUCGUAUGGGUAUGAUAACCAUGGGUGCUUAAAAGCACAACUUCCCGUGGUGACAUGGAGAGGGAGAUGGCUGCUGACAUGGAUGUGGAGGGGUAAUUUUGGAAAUGAAAUUAUAAAACAGUGGAUAGUGCAUGAAAGGGAUAUUUUUUUGGGCAACAAUAGACAUAUUUUGGGUUAUCCCAAAUUAAUACUUGGUCCAUAUAUCAUCCAUAUUUAAGUCCAAAAUCUAGUAUGAAAAUUAAGAUGAAAAAUAUUAUUUUUCAUUAAUUUCUAAAAUACUUUUAACCCUUAUAUACCUACGAGUGAGUGUGAAUUUUAAUUUUUUUUGUGUUUUUUUCCCUUUCCUAUUUCCUAUUAAAUAUUAUUCAUUUCUAACUUUUCUUUUUCCUCUCAAUAUAUAUUUCUAUUUUAUGUCAAAUAAAAAGCAACAAUAGUUUUUUAUUUUUCAUUUUUAAAGAUAUUAAAUCUCUUUGCUCUUAUUUUUCAUCCAAAUAUUUUUUAUCUUUUUAUAUUUAUCUUUUAGUUUAAUUUUUAUUUUUUAUUUUAAAUUUAUAUUACCCUUUCAUUUAUAUUUUUCUCUUAUUUUUAAUUAUUUUUAUAUUUUAUAUAUUAACCAUAUUUUAAAAAAAUUUAAAAACUGACUAUCACUUCACUUUAUAUAUAUAUAUAUAUAUAUAUCCUUUAAGCUUUUUAAUUUUUAAUGUUUUUAUUUUAAAAUUUUAAAAAAGAUAAAUUUAUUGAAAAAAAUAACUAAGAUAUUAAAUUCUAAUAUUAUAUUAAUAAUUUUUCUUAUCUAGAUAGACUAAUGCAAAGUAUUUUGACUCACAACAAGAAAAUUAUCAAUACAAUUUUUUAGUUAAACUUUAAAAAUUAAAUUUCAAAUAAAAUAUAUUAUUGUGGACCCCAUAUUUCGGCUCAUGCGCUUCCCACUCGAUGGCGAGCUCGAUUUUUAUUUUGAAAAAUGAUUUUAUUUAUUAAAAGAAUGACUUGGAGUCGCCACUUAUUUUUGUUUUAUUUUUAAAGGGGUAAACAAAAUAAGAAAAAAAAACCCUAGGUGUGACUCCUUGUUUUGGAAAAGGUUGGUCUACGAAAAACCGGAUCGGGUUCGGGGGUCAGGUUACUUAUCGGGAAGGUAUGGUAAAGAUCGUAACACCUCUUUAAGUCCCUAAAGACGGGUCUCUACUAAUAAAAUGAAGCAAUCAUGACAAUUAAUUAAUCGAGCAUGGAUACUGAAUGAAUAUCACUCAAAACAAAAUAAUUGAAUGAACAGGAGAGACAAAUAAUGUACUUGAGUGAUGAACUGGUUUACUUCAAUGAAAACAAAUGCUAGCAAUUAAACACAAAAUAAUCGUGUGUGUAUCAUAGAAUAGUGUAAAUCAAUCACAUAUAGCAAUCAAAUCAAUCAAUCCACCAAUCGAUCAUAAAAUCACGACCGUGGGGCCCCCACCAAAGCCCAAUCUAUCUUGCAUUAAAGAUGAGUGACAGUUCAGGAGACUUGGUCGUCAGUAUUAUCGGAGUUUGCCUUUUGAUUGUGGGCGGAAAUGGAUCCGGCGAAUUGCGAGUGUCUGACGAGCCAAGCUGUCCGGGGAAUCUGAAUUGUCGGUUGCGGAUGCUCUCCGGGUAAGCGCUAUCAGAGGAUUUGGACAUGUCCGACCGGGGAAGUUGAAUCGCCCUCCUCUCCCAUCCGGUGUCAGGCGCCGAAUGUGAAAUAUCCGGAGAAGGUGGAACAUCGACCAAACAGAAUUCCAGAUGUGAGAUAUCCGGAGAAGGCAGAACGUCGGUCGGACAGAAUUCCGGAUGUGAGAUAUCCAGAGAAGGUGGAACGUCGGCCGGACAGAAUUCCGGAUGUGAGAUAUCCGGAGAAGGUGGAACGUCGGCGGACAGAAUUCCGGAUGUGAGAUAUUCGGAGAAGGUUGAACGUCGGCCGGACAGAAUUCCAGAUGUGAGAUAUCCGGAGAAGGUUGAACGUCGGCCGGACAGAAUUCCGGAUGUGAGAUAUCCGGAGAAGGUUGAACGUCGGCCGGACAGAAUUCUUCCCCGGGUGGAAUGAGCUAUGCCACGCGUCGCAAGAGGGACCGUCUGCGUGUGCAAGGAAGAGAGAGCCACGUGACAUUUUUUUAUUGAGAAUCCCACAGGUAGGUGAAGGUUUAGAGAGAGAAACGGGUUUGGUGGUAUGGUUAAAUGGGUGUACACAUGGGUAUGGUAGAACAUGGUUAUGAGUAGCAUGAAGGAUGGGUAUGGGUUGUAUGGAUAUGGAGGUUGGGUGAGUGGUUUUAAUGGUUAUGUGAAGGAGUGAAGGAUAGCAUGCACCCGUGAGACUCCAUGUAAGUGAGGGAGUGGGAUGGAGAAUGAAUGAGAGGAAAAUGGGUGUGGUGGAGGAUGCUUGAUUCCUGCAAGCUUGUGUAAGGAAAUGGGUAUGGCUGACGCGAACAGUGAAGAAGGCGUAGGCAUGUGGUAACCGUGUUAUUCAUCAUGAGAACAUGAAGCCUUUGCUUGGACAAGUUAAACUUUUCUCCAUGCACAUGGGCCAUUUACAAGGAAAAAAAAAAACGAGAGCAGCAAAGAGAACCAAAACAGAGCAUAUAUGGGCAGAUAAUCACAUUCAACCCAAAACCAUCUUGUGGUUCUUGAUGUCCACAACAAACCAACAAAUAAAACCCAAAAACUAUCAAGAAACAAGAUAGAUCUCUUGAGAAUGUACAAAAUAGUGCGGAAAUCAUACCUGGAUCGAGCUAACAAGCUCUUUCCCUGCUCUCCGCGACUCCGCCUGGGCCUACUCUCCCAUUUAGCUUCCCCCCUCCCCCCUUUUUUCUUUUCUUUUCUUUUUCUUUCCCAACUGCUCUCCUAUUCCAGCCAUCAGCCCCGUCUCCAUUCUCAACCACCACCAUGGCGAGGUGGUGGUGCCUUUCACCACGCAUCCCAUGCAUGUGCCGUUGGUAGUCGUCCCCCACCCCUAAAAAACGAAAAUUUUACUCCUCCCGGGUGGCCUAUUAAAAGGGGUCUACAAUUAUAUAAAAUUUUAUCUAAAAAUUAUUGAAAGUAGUAUUUAAUUUUUUUUAUUGACUUUCAAACUUAUCUAAUUUUUUAUUUGAAAGGUAAUAGAACAUGUUUACAAAAAAAAAAAAAUAGUUUUUCAUUUUUUAAAUAAAUGAGUAUAAAUAUAUUAAAAGAAUUAAAGAUAAUCUUAAUAAAAAUUAAAUAUGCAAUUACAAAAUUUUGAUGAUGAAAUUUAAAAAUAAAAUUCGAAACAAUUCUUGAGUGAGAGAAUUUGAGUGCGGAAAAAAAAUCUUUGAGUGGAAACAAAUGGGAAAGUUUUUCAAAAUCACUUGAAAUCUUUAAUAAAAAGUAAUCUUGUACACCCUUGUACAAUUAGUAAAUUUGUCUUGUACAGUUAGUAUAAUACCCUUGUACAAUAACUCAAAUUUCAUAGAUCAUCUCAUGAAUAUCUAACAAUAGGUCGGUUAACCAUGUUUGCAUUGCUUUGGUUUUAAAAAAGAAGAAAAAUUGUUGAAUAAUUUUGUUUUACAAUCAUCAUAAGUGAGGUACCUAUUCAAAUAACCAUACACAAGAGCAUGAGAUGAAUGUAUGCUUAACAAAUGUGUGUAAAGAAUAUCAUUUAUUAUUGGUUAGGGGAAAUAAAUAAACAAGUUUUUCACAAUCACUUAAAAUCCUUCACAAAUAAUAGUCUUGUACACCCUUGUAUAGUUAGUAUAUUUGUCAUGUAUACUUAGUAUAAAUACCUUGUACAGUGACUUAAAUUCCAUAUACCUAUUACUCAAUGUGUAACCAUAGGUAGGUUAACUAUAUUUUCAUUGGUUUGUUUAAAAAAAUAGUGGAAGAUGGAAAAACAAAAUUUUAUUUCAAACAUCAUUAGUGAGAUAAGUAUUCAAAUUAUCAUGUGCGAGUUAAAUAAAGUGCAUAAGAAAAAAAAAAAGUUGUUCAAAAUAUACAGUUUUGUACAUCCUUGUAUAAUUAGUAUAAUAACCUUGUAUAAUAAUAUAAAUGUUAUAUAUAUGUAUAAAUUAUAUCCACAUGAGUGUGUAAAUCAUGUUCCCAAUAGUUUGGCAUUUAAAAUAAUUAAAACAAACAAAAUGUUAUUUUAUUUUAUUUUCAAUGCAAAAUAUAAUUAAAAAUAAGACAAAGAAAUUACUUAAAAACUAUUAUUUAAGCUAAGUUUAUUUAUUUAUUACCUUUUAUUUUUGGAAAUAAAGAAAAAAGAAUAAAAAAUUUAUUUAACCAUAAGAAAUAUGAAUAUAAGAUCAGUUAAAAAAUACCAAAUUUAUUUAUUUAGUUAUUUCUUUUUAUUUUUGGAAUUAAAGAAAAAAUAAAAAAUUUAUUUAACUAUAAAAAAUAUUGAUAUAAGAUAUGUUAAAAAAUAGAAAUAACUCCAAAUAUAUUUACUUAUUUCAUUUUAUUUAUUUAAAUUAGAAAAUAAUUUAUUUUAAUAGAUUAAAAUGUGCACAAUUGAUUUAUUAUUUUGUUAAUUAUGGAUAUAUUAAAAUUUUCUAUUAGACAAAAAAUAAAUAAAGAAAAUAAAAUUAAAAAGAGUAAUAAAUAUAUAUAAUUUAGUUAUUUAAUUAUUUUUUUAUGUAAAAGAUAAUCCCACAAAAACACAUAAUUGAUCAAUUUCUUUAUUUAAUUGUAAACAUAUUAUAUUUUUAUUUUAUUAUUAAAAUAACUAAUGAAAAAAAUAAAAAUAGAUAAUUAAUAAAUAAAAUUUAAUUAUUUUUAUUAUUUUCAUAUAAAAAAUAGUACUAAACAAGGUUUUUAAUUUUUAUUUUUAAAAAUAGUUUUUAUUUUUUAAUUAAAUGUUUUUUAAAAAAAAUAUAAAAAAUAUAAAUCAUAAUACCAUUUGUGUAGAAAGUUUUUUUUAAAUAAUUUUUUUUUAUUUAUAAUUUAAAAUAGAAAAUAAUAUAAAUUAAAAAUAAUAAAAAAUUCAAAUUAUUAAAAUAGAAUGUUACGGUUGAUGAAUAGUAAUGCAAUAAAGAAAAAAAAAAUUAUUUGAAAAGUCAUUCGAUAUUUUAGUUCACUGUUUUAUAUAGAAAUUUGAAGGAUAUAUCGAUCCUUUUAAUCGACUUUUAAUCGAUUAUGAGGUUAUAUGGACGGCCCCAAACACGAUUCUCCUUACAAACUAUAACCUAGCCGUCCAAGCUACACUGCACGGAGCCACCCACUAGCUGUCCUUGCCGCCAUUUCACUGUCGAAAGCUCUCAUCUAAUCUGCCAUGACUGCAAGCAACCACCCAUCAGCCGUCCACUCUUUCUUCCGUUUCUCAUACCCAUGUCUCAAACUUCAACCUUCCUUUCUUCUGCCCCUAGCUUUCUUUCUCUUCUUUCCAGACCAUAUGAAUCCAUAUUAUCCAUCUUCAUGUUCCUAUAUUUUCUCUCUCAAGCUCUCUCUCCCUAACUUCACAUGACAGCAACAAAAGCUGUCAUUCCCAUCAACUCAUUUAUUUUCCCAUCGUUGCCACUCUCUCAACCGAGCUUUCCACCUCCAUCCACCGUUUUCUAGAAUUCAGCUGCAACUACUGGACGGCCUAGACCGUGCGAGAAGCGAAAUAUAGAAGAAAGAGAAGAGCAGCCUAAGCCGAGCAACAGUUCUCUUCCUCACGUACCUCGCCGGAGUUCUUCAGUUUCGAAGCUGUUGUUUCAAUCCCGAGCGCUUCUCUCUACACUGCAGACGAUAGCCAGCACACCUCCUCUCUUUCUUGCGAAGUGAUCGACGACGCCAUUGAUGAGAACUCCAACUUGAUCAGCAGCUUUCGUCGGAAUGGCUUGAGCUGCGUUUGCGAGAAGUUUGGUUAAAAACUUGCAUUUCAGGCCUUGAAAGCUCCAUUUCUGGUGCUGCAAUUCUCGGCGUAGCUGGAAAGGUGAAGUACUUGGGUGCUGGUUUUCUUCCCCGAGGUGUUGACGUAGUUGGAAAGGUUAAGUUUGGUUCACUGUAUCUAUUUUAUCUUAUUUUAUUUAUUUAUUUGUAUUAUUAUUAUUAUUAUUACUAUUAUUAUUAUUAUUAUUAUUAUUUAGGUUUUAUUCUCUUUUGUGUUUUUGAGCCUGUAUUUUAAAUUUUGAGACUGUAAGAAGGGCGGGAUUGUUAGUUUCUAGACUAAUAAGGCUUGUUUGGCCGAUAAUAUAGAAGGACGGUGGGAGAGUCAUGAUGAUUGCAUUGGGUUAAGGGGGUGUGGUCAUGUGAAAACAGAGUUCUUUGGAGGUUUCCAGAGGUCGUAUAAAAGCAGGGGAACCGCCUCUGUUAGGGAUCUCUUCGGCUGUAAUUUUUUUCGGCUAAGAAGAGGGCAGAGAAAAGGAUAGGGUUGAGAGAUCUCUGGGAAGAGUGUUUGGUAUGAGUCUAGACUUCCGACUGUUUAAUUUUGUAUGCUUCGUCUUCCUUUUAGGUUCCAUUUUCUCUAACUAUUUUGUGUAUUCGUGAAAAUCAAGCCUUAGAUCCUUUUUGAAAGAAGAAAAAUUAUAUUAUCACAUUCAAGUUUACUCUUUACUAAUCAUUUUAGAUACGAUGAUUAUAUUUUUAUUUCAUAAAAAGAAGAAAAAAUUAAGUUGCAAUAGUCAAUUUGUUUGUCCUUUUAUGUUAGUCAAUUCCUUUUUGAAACUUUCCAAUUUCUUUUAUUAUUUUAAUUAUUUUCCCUAAUUAAAUUUUUUUAAAAUCCCACUAGUUCCAAUUUAAAUUUUUUUUAAGCUCAAUCAUUCACCCCACUAACAAUUCUUUUUAAAUCAACUCAUCCACUAAUUCUCUACUCUGUUUUCCAAUCCAUUCUUCUAUUUGGAAUUUAAAAAGCCAUAUGGUCCUUUGCAGCUAAUUUGAAAUGCCCACCAGGGACUAAGCUCCAAGCCUGGUUCAAGCUGUGUCGCUGUAAUAUGGUUGUUGGACGGGUUAGAUAUCCAAUUUCAAGAGGAUUAGGACCUGUCAAAUUGUUCCCUGAAAGAUCCAUCCGGGACAUGGACUACAAAAUAUUUCCUAUAUAGGAUUCAAAUCUAUUCUAUUUAACUUUUUUAUACUAUAAAUAAAUAAAACAACUUUUUGUUAUUUUAUUUCUUUGUAUAGUAAUUAAAUAGAAAACAAAUAUAACAAGGUAGAUUAUAAUUAUAUUAAAGAACAAUUAGUCAAAGAAGAAAAAAUUGUUAGAACAACAAAAUUUAAAAGAAACACUAGAAAAGGUUAACUAAAAUUCAAGUACGAAUUUGAACAUAAAACCUCGUUUUAAUAACUUUCCUUAAGACUAAAUUGGGAUUCUUAGUACUUUUGAAGUAUUACCAUUUUAGUAUGCAUACUAGAUCCUUGUCUAAAUUAUAAAAUUAUUUGCAAUGUGAUGAUAAACAUAGAUACUUUUUUGUGUACUUACAUUAAAAUUUAGUGUUGGUAUUGAUUAAUUUGAAAAUAAUGUUAUUAAAGUGAGUAAAUAAUUAAUAAAAUUUUGGAAAUGAUUAAAAAGUAGACCGAAGACUAUGCUGAAAUUUCAUAGGAAUUUUAAAAUUUUAACUUGUUAGCUAUGACUACUUUUCUUGCUUAUAACUAAGUUUGGGAUUAUGGUUGCUUCUAGGGUGUUACAAUAUUAGCAUAUAAAUAUUAUAUCUUGUUUGAAAUUUAAUAUUAUUUAGUAUAACAAACUUAGAGACUUAGAAGUUUUCUUGCCCUAAAAUUUGAUUUGGUUGUUAACUACUAGAAAAUUUGACAACAAAUUAAUCAUGUGAUGGUUUGAAAAAUGUCUAUGAAAUAUGGGAGAUAGAAAUUUUAGUUUACUAAAUUAUUAUGUUUGAAUAUUUUUUUAUUUCUUGUAUUUUUUUUUCUUUUUAUUUUUGGCAUUUCCCUCAUGGGGCUGUGGAUUUGCUAGAUCCUAAGACUGGUAAAGUCUUUAAGAUUAAUGCCGAGAGGGUUAAGCCAUUUGUGAAGGGAAUCAAUGAAGUUGGGGAUCAAAUCCCCCUUCAAAUUAAUGUUGCUCACUAGACCAAACGUGUUUUUCUUCCUUUUGUACAUAGUUAGAGCUUUUACAGAGUGUUCAUUUCUUUUGAUGUUAUUUCAUUUUUUUUCUUUAUUUCUUUUUCUUUAUUUAGGUGGGUUGCUUCAUAAUUUUUAUCCCAAUAGCUCUCAUGGAUCUUAAAUUUGCAUGAUUUCUUGUAGACUUGUGGAUUCCAUAGUUGUUUGUGGUUGUUGCCCUUUUUUUCUCAAGUGUCAAAUUUGUACUCCCCAUUAAAAAGGAAAAAAAGAAAAAAAAAAAAGAGAAGUGCAUUAAGGGGCUUGAAUUUGAAAGAGAGGACACUCAAGGCCCAAUUUUAAUAAAUCUUACUUUAUAUAAUUUAUAUAGUAAUUAAAUACAAAAGAAAUAUACUUAUAAAUAAAAUUAUAAAUAUUUUUAAAAAUAAUUAUACAUGUCAUCAUUAUUAUUUUCUUUACAUCCUUAAACAUAUCCAGACUAAGAGUUUUCAAAUUCUGUAAAUUAUUAUCAAAUGUCACAUAUUUUAUCCAUUAAUACACAUUAUUUUCUUUAAUAAGAUUGCUUAUGUGCAUUAGUAGUUGUUUUAUCAUUUUUUGUAAGUUACAACAUUUCUAAGUUUGAUCAAUUUUCGUCUUACAAUUUUUUUUUUUUGAAUUUGGGUUCCUUGUUUCCAAUAUUUCCCCGUGUUUCCCUAAAUCCAAGUAUUCAUAUUGUCACAAAUUCUCAUAUUUAAAAUGGGAUAUUGUGGACCCCGCAUUUCGGCUCAUGCAUUUUUCACUCAAUGGCGAGCUCGAUUUUUGUUUGAAAAAUGAUUUCUAUUGAUUAAGAAAAAUGACUUGGAGUCGCCACUUAUUUUUGUUUUAUUUUUAAAACAAAAUAAGAAAGAAAAACCCUAAGUGUGACUCCUUAUUUUGGAAAAGGCGGUCUGUGAAAAACCAGAUCGAGUUCAGGGGUCAGGUUACUUAUCGAGAAGGUACGAUAAAGACCGUAGCACCCCUCUAAGUCCCUAAAAUCGGGUCUCUACUAAUAAAAUGAAGCUGACACGACAAUUGAUGAAUGAACCAACGAAUACUCUAAAUGAUCAUGCACGUAUGAGAAUCCGAACAAGCAUAAGGAGUGACCAUGAGGCGAGUAAAUACGUACCUGGGUGGCGAACCGAUAUGCGCUAUCAAGAGAGGGGGUCAGUGCACAAUUUAAAGAAUAACUUCAAGCAUGUCAUAGAGCAGAAUAAAAAUCAAUCAUGCAUGACAAUUAAAUCAAGCAAUUAGUCAUGAAUUCACAUAUGUGGGGCCCCCACCAAAGCCCAUUUAUUUUUGCAUGAAUUAAUUCUAUAAAUUCAAUUAUUCGGAAUUACGGAAUUUAAAUUUAUGUUUAUUUUAAAACAUUUUAAAUCAUGAAAAAUUCGAAAGGGGCUCACCAAAGAAAAUGACGACCAAAUUUUAUUGAAAAUAGGAUUUUUGAUGAACCUAAGCAAAAGAAAAUCUAAGGAUGAAGAUUUGAAAAAGUUAAAAUUAUUUAGAAAUCUAGAAAUUGGAAAAACCAUUUGAAAACCGGGAAUUGGGAAAUUAUUUUAAAAUCGAAGACGAUGAGAUACAAAGAAAGGACACGUGGUUCGAAGGUGGCCAUGCUAAGCAUGCAGCGAUUUGGUGCAUCUACAUAUCCAUCCUUGCCAAUGAGGCUUGAUUGGGUGCUUCCCCAAGCCAAGUCUGCUAGCUGUUGGGACCAUUAUUGGCAAGCCCAAGUUAAGUCAUAUAGGAUUUCACACAAUCAUUAGAGCAGCCGAUUGUCCAAAUAAUCACAGAUUCAUCGCUUUUGUGAUCAACCCUUUCAAGUACAGCUCAAACCUGCUUGAGGAGGUCAAGAAUUCUUCACUUAGCUGCACAGUCAUCGCAAGAGGGCACAGUGGUAGAGCUGGACGUGCCAUUGUCAAUCUGUAUCAUGCUUACCAUUUCAGGAAUAAGGCCAAGUAGGAAUAAGGGGCACCAAGACCGACAGUAGCAAAGACUGCCUUCGGAAGAAAUAUUUAUGCAGCCAAGAACGAUGGUAAGGCUGCAAGAGAAGGCAUUUGUUUACCAGACGCGAGGCAUUCGGGUUGAGAACACCACCCAGAACUAUACCAUCUGAACCUGCUAAGGACACACUCAAACCACCAGUUCUAUGGCAGCUACCAUUAUCUUCUGAAAGCAAGAAGAAACCUGACAGAGAGAUAAUAUCAAAUCGACCCUCAUAUGAAACAGUAUCACCAGACAUAGCUGGCUAGCGAAGGGUAACAUUGCAGAUGACACCAUUUACAGAGAGGAUGUAAACUGUUCGGGGCCUUCUUUUCAAUUCCUCAACCAGUUUGUAAAAUGUCCUCUCCUUGCAUCAAAAGUCCCACAGCUCUUAAAAGGCAUUGAGAGCAUAAAGCAGGCUGACCGAAACCCAGCUCGCGGCUACAAAGACGAGACCCCAUGCACGAGGAUUAGACAUGCUCUAGCAAGGUAUUUUACAUCGAGAUUUGCAUAUUACAGAUGUUACAACCAGCAACUUUGGAGUGAGAAACUUCUCCUCUGCCCAGGUUGCGGAUCCCUUAAGCAAAUGUUUCAAGUGGCACUGACGUGAUUUAUCUUUUGGGUCAAAUCUAUGCAGGUUUACUGACCUAUGAUUGCCAUCUGGAGGGGUUUCAUGAUGGAAAUAACCACGUAACUGCUGUGUGGAAUAAGAUAAGAGUCCUAGGACCUAAGGAUGCAUUUGGAUGGAAAGAAGAAACUCAGCCACAAAGCAGCCUGCAGACCACAUAUCAUUGGCAGUUGUAUAUUCUGUAGCCCUAAAGAUCAGUUCUGGAGCUCUAUGAUACCUUGAGCAAAUAUAUGACUUGUUUGGUUCACCUGGCACCACCUUCUUUGAGCUUCCAAAAUCACAUAUAUGCAGCUGAUGAGUGUGGGGAUUGACCCAUAAAUUUUGAAGCUUGAUAUCACAAUGACAGACCCCAAUAGCACUGUGCAUGCAGUUAAGUGCAUGACAGAUCUGGUAUGCAUACAAUUGCACAUAUAUAAUGGGCACAUGCUGGUCCUUCCUGCUGUGAUGUCUUGAAACUUGGUAUGCAGUUUCAAAUACAGCUUCAAGAGCAAGAUUAAGGUACACUGCAUCUCUUUCAUUUCGAUUCUCAGUCACAUCCUCAACAAUUGCUCGUCUCAACAUCAACAUCACACGGAAGAACAAUAGCAAACUCAGGCUGUGGCAUAUUGCUUCCAUAAUGUUUGUUUCCAUUGGCAAUGUUUACUAGAAUUCUAGUGGAUUCUUGGACUUCAACUAGCUGUUGGAGUUCUUGGGCCUUUGGAAUUACAUGAUCCUUCAUGUGUGCCUAGUCAGGCAUCUUCCACAGACUAUCAAACAGAGCUUCAUAGUUCUCUAUACUCUUACCAAAGUCUACCAAUGCAUCCCACUGACUAAGCUGAGUAGCACAAUAAAUCCAUUGCUCCUCACAAAGACAUCCCAAUACAGGCAACCAACUCCAAACAUGAUACCCACACUAGAUAUAUCAGAGACAAAAGACACAGUGAAGGAAAACAGAGCAUGUGAAAGAAGUAACACGAUUAAAUCUGUCUUUCCUCCAUGAAAAUCAAAGAGAGUUAAGAACUGGUGGGAAGUUUUUGAGUCACUUUAACACAAAUAAAUAGUAUAAUCACAAUGCAACCCAUAUAGAGAGAAGAAAGAAAAACAAACAGAGACUAAGCAAAUGGAAGCUGGGAAACAGGUUUAACAUAUUAGACAGCCAAAAUACACAUCCAAAUAUCAGGAAGAAAAAUGGAAAGACUGAAAUAAUGGAGAACUCAAGGUGUAAAAACAGCUAAACCUGAGCGAUCCUUUCGAUCAAAAGUCGUUUGAUUCUCAGCAAGCCGCAACCUUUUUCCUCUGUUCCUUGCUUCUUCUGUGAAAGCUCUCUCUUCUCUCUCAAGUCACUCUCUGUUUCCUUCCCUGGACGUCUUGCCCUCCGAAUCACCUAAAGAUAUCUCUCUAAAACCCAGCAAAAACCAUCCCUCCUCUCUCACAGUUUUCUCUCUAAAAAGAAACCCCCCUUCAAAAAUCUCCAGCUAAAAAAACUCUACUCCCUCAAACUCACCCUCUCUGUCGUCGCCUUCUCCAGAAACAUGCUCUGUUUUCUCUCGCUUCACUCCCUCACCCCCUUCAGCCUUCUCUCCAAAAAGAAAAUCUCGAACGGCCUCCUCACCAAAAGACCUCACUGCCCUCACCUGCAGCCUCCACUACGCCACUAAUAACAGAAGACGCUCCUCAAGACAACGGCCUGCAGAUCCCCAUGCCACCUGUCAACCUUCCAUUGGCAUUUCAAAAGCACCAUAUGAUUCUGCACUGUCCUCUCAAAAGAAGACACGUGGUUGAGCAAGGCUCUUCCACGUGGCAAAAUGAGCAGCUGCAUGAAAGGCCCCAAAUGAGGGUCUACAGAUAUGUUAUAAUAUGCCACUUGUUAUCUGAUGGUUAGGGAGAGAAGAGCUUUGAUUUUUCAAAGAGUGCAUUUCUUGUGUGUAAUCCUGAGAAGAGAAAAUGUGUCUGGAAAAUCAUAUUGAAAAUACAGUGCGAAAUGUAAUAAAUUUUUUGGCUUGAUAAAGAGAAGCUUUCUUGAACAAGAUCUACAAAAGAAAAACUGAUCUGGAAGACCAGAAAUUGCAAUAAGCGGUAAUAGAGAGUUCAAAAAGUUCAAUAUUGAAAAGUUCUCUGGAAAAAGCUGACUUGGGUCCUUGGAGAGUCAAGAUGAAAGUACUCCUGGUUCAGCAAGUUCGGUUCAACAAGGUCUUUAAGAUGCCUUGAAAGGUGAAAAAAGAUCUACCAAAAACCUUAUCAGAAAAGAAGAAAAAUGACAUUCUUGAAAAGGCACAACGUGCCAUUAUCCUGAGUCUUGGAGAUAAGGCCCUUAAAGAAGUGUCAAGAGAAACAUCUGCAGCUGCUAUAUGGUUGAAGUUGGAGAAGCUAUACAUGACGAAAUCACUGGCUAAUAGACUCUAUUUGAAACAGAGGCUUUACUCUUUUAAGAUGGCAGAGGGAAAAUCCAUUGAAGACUAAAUGGAGAGUUUAACAAGAUUAUUAAUGAUCUUGAAAAUGUAAAUGUCAAUAUGGAAGACAAAGAUCAGGCAAUAAUACUUUUGAUUGCUUUACCAAAGUCAUACAAACGUUUUGUUGAUGCAAUGUUGCAUGAUUUUAAAAAUCGGACCGGACGAUCUGGUCAGACCGCAGACUGGUCACCAUUCCAGUCUGGUUCGACGAAUUGGACCAGGGAAGUGAUCGAAUUGACGAUCCCACUGGCGACUUGACGGUCCAAUCGGUGAACCGGACGAACCGUUCGGUUCAAUCUAUUUUUUUUCUUUCCUCCCAGCAUCCGUGUAGCUAUUCCCAUUGUCGUCGGCCACUGGAGCGUCGUCCCAGUGGCAGCACGCGCUGGAAACCACCUCCCGUCCCCUCCAACAUCCCCCACCCCCCACCAUCACGCGCGCUGAAAAGCCCUCCCCCCCCAAAACGCUGCAAAGCCCCGUCGCCGGCCACUCCGUCGUCCCGCCAGUAGCAGCACCCACCCACCCCCCGCCCCGCCCCUUCUCUCCUCUCUCAAAAGUCAAAAAUUUAAAACAGAGAGAAAUCAAACCCCUUUGGUGGAGGUGUGGCGGUGCUUUCCGGGUUUCUUGAUUCCAUUCUUGUGGGCUUUGUAGGACUGGUAUGCAAAGGUUGUACCGAAGUGGAAGAAGAACGAAGUUGUCACAGCUAUUAGGGUUAAGGUUAGGGUUUUGACUCAAAACACAGUGCCCUCUCACCUUCCUUCCAUUUUUGUUUUUUAAAUUUAAUUUUUAUGUUUUAUAUUUAAUAUCUUAAUAUUUAAUUUCUUCCAUUUUUGUUUUUUUGAAUUUAUUUUUUAUGUUUUAUAUUUAAUAUCUUAAUUUUUUUUGUUGAUUAUAAUUAUAAUGAUAGGUUUAAUAUUUAAAAUUUUUAUUUUUUUUAUAUUUAUUGUAUAUUGAAAUUUUAAUUUAUUGAAAUUAUUGAAAAUAUUGGGUUAAUUGACAUUUAUUGAUAAAAAGACCUUUAUGAAAAAACUCAAUAGAUAUUAUUAAAAUUUAGAUAGAAUUUAUUAUUUUUAUUUAAUAAUUUUUAAAAUUUUAAUAAUAUAAAAAAUAUAUAUUUAUGAUAUCACUAAUAGUCUUUCUUACCAGUGAACCGUGAAUCGAUAAUUUUUUCAGUUCAAUGAUCGGUCCGAUUCUAAAAACAUUACAAUGUUAUAUGGGAGAGAGCAAUCUCUAACAUUGGAGGAGGUUCAGGCGGCACUAAAAUUGAAAGAGUCCAAGAAGUUCCAAGUAAUAGAAUAAUCAAAUGAAGAAGGCUUUGUUGCUCGAGGAAGACCAGAAAAAUGAGACAAUAAGGGAAAAGGUAGAAAUAAAUCAAAAUCCAAGUUUAAACUGCGUUGCUACCAUUGUCAAAAGGAAAGCCAUUUAAGAAGAGAUUGCCCUGAAAGAAAACAAAAGCAAACAGACAAAUCAGAAGAACCGGAGGAUGCAACAGCUGCUACAGAUGGCAAUGAAUCAGCAUAGGGGCUUUCCAUGACUGAAAAAGAAUCCAAUAAAGAAUGAAUCUUGGACUCAGGAUGUUCCUUCGACAUGUGUCCAAAUAAGUCCUGGUUUGAAGUAUAUAAAUAGUGAUGAACGUAUGGUUUUGUUGGGUAACAACAAGGCAUGCAGGGUUGCUGAUAUAGGGUCAAUCAGAAUUAAGAUGCAUGAUGGUUUGGAAAGGGUGUUGCAACAAGUGAGGUAUGUGCUUGAACUCAAAAGGAACCUCAUUUUGGGUAUGUUAGAUCAGAUUGGUUGCUCAUUCAAAGCUUAAAAUGGUUGCUUGAAAGUUUUAAAAGGGAUCUAUGGCUAUUAUGAAAGGGGUAAGAAUAAGCAGCAUAUAUGUUCUCAUUGGAAAAGCAGUCAUUGGUGAAGUUGCUAUGCUGAAAAUCAGACAGUUGAUAAGACUAAGUUAUGGCACAUGAGAUUAGGCCAUGUCAGUGAGAAGGGUUUAUAAGAAUUGGGAAAACAGAAUUUACUAGUUGGAGAUAAGAUUUAUUCACUAGGAUUCAGUGAGCAAUGUGUUGGGAAAGGCCAAGAGAGUUAAAUUUGGCACUGGAACACACCAAACAAAGGAAAUUCUGGAAUAUAUCCAUUCAGAUUUGUGGGGGCCAUCUAAAAUCCCUACUCAUGCAAAUGGCAGAUAUUUUAUAUCGAUUAUUGAUGACUUCUCACGAAGAGUGUGGGUUUACAUACUGAAGAGUAAGGAUGAAGCCUUCUUAAAGUUUAAAGAAUGGAAGACAUUGGUAGAGAAUCAAACUGGAAAAAGGAUAAAGAGACUCAACAGACAAUGGGCUAGAGUAUUUUUCUGAAGAGUUUAACAAGAUGUGCUCACAAAAUGGUAUUGCAAGGCACAAAACAGUAAAAAAUAGCCCACAGCUGAAUGGGUUGGCAGAACGCAUGAAUUGAACCCUUCUAGAAAGAGUCAGAUGUAUGUUGUUGAAUGGUGGACUACCAAAAACAUUAUGGGAGAAGCUGUUUCUACAGCAUGUUUUCUGAUUAAUAAAUGUCCUUCAACAGCCAUUAACAUGAAAACACCUAUGGAGAAGUGGUCAGAUAAGCCUGCAGAUUAUAAUGGCCUAAAGGUGUUUGGGUGUUUGGCAUAUGCACACAUUAAACAGGAUAAAUUGCAACCUAGAGCACUCAAGGUGUAUUUUUAUAGGGUAUCCAGAAAGGGUAAAAGGAUAUAAAAUGUGAUGUUUGGAGACUGGCCAUAAGAAAUGUUUCAUAAGCAGAGUGUGAUCCCGCAUUUUCACAUGCGUUCUCACUCGAUAGCGAGACUCAUUUUUUAUUUGUGAAAAAUCAAUUUUAUAAAUAACGGAGUUGCCAAUUAUUUUUAUUUUAUUUUUUUAAAAGGGCAAACAAAAUAAGAAAUAAAAACCCUAAAAAAAUGACUCUUCUUUCUUUAGAAAGACCUGUCUUUGAAAACCAGAGUUUAAGUCCGAGGAUCAAGUUACUUAUUGGAAAGGUACAGUAAAAAACUCUAACACCCCUCUGAGCCUUAAAAGCUAGGUCUCUACUAAGUAAGUUAAGAUAUCUAUGAUAAUUAAUUGGUUAAUUAAUGGAUACUGAGAAAUAAGAAUCUUAAUAAUAAUAAUAAAAAUAAUAAAGGAGUUAGCGAGAUAGAUUCAAGGUGUACCUUAGAUGCAAGAUGAAUGCUAUCAUGAGAGACAAGGUCAAUGCACAAUGACAAGUGCAAAAUAUCCCACAUAAAAUUGGCCAAAAUCAAGCACUAUGAAUCAUGCACUUUACUUGAUUAUUUUUUAAAAAAAUAUUACAAAUGUUCCACCCCUCACCAAGGCCUAAUUUAAUUUUGCAUGAAUUAAUUCUAUGAAUUCCAUUAUUUGAAACCAUAAGUUUAUUCAUGUUUAUUGAAAUCGAGAAAAUCAAGAAAAUAAUUAAAAAAAGAAAAAAGAAAAUUAGGAAGAUGCAUGCCCGCAAGUGUUUAUUAAAAAUCAGGAUUUUGAUGCCUAAAAGCUCCUAAGAAUGGAAUUUUAAAGAAAAACUAGAGUUAUUUAAUGAAAAAGAUUUCCAAAUCCAAAUUUAAAAAGUGUAAGAUCACAAGGAAACGAAAAACAUCAGGAGGAGGAUGAUGCGCAUCAAGGUAACCAUGCGGGAAUGGAACUUGGAAAUUCUGGAUAAAAGAACCCAAUUCACUGGAAAAGUGUUCAGCUAUCAAAUAUGCUUCAAUUUAUAAGGAAACUUGAUUUGUAAGCUCAAUUGGAUUCUCCCCGUCGGUGGUCAAACACUAAACAAAAGGUACAAAAUCCCCAAUUUUCUACACUGACAGAUUUCUUGCAUUAUGUGUUAAUUUCUCACCACCAAGGUUUGAUUCAAUGGCUCCACUAGAAUAUGUACCCUUGUCAUUGCCAUCACUAAGCAGACUUCUCAUUUUUACUUUUAAUCCAUAAUGGAACUGAAUCUAUAAACGAAUGAUUUCCAUUAGUCAAGAUGGGCUAACAACGGUGCAGAGAAGGAACUGCUCGUUUCAUCUUGAGGGCAUGUAGUGCUCAAUUGAUCAACUGAAACAGUACUACAUAAGCUUUGCGACAUUUCUUCUUUGGAAGUCAAUGCAAUAUUUCCUAACAGAGAAGCUCUCCGAAAUAGAAGCAAUUGGUUUAACAUAACAUUUGUAGCUCUGUCCAACCCUAUUUCGCCACCAAGCCCAAAUGACCUUAAAUUUCUGCACAAUAUCUUCAGUAUUCUGCCCAUCUGCUUUUUCUUGGAAAGCCCGUCAGAGAUGCUUUUCUUCCAAUCUCUUAAUAUCUUCACUGAUUUCUUCUUCCUUCAUCUAUGCUUUGUCUAGCACCAAUUCUGGAAAGAUUCCAAUGCUCUGAAUUUCCAGCAGAAGUUUCUCGCUUAAAGACGUGCCUUUGUACCGAAUUCUGAAUAGGCGAUGCUAGGCAUUAAAUCCUGGUCUAGACGAAUAUCAUUAAAACUGUCAUGAUCAGAGAAGAGAUCUUUAAAUUUCUCAGCAAAAAUCAGCUUGGAAUUCCACUUGUUAGUCCACCAUAAGAACUAACAGAUUUCAAAAGAUUGCCACCUAGCUCUCCAGCUAAAGUUCUACCUUGACUCGCAGCCACUAAUCACCCUCCCAAGAAUUAGGUUCUGAGCAUAUUCACUUCUCUCCUAAAACAUGUAUGGAUUGUCAUGCUGGUAAAGAUAAAGUUCGCAAUAGUCCUUGCGGAGGUCUUGCUAUUGUGGAGGUUGGUUUGGACUCUUCUGUGGUUUCUGUUAUUUUAGAUUAAGGCCAUUAUAUCCUCUUUGCACAGGAAAAAUCAUCAUUGAAUGUUUCGCUUUAUCUUUAAUCACGAUCUGCCUCCUCAAAUUCUAGGAUCAAAGCACCUGCAUAAUUAUUCUGAGUUAUGCCUCUGCUGGAAGAUGGACAAGACUGCCUCUUAACUUCACCUCAAAUAACUGGAAUUUCUUAACCUUUACAAUUUGGAUGACAAGUUGGCUCUAAAGAGAGCUAAUUUCUAAUCAGACUGCACAGUAUUCGAAUCACGGUUUUUACUUUAAGAAGUGAAACAGAUUCACCAUGAGAUGCAAGUCUUUGAUCCAGCUUUAGUGCAGAAUUUGUAGAACCAGCCAUUGUCGAACUACUGAGUAUACAUUCUGAUACAAAUAAAAUCCUUUCUAUCAAAUGAGUUUCGUUCCAUCGCCUACUGUAAUCCUUUUUAAUUUUGAACAUGAGAGAAGAAGGAGAGCAUUUUAACUUUUGUUUCGAUUAUCCCAUUUCCAAUAGCAUUUGCCUCAACUUUUGGAGAAAAGCUUCGUCAUUUGGUCUGGCCAUUUGCAAUGCCUUCGGACAAUUCUUACAGCCUGCAUCAUCUUGAUCACUUGGUUUGCAGCAAAAACAGUUUGUUUCUAUGAGAGGAGCAAUUAUUGUUUCUGCGUUCAGUGUAUAGGUGGAUGCCUGAAACUCCAUUUUUUCAUCAAAAACUAAGUCUUCAUCAUAGGAUGAGUGCUAUUGAAGCAUUAGAAUUCAUCCAAUUAAAAUAUUUGAGCAUUCCAGAACCACUUGGCAGAGUACCUUCCAACUACAUGGGAAACAAAGGUGAAAUGCUUGGCUGGAUUCACGGCAAUGUAGUCCUCCUGUAAUGCAGCGAUUUCAAUGUACCUCUGACCGAUUUCAAAAGCAUUCUACUCUUCUUUGGGAUCUGCAGUCUGACUAACCCCAACAAAAAUUUCAGCACGUGUAUCAAGUGUCCAGACACCCUCAGCCAACAGAUCAUUUUGAUUAAAGUUGUAAGUUUCAUCAACCUCAAAUUUCCUUUUGCACCGAAUUCAGAGUUCAUCAUCUUCGUGAGUUUCCUCUAGGUGGGAAAACAACCACUCCAUUCCCAACUCCAUGCUGUUUACUCCAACUUACUACAGAGCCUCUUCUACUCUAAAUUUUGGAAAACCCAUCUCUAGAAUUAUUGAAAUAGCUGUCUCAUUUGGAGGGGGACCAGUUAAUCAAGCGCCUGCCUUGCUUUUGUCAUUUUUCACUUCAACUCCAGAAUAGAUGAGCCAAAUAACAGAAAUGAUUUUUGUAAUGAGAUCAUAACUACAAUCAGUAAAUUGUGGAUUCGUCCAAACUGGAAACACACCUUCAGCAUCACGAACUGGAGGGCCUUUACAAAUGUCCCAGCAUCCCUAGGAAAAGGAAUAUCACCAAUGAUCAGGGGUUGGGCAGGCAGUGCUUUGUAAAUGGAGAUAAAACAGAUGAUGAUGUCACUAGAUGGCCCAUUAGUUUUCCAUAGCUAGGUAAGAGACUGUAAACCUAUGAAUGAUCAAUUUCAUCCUUUCCAUCCGGCUUUGAAUUCCCAUCAUCAGUCUCCAUAGGUGGAGCAGGAGCCUUGUCAACCGUAAAAAGUAGUUGACUGGCAGCUACAAGUGUAGUCAAAACUAAUUGAACCAUCCCAUGUCCAUACAAGCAAUUCACCAGAACUCGAUUAUAGGAGUCUGGCCGGUCCAAUAGAAUGCCAUCAAUGAAAUCAGUAACUUUGCCAAAGUAGAGACAUUCUGUCGAUAUGGAUCCUAUGGUCCAGAUGGAUUUGCAGAACCCCCAAAAUUUAUGUGGUCCAGAGCAAAAAUGGAGACCUCAUAUUUUGAAGAAGGUGACACAUUCAGAGUAUCAUCACAUCAUCGAGGGAGCAGCAUGGCCUUUCCUGACUCUCGAAACAAAUGGGCAAUACGAAAAGAGAGCGAUCUGACCACAUCACAGCAUGAAAAAUAACACGAUCUCUGCUUUUUAUCUUCCUUUUUACUAAUGACUCCAGUAGAAACAGAAGAACCCGAAUGACGCAAUUGAUGACCAUCUGGAUCACCAUGAUAACAGGUGAAUAAUGAAAAAACAUGACCACCUCAAUGUCCAUGUGAAUUUAUUUGUUGAUAAGUUGUGCUUAUUCUUGUUUGCCAUUGUUUCUUUGAUUAGUAGCUUCUGAUUUUUAUGCUGAGCAGUUUCAAAUGCUUUCAAAUGAGCUUCACUAGCAGGAACAUGGUAGUUGACUAUUGACAUCACAUCCCUGCCACUAACUUUUUGAGUUAGUAAAUAUGAAUUCUAUUGCAACUGACUUUCCAACCAAUCUUGGAAAGUCUUUGGAUUCCAUUAGCUUCAGGAAUUAUAGCGAGUCAUGUUUUUGGUAAGCCCAAUACCACAUCUUCUCCAUAAAUCUGAAGAUCACAUAACAGAGCCAUUUCUAUCCUAUCACCCAAUGCUACUCCUUCAACUGUCACUGAAGGAAUCCCUACACUUUCAAUGGUCAAAAAGCCAUAUAAAACUACAACUGCACACCCAAGCUUCAUGGCCUUCAUGUUCUGAUAUAGUGCACUGAAAUAUAAUAAUUUCUUAUCUGAACUUAAAUGAUCUCCGAAGAAUGCUUCUCAAUUCUGAAAGAUUCACCAGUCAUAUACUAUCUGUUAUUACCGAACUCAAUUUGAGCUCCAUUUACACAUCUCUUGUUCUUCUUUCCCCUCAAGCUGCCUUACUUUUGAAGAUUCAAGUAAUCAUCAGAUGCAUUGGAACUCUUACCAAAACCAAAGCUCCUCUGGGAACCUUUACUAUUUACAGGUGUUCCAAUAUUUGGACUCCUUGUCAACAUCGAUUCUUUCUUUCUCAUACACUUCAUCGAUGUAUUUCCAAUUCAUCAACAACUUCAAACAGAUUAGAAAGAGAAAGAUUCUAGUGCACUACGACGGCAGGGCCUCCCAUAUGGCCAAUAAUAAUGUCGAAUGAUACCCUAGUGAGCCAACUGAUUUUUUUCAGCUUAGUUGUGGCUUAAAACUCAGUCUGGAGCAAUGUUUUGCUGACCUCACAAUCUGAGUCAUAAUGGUAACCUGCAGGUCUCUAAUCACACGGGAAUGCAGUGGUUUACCUGGCUCUAGAAAUGAAGGAUCCCAGCAAAACCACAAAAGGAUCGUAUAUACAGUAGAAACAAAAAGAAAAAUGUCCCAAAACAGAGCAUGACCAAAAUAACAAAUAAAUAAACGAACCAUUAAACAGAAACCCACUUCAUGCUGAAUUCAAUGGGUUCAAAGAUGAGUGGUACAACUGAAAGAUUCAAAGCAAAUACUAAGAUAAAAUCAUCAAAGAACUCUCAAUAUGAAAGUGGAACAUGUUCAAAUCAAUUCUCAAAUGAAAUCCCAAGAGCAUGAUAUAAAAGAAAACGAUUUCAAAUUCAACAUCAGUCCAUAAUCAACAGAACUCAUAAAUGGAAAUGAACAUAGGAGUUAUAGUAAUCAUACCUGAGAACAUCUCUCUUCUUCUCCAAAGACCGGUAAGUUCUCUUUCUCCAAAGCCAAAGAACUAGCUGAAAUCCUCCUCCUCUCCUCUAUUAUCUUCUCUCUUCCCUUGCCUUUUAUAGCCUGCUACGAAUCUCAAAAUGUCACGCCCCAAGACCCACUCCAAGGGCGUGAUGGUCAUUUUACACCUCAAACCCGAAGGCUUAAAGUGUAACCUGACCCAAAUAAAUAUAUUGUAACUGGAAGUAACCAAUUACCAAAUACCUAUUUAGAGUAGCGGAACAAAAUUAUAAAAUCUUCAAACUUAACUUUAAAACUAAGCAUCCAUCAACCAAAAUCCAUUAUCUAAAUAGAUUGCGAACUCAACAAAUCAAGUGCUAACAAAUCUUCAUAAUCUCUAAAUCUCAACUUCAAACUAUCAUAAAUAAAAAAAAUAUUUAAAAGUUCAAUAUCUAAAUAGCUUCCAAAAACCAAAUAAUCCAAAUGAACAUAAACUUAUAAGCUACCAAUGUUCAAAAAUAACAUCCUAAGAAAAAUCCUAAUGAUGACCAUUUCCCGACCUAGCCAUCACUUCUUGCCCAAACUAAGGGUACCUGAAAAAUUAUCAACAAGGAGAAUGAGCUCAAAGCCCAAUAAGGAAUAUUAAUGUCGUCCAUGGAUCAAAUAUUUUAAGUUCACUUACAAAAUAGGAGAUAUUAUAACUAAUUAUUUUCAUAAACCUUUGAGUCAAUUUUGUCAAUACAUUCAAAACUUUUAACUGUACACUUUCAUUUCUGAUUCAAACAUUUUCAUAUCAAAUCCAAUCAAAACGUUCAAAUUAUUUAUUUACUCUGGUCAUCAAACAUCAAAUGGUGCCCAGUUAGGUGGGACAUUUCAAAUAGGUGGCUAGCCUCAAAUUGUUCCUUUAAGGUGGACGGAACCAAACACUACUAGUACUAGUAACCUCUAAUCAAACCCCUAGAGGCUGAAGUCAAAAUCAAUUACAUUCCUCACUAAGAAAUGUAAAGGUCAACUAUUAUAUCCCGUUGACAAAGGCCAAAAAGUCAAAAGUCAACUAUUUUAUCCCGUUGACAAGGGCCAAAUAAACAAGAGUCAAACAUUUAUUUCAAUUAUUCAAAUUUGCAAAACAUAAUAUCUCCACAUGUCUCUAUUAUAAACAAAAUGUAAGGUUCUAACAUACUUUUCAUGCAAAACAUAUUUGAUCCAUGUAUAAAACGAAUAAUAACUCAAAAUAUUUCCAAAUGAUGUAUAUAAAAAUUUGUUUCUAAAAAAAAAAAAAAAAAAAAAACAACUGCAUUAAUUUCCCUUACCUCAAAAGAAAUUCUUGAAGGCUUGGGAGAAAAAUAAUUCUAGAAAAAAAAAAUUACUCUCCACCUAAUAUAACAUAAGAGAAACAAUUAUUACUAUUUAUCUAUAAUUUAACUAAUCUAUUCCUUGUUUAAAUAAAACUAAUAAAUUCCCAAUUUGUUUCUAAUAACACAUUACUAAUUUAAUUAAAUUACAAUUUUAUUUCAUUAUAAAAUUCUAUAUAUAUUUUGCUAAAUCUCCCAUUCUAUUUAUUACAAUAAACCAUUAUUACUAUUAUCUUAUUUAUUAAUCUAAAACUAAAUAUUAUUAUUUGAUUAAUUGACCAACUCAAAAGCCACCCAAACCAUUACCCACUUGUCUCAGGUAUACCAAACCAAUAAAACAAAGCAAUAUUUUUUUUUUCAUUGCCAUCAUCAUUAUUAUGAUGAUUCAUUAUAUAUAUAUAUAUAUAUAUAUAUAUAUAUAUAUAUAUAUAUAUAUAUAUAUAUAUAUAUAUAUAUAUAAAAGCCUUCAUUCCAUCUGGGCACACGCUCUUUUUUUUUUUUUCAUUCCGGUGUGCAUACACGUGUUUUUUUUGCUUUUUUUUUAUAACAUUUUCUAGUCCCUUCAACCACAAAUAACAAUAUAUUUAUUUACUUUUUUUUUUAUUUAUAAAAAUUAGCCCUAACCUAAAAUCGAAACCUUCCAAGGAACCUUUUUUUUUUCAUAAAAAAAACUUAAAAUCUCCCAAAUUCCACCAAUAAAUCAAAAUCUUAAAUUUUAUUAUUAUUAUUUUGAUAUUAAAAUGAAUUAAAAAAAAUAAGUAAACUAACCCUAAUCUAGAUUUGGGUUUUCCAAAAGAUAUAUAAUGUGUUUGAAAUUAACCAAUAAAUCUAAAAUAUUAAACUAGGGGUUAGAAUCUUACCUAGAGAGAUUUGUUCUUCAACCUUGAAAUGUGACUCCAACCUUACGUUCUUUGGAAUUCUGCGAACAGGAACUCUAUUCAGAAAAGAAUAGGAAGAAUAUAAUUUCUAAUUUAUACCUAGGGUAUUUAUUCGUAAAAUUACAUUUUUACCCCUCUUUCAUUUUAUUAAAUUAAUUAAUUAGCUAAUUUAAUUAUCAUUAAUAAUUUCCUAAAUUACCCUUAAAAAAAAACUUGGGCGUUACACAAAAACUCCCCAUUUUCUUCUUCAAAACCUUCUCUGUAGCUUCUCAAAAAUCUGCUCUCUCCGUCUAAUCCCCUCUCUAAACCCAGCUCUUUCCUCCUGCAACUCUCUCUCUUUCUCUCUUAUUUUUCUCCAGAAAUCCAGAAGAAAAAAAAUGUUCUUCUCUAGAUUUCCCCAAAAAACCCCUCUGUCUUUCUCCGUCUUUCUCUCUUUCUCUAUUUCUUUUUCCAUUUCUUUCUUUUCCUUCCAAAAAAGUUCCUUAAAAGAUGAAAACUGAAAAACCCUUUCUUGAAAAAUCUUGUCGUGAUUCCAAACUGAAGCCCCUCUUCUCUCCAAUGCUAUCCACGUGAUCUCUUCACCCUUAGCUGACUAAUCUCCAGAAUCCUCCAAAUAUAACUAUCACGUCACCUCUUUCAAAAUGCACACUUCUCUGACUCUCAUCUCUUCUCUGCCCAUCUCCACAUGAUUUCCAUGUCAUACUCCGGAUUGUAUUCUAUGAUUAUACAAGAAUUGAAUGCUGAAUCACAUGAGAAAAUAUGUCACAAAUCUCUAUAGAAAUGGUAAUAACCUGAAUCCAUUUGCGCGUUUGAUGAAGAUGGUAUGGAUCUUCUACGAGCAAUGGAGGACACCAUCUCUUACACUGUAUUCUCUCAAGCAAUGGGAGUAGGAGAGAGAGCGGUUGUUUUCUACUAUUCAAAGAUGUGAUGAUUGUGAAAAGACACAAGCCUCAGCCCUUUUAUACCCUCCUGCCUUAGGGACCAUACCCAUUGAUUAUUGGGCCUCACGGGCCUUAGGCCCAUCAUCUAAAGCCCGUGAUGACAUUAGGCUCUACACAUUAGGUGGCCCAUACUCAAGAUUAAAAUCAGAAAUUAUAUGUUAACAGAUAGCUUAAUCCUGAACAAUGUUUAAUAUAAUGUCGGUCCACAUUUAUUCUAUCAAUCUCUCACUUGGACCACAUAUAUAUUACAAACAAUGUUUAUGAUAAUACUUUAUUGAGCUCAUCUUUGCUAUCUUAUCAAAAUAUCCUUAAACAAUUCGGUCUACUAAUUAUGCUAACAUAGGAUUAAAGCGGUCUUCGUUAAUCAUAAUUAUAACUUGACCUAUAAUCAAUCACAACAUUAACAAAAUUAGCAACAUGUAUCAAGUAUGGAUGUGUAGCAUGGAAAUUAUAUAAAAUAUGAUCUUUAAUAUGUCUAUUUCCAAUUGGUCCUACUUUAUGACUAAAAGAUAGUCAAAUACCACUUUCAACACUUGAUGUUAAACUGCUUCUAAAAGUCAUCAUUUCAAUUCAGAGAAUUCAAAUACAAUAGUCUUUAAAAUCGAGAUUUGUACAGAUAACACAACAUAAUAUCACAUCAAGAAAAUAAACACAAAAUCUGAAUACAAACUCCCACUAUACUGGCACAUCAUCAAUGUGUACAACACCCAUAUGUGUGACGUGCUCAUGAUAUACUUUGGGUGGCAAACCCUUAGUGAGCGGAUCCGAAAUCAUGGAGUUUAUGCUUAUGUGUUCAAUCGAUACUUGAAGACUCUGAACUCUUUCUUUCACAACCAAGAACUUGAUGUCAAUGCGUUUGGACUUUGACGAACUUUGGUUGUUCUUAGAAUAUAAUUCUGCGGCCUUAUUAUCACAGUUGAUUCUCAAUGGUUUCUCAAUCCCAUCAACGAUUCGUAACUGAGUGACAAAAUUCCACAACCAUAUCCCAUGGUUUGAUGCUUCGUAGCAGGUUAUGAAUUCUGCCUCCAUGGUGGAAGAAGCAAUAAGUGUUUGUUUAACACUUUUCCAUGAAACUGCUCCUCCAGCUAACAUGAAGAUGUAGCUUGAAGUGGAUCUCCUACUGUCAAGACAUCCUGCGAAAUCGGAGUCCGAAUAUCCCACGAUCUCUAAGUGACUUGAUCUAUGGUAUGUGAGCAUGUAAUCUUUAGUUCUUUGUAAAUGCCGCAUAACCCGUUUUGUUUUUUUCCAAUGAUCCAUACCUAGGUUACUUAAAUAUCUGCCUAACAUUCCAACAAUGUACGCAAUAUCCGGACGCGUACAAACUUGUGCAUACAUGAGACUUCCUACUGCCGAGGCAUAGGGAAAUCUCUCCAUAUAUUUUUUUCUCAAGUUCAUUUUUUGGACAUUGGUGCAAACUAAACUUAUCGCCUUUUGCUACAAGCUUGUCUCCUAGUGCACAAUUGCUCAUGCCAAAUCUACUCAACACCUUAUCGAUGUACCUUUUGUGAUAACCUAAGUAUACCUCUUGAACGAUCCCUAUGGAUCUGUAUACCCAACACAAAAGAUGCAUUACCAAGAUCCUUCAUGUCAAAUUUACUAGACAAAAAUCGCUUGGUUUCAUGCAAAAGUCCCACAUCACUACUUGCAAGUAGAAUAUCAUCAACAUAUAACACCAAGAUAAUGAAUUUGCUCCCACUGAACUUAAGGUAUAUGCAUUGAUCAACAGUGUUCUCUUUAAAACCAAAUGAAGUAAUCACCUAAUCAAACUUUCGGUACCAUUAUCGAGAUGCUUGCUUUAAACCAUAUAUGAACCUUUUUAAUCUGCAUACAAGUUGCUUUGAAUCAUUAGACUCAAAGUUCUCCGGUUGCACCAUGUAUAUUGUCUCAUCAAUGUUGCCAUUAAGAAACGUAGUUUUAACAUCCAUUUGAUGUAGCUCUAAAUCAUAAUGAGCUACAAGUGUCAUGAUGAUUCUAAAGGAGUCUUUUAAUGAAAUUGGUGAAAAAGUCUCCUUAUAAUCAAUGCCUUCAUUUUGAGUGAAACCUUUUGCAACUAGGCGUGCCUUAUACCUAACAAUGUUGCCUUUUGAAUACCACUUGGUUUUGAAAAUCCAUUUACAACUAAUUGGUUUUACACUUUUAAGCAACUCUACUAGGUCCCAAACACUAUUGUCUUUCAUUGAUUUCAUCUCAUCCUUCAUGGCUUCUAUCCACUUUUCAGAAUCAGAACUUUGUUUGACUUGACUUACUAAAAUUGGAUCGUCUUCCAGACCCAUGUCAAACUCAUGUUCUUGGAGAUAUACAACAUAAUCAUCUGAAAUUGUACUUCUCCUUUCUCUAGUGGAUCUCUUUAGUGGCACUUGUACUUGAGGUUCUUGAGGUUGUUGAGUUACCUCUUGAUGAACUUGAAUCGGUUCCAUAACUUGAGCAGGAGGAAUCUCAGGUGUGUCUUGAAUCCCUGUUAUCGACUGUACAUUCUGAAUAGUGUCAUCAAACAUAAUAUGACCAUGUCUAGUCGUAAUAAUAGGAAUAUUAACAGAUUCCUCUUCAAAGACCACUUUUCUUAAUGGCUCUCUCCCACUUAACUCAACAUCCUCAAUGAACUUAGUAUUGCCCGUUUAAAAAAAAAAUCUAGUUGAGGGAUCAUAAAAUUUGAAACCUCUCGACCUUUCAGAAUACCCUACAAAGUAGCAACUCACUGUUCUGGAGUCCAAUUUCUUUUCAUUUGGCUUGUAAGGCCUAGCUUCAGCUAGACAACCCCAGACAUGCAAGUACCUAAUACUAGGUUUCUUGCUAGUCCAUAACUCAUAUGGGGUUUGGGCUACUGCUUUGCUUGAUACUCUAUUCAAAAUAUAAACUACAGUUUUUAUGGCUUCGCCCCAAAGUGAUUCUGGUAAGGUGGAAUGAUUGAUCAUACAUCUUACCAUAUCCUUAAGAGUACGGUUUCACCUCUCUGCUACACCAUUUUGGCUCGGAGUCCCUAGGAUGGUGUACUGAAGAACGAUACCACACUCCAUCAAAUAUUUGGUGAAUGACCCUGGACGUUGUUCUCCGGAUCUGUCAUAUCUACCAUAAUAUUCAUCUCCACGGUUAGAUCUGACGACUUUUAUUUUCUUGCUUAGUUGGUUCUCAAAUUCAGCUUUGAAAUUCUUGGAUACAUCCAAUGAUUGAGACUUUUCAUGAAUCAAAUAAAGAUAGCCAUAACACGAGUAAUCGUCAAUGAAAGUGAUAAAAUAUUGUUGUCCAUUCUAAGAAGGGGUAGGAAAUGGACCACAAAUGUCUGUAUGUAUCAAUUCCAAGACGUCACUGCACUUAUUAGCAUUCUUUUUCUUCAUAUUUGUUUGUUUUCCUUUAACGCACUCUAUAUAGACUUGAAAGUCUGAGAAAUCAAGUGGAUCGAGAAUUCCUUUUGACACAAGUCUUUGUCUUCGUUGAUUUGAAAUAUGACCCAAACGCUUGUGCCAUAACAUUGAUGAAUUCUCAUUCAUUAAUUUUCGCUUAAUGCCAUAAUUACUUGAAUGCAAGGUUUCAUUUCCAUUAGUGGCCUUUAUGUUCAAUUUAUAUAGUUUGUCUGUUAGACUACCUGUACCAAUAAUAUUUGAAUUUAGAUAGAGACUAACCAUUUCAUUUCCAAAUGAACAACAAUAUCCAAAUUUGUCCAAACAUGAAACAUAAAUUAAAUUCCAUCUAAACGACGAUACUACAAAAGUCUCUUCCAAAUCCAAUGUACAUCUAGAGUCUAACUGUAAUCUGAAAAGACCAAUAGCCUUGAUUGCAGCCUUGUUGCCAUUUCUCACAUAGAUGUAUCUUUCACCAUCAGUUGGCAUUCGGUUCCUUAGGCAACCCUACAUAGUGACACUUAUGUGAGUAGUUGUACCCGUAUCUAUCCACCAAGUGUCUGUAGGCACUACAGCUAAAUUAAUUUCUAAACAAACAAAGUUGAGAAGUGUACCUUUUUUUUCACGCUAAGCAACGUAUUUGGUACAUGUCUUCUUCAUAUGACUAGCCUUCUUGCAAAAGAAACAAGUGAUCUCCUUAUCUUGUUUCUUCUACUCCUUUUGCAUUGAUGUCCCAGAAAUCGCAGUUUGUUUUCCUUUAUUGUCCUUCUUUCUUUUCUUGCUGGUACCAAAUCCUUGAGAUGUGGAAGCCAAGUGAGCACUUUCUAUCUUUUCUUGCUUCAAUCUCUCCUCAUCUUUCACACAUUGAGCAAUAAGCUCAUUCAAAGUCCAUUUUUCCUUUUGUGUAUUGUAACUGAUUUUGAAUGGGCUGAAUUGUGUAGGCAGAGAGAUCAAGACCAAGUGUACGAAUAUGUCUUCCAACAACUCUAACUUUUGUGCCUUGAGUCUUGUCACAAGAUUAGACAUUUCCAUAAUGCACUCCCUAAUAUUCUCUUUCCCUUUAUACCGUAUAGAGACAAGCUUAUUAAGAAUAGUGCUUGUCUCAACCUUUUCGUUUGCAGCGAAUCGGUUUAUUAUCUGGUCCAAGAAUGCCUUGGCUUGGGUUUCCUCAGGUAUUGCACCCCUUAUUGCUUCUGGAAUUGAGUGUUUCAUAAUCAGUAGACUCAUGCGAUUGGAUCGCUCCCAUUUUUCCAUAGUAGACCUUUGCCCAGCAGUGCUGGCACUAGUAAGAUCUGAAGGAUGAUCCUCCCUUAAUGCAAAGUCUAAAUCCAUGCACCCGAGCACAAUUAUAACUGUAGACCCUCAAUUUUGUCCCUUGAGCACAUAUCUUUAAAUUCACUUCCAGUGCUCUACGGUAGUUCCUUGGUGACCCAUUACUACUCGUACGACUUACCUUUUUCUGAGUCACCUCGGAGACUUUGGUUGAGGGAUUAUUUGAUCCCUUAUUGUGACCCCUGGCAGCCCUAACUUAGACUUAGGCUUUUCUUGUCUUUUUUUAGGAUAGCUUUUAGAUACACUUGGCCUUUAGGCACCGCUCUAGGCCCACUUAGGCACACUUGGCCCAUUUGGACAUUCUUAGCGUGACUUAUAUGACUUGCGUGUUUACAUGGCUCGUAGGGCCCAUUUUUUUGUUAAUUUGUUUAUUUUUAUUUUAUUUUCCUCUUUAUAUUAUUUUCCUUAACUUAUUUAUUUAUUUAUUAUUUUUACCAUUUUCUAAUUUAUUUACUUAUUCAUCUAUUAAUGCAAUUAUUUAACUUCUAAAAUUUCAUGUUUUUGCAAGGAAACUUACCAUUGGAGUUUAAGGAAGGUGGGACUCUCUUUGGAAGGUUUUGGAGGGGAAUUUGAAAUUGGGAAGAUUGCUUUUGAUUGGAAGAUUUAAAAAAAGAAGAGAAGAAGAAAGGAAAUAGGAGAUUUUUCCUUUUUGGGAAACAAAUUUAGGUCUUGAGGGGUGAGAUAUAUAGGUGAGGAAAAGGAAAAGGAGGGGCUUUUUGAUCGUGGGAAGAGAUUUUUCUUGGAGAAAAAGCACGCAUUGGAGGACGGGGGGGAGAGAGAUUCUUUGAUUAAGGGAGGAAAAGCACAGAAAAGCGAGAAAGGAGCAAUUGCAACCGAGUUUGUCCAGGUAUGCUUCUUGUUACUCUUGGAAUUCUUACUCAUAUUCGAUUUCUCUGUGUGUUCGUUCCUAAAUAUUUAAUAUACUGUUGAUUGGUGUGGACGGAAAGGGCCACAAAUUGUUUUGUUGAUAUUGGUUGCUUACUUAUUUUGUCCCGAAUCUGUUUAUGAUCUUCCCACUAGCCUGAACCCAUUGAAAGACCAUGAGAUGUGGUUUUAUCUAAUUUCCUCCCGCAUGUUCCUUCUCUCUUUGUUUUCUUUGUUUUCCACCACACUUGUUUUUUUUUUUUGGUUUUCCUUCUACUCGUCAUGUAGCCGUCAACUCUUCAUAUGGGGGUGACUCCAAGUGUUUGGGCAUACAGUCGUGAGAUUCAGCGAAGAGAUCGAACGCUUCAAAAUUCUGUUUGGACAUGCCAUUCUGUCGGUUCAUAUAAAAGAAAGCCAAUGACAGCUGCCACAUUUUCUGCCAAUGGUUAUGUUCUAUUGCUGUGGAAACUGUUAUCGCAAUAUGGGAUCCAGAGAAGAUUGUCCUAGUGGCUUGUCGGCUGCUUAUGCACUUGUUAAGCUUGGUUACGAUAAUGUAAAUUUGCGGGUUGAUAUGGGGGUUAGAGACGAGGCUUCUCGGAAUUCGAUCGUUUCAAAGUAUGUACACUGAGGGGAGGUUGAGGAGCGUGGAAAUUGUUUGAAGAAAUGCCAAUGAGAAGGAAUGUUGGUCUUCCAGUCUGCAAUGAUAAACAUGUAUGGGAAAGAAAGGAUUUUUGUGGAGAUGUUAAGUUUGUUUUCCGGAUGCUUGUUUCGGCUUAUGAGGUCCAGCUCAAUGCGGCAACAAUGAUAUGUAUUAAGUGCGGGAAUGAAGAGAAUAGCAGAUCUGUUGUUUGUGGAUAACCUGGUUGGAACAAAAUACAGCUUCGUGGAAGAUACAAAGCUAUUGGUGAAGACUGAUUUGACUAUAUUGUUGAAGGAGAUUUUCAACAAGGAAUGAGAGCCUCCAGCAGAGUCCUCUGUACACAGAAGCAGAGUCUUACAGAGGAAAAUUUGUUGUCACUCUUGGAUUGGCAGCUCUGGAAGCCACAGAAGCAGGAAACUUGAAGCUUAAACUUGGAGGAGUUGCAUCGGGAGAUAGUUGGAUCUCCCCAAAAGAUUGUGUUCUCGCGAGAUCCCCUUCUCAAAAAUGUCCCUUGAAGUUGUCUAUUGUGUGAUCCUUAUUGAUGAUGGGGAGUACAUCUUGUCGUUUGCUAUUGGUGAGAGAUACAUUGCAGUUUGGAGAAUUGAUGGUAGUAGUCAGCCAGUUGUGUUCUUGGCUAUUUUUUGAAUGGAGCACCCUGCUGACUUCCUAGAUAAGAGGUGUUGAUGGGGGCAACAGCUCUGAAGGGAGGGGCAGAGGUGUCUAGUAUGGGAUCACCAUUUAAGGAGAAAUUCGACCCUCAAAAAGCUAUGGCUCUCGGAUUGAAAGCUGGCCAAAAUACCGUGAAUUACAGUUUAUGAAAUCACUGUUCGGUUGAUCAAUUACACAAAGAGAGGAAAGGAAUUAUGGAACUUAUUCCACUCGCAGCCCAUGCGUGACCAAAAGGGUGAACUUCAAAUACUUCAUUGGUGUCCAAUUAGAUGGAAAUGACCGUGAGGAACCCCUCCGAAACCGCCUAUCAGAGCAAACCGAGCAAUAAAGUGCUAAGCUGGUCAAAGCUACUGCAGAAAACGUCGAUGAAGCUGUUCGGGAACAUCUUGAUGCUAACUCGGUAAGAGACCAGAAAAUUUGUGGACAAUCCACUCUCAACCCGCCUUCCCAAAGUCUCACAAAGAAGGAAUCAGAUUCUUCUAAAUCAUAUUCGAAUGGUGGAUGAGGCCCAGAAAAAUUAUCCUAUUCCGAGCCUUUGAAGGAGACUUUGGAUCCCCUUCAUGCGGUAUAUGAAAGCUUGAAAUUAGAUUAUCUUCGCAAAAAGGACUUGGUACUUCUGGUGGUUCUAUUAUGUAAUGUUGCUAAUUUUCUAGGAGAGAGAAGUUAUUUGGACCAUUAUGUUCAUGAUUUUCCUGGUAUUUCUAAGAAACUUGAGAUGUGUAAAGACUGUCUUUCCCAGACAACUCCUCCUCGUCUAUUCAGAUGGCUUGAACGCUGCUUGCAGUGAGGAUGUAAUUCUGCUAAUAUAAAUGACCUUUCACCUCUGAUUCAUAAAGAUGGCCAUUCAGUUAUUUGGGCCCGAGAGAUAGUUUCCCUCCAAAGUCUGUUAUCUGGUGCGAAACCAUUGGGGAGAAAACCUUCAUCUGGUGUUUAUGGUAACCUUGCUACAGGAGCAUCUUCCAGUCCUGAGGAGUUAACAGCCGUGGCAAUGGUUGGGGAAGAAUCUGGACUUCAACAGCUGGAUUUACUGCCUGCUGAUGUAUCCCUUCCUCUUCGGCAUGCAUUGGAUAAGUGUCGGGAAUCUCCUCCCACUGAUUGACCAGCAGCCGCAUAUGUUCUCGGACAGAGGAUUUGGCUUUGUCAUGUUUGGUUCAUUCACAUAAAUACAAGGAACUCGAGAUCCAAACCAACGCGAAUUUAAUUUCUAUGUCUAUCCUUUAUAAGCUACAUUUGCAUCCAAUCAUUAUUCCUUCUACAUCUUCUGAUACAAUUAGAUUGGACAAUACCAAGUUUAAGGAUACAGAUUCUGUUGAUGGAUCCAUGGCACAUGAGAUGGAAGCAGGGAUCUUCGCCAAGGUUCAUGCUGAGAGAAUAAUUUCAUCACUAAGACUCGGAAUCCCAUCUAGACCUCUCGUCAAAAGUUCUCCUCCUGUUUGAUUUCGCUUACCAUUAUAGUCAUCUGCAGUAUCGGAUUUCAUUCGAAUUCUUCGGACAAGUCCUUGCAUUCAGCCCAUGGAGAUGACAACCAGAAUUCCAAAGCGGCAGCAAUUAUGACCAGGAGGAUGCUUUAGUCACACCGUCUGCACAAUUAAAGAAAGAUCCAAUCCAGUUUUCAUACAAUUCAAAGUCUGAUGCUCACAGGAAUACAUCUUCUUUAUCUUCUACAAAAUUUGGACUCAGCAGCUUUGAUGAAGCCACACUUUCUAUUGAUGAUUCUGUAGACCAGAUUGCUGAGGUUCUCAACUCUUCUAGGACUUGGUGCGAUGACAUACAUAGGAGUAUUGGAUACGAUAAAUUUUGGAGUCAAAAUCUUCGAGGCCAAAGCCACUACGUUAGACGACGCUCAUCCAACCGCUAUGAAGACUUGAAAGCUUAUUGAAGGAGUUGCUUGAUCAGAAAAGUAUUAUGAAGCAGGUAUUACAUUUCAGAAUGGAGGGUUUAGGAAUCAUCUUGCAUAAGAUUCAGAAUACUGUCACAAUUAUUAAUGAGAAGGAAGUUGCUGUCAUCCAGUCGUAAGAUGAAAUUCCUUGUCUCUCCUAUCACUCAUGCUACAGUGCAAUCUAAGGUUGCAUUUGACCUUUCUGAAUCUGUUAAAAUUUUGAAGCAUUUAGCCAAGUCAGAUUCUGUAGUAAUAUAUAUUAUUGAAGAACCUAGGGAGAAUGACAUUGCCAAACGGAUCAGUGAAUGAAUGCCUUAAGGAGAAUAUUGAUACAAAAGUCGUUGAGGGUGACAUGUUUAUUGGGAAAUUAUUCCUGGAAUGAGAUGGCUCUCUCAAUCCAGAUUAAAGAGUAGAUGGACGUAGUAGUCUCAGUACCUCCAAUGGUGAUUCGGGCUCUUCAUUAAGUGAUUCAGAUCCAGGCACUUCUUCAGAUGGUGAAUCAGGAGGUGUUUUCCUCAAUUUUGGCAAUGGCCCUGCUGAAGAUAGUUAAUAUGGUCUUAUAACGAGGACUCCCUGCUCCAUAUAAGAGGAAGGUCUCGAUUUGAAGUAGAAGGAUGCAUGGUUCAAUCAGUGACUAAGAGAUACUUAGUUUUCGAAACGGCUAGGUCCAGACUUUGCAGCUGUCGAUAGAGAUAUUCUGGCCAGAAUUGCAUAUUCUAAAUUAUUUGAUUGGGUUGUGGGCAAGACAAUUUGUUCUCCUUAUGACAGAUAGAUUGCAUUCGAAAAUGGAUGAUCUUUUAUAGACUGUGAAUUCUGCCAUUGACCUCCAUAACAAGAUGAUUAAAAAUGUGUACCUGAUAUUAUAAUAGAAAUGAACUGGUCAGUCCCAGAGAUUGAAGGUAACUUAGCUGAGCAAAUUGAAGAUGCUGGAAACUGCAUUCUAGGGGAAGCGAGUAACUGUAAGAAGCUCAGGAUUCUAAAUUUAUCCUUUAACUCACUUACUGAUCUAUAAUCAGAUGGUCUCAUCGAGCUGCAUCAAGGCCAUUAGGAAAUGCAUUUCAAAUGUUGCUUUAAUGGCUAAGGUUUCUUCCUGCACAACUUCAAUUGGCUUUAUUGAAGCCGAGUUGAACGGACAGUAUCGUCCAGUUGAUGAGCCAGUUGCAAAGUCUCGGGCUGCCAUCCAAACUUCUGGCGAGGCUGUUUAUGCGGAUGGCAUCCCCUCUCCGACAAAUUGCCUACAUGGGGCUUUCAUUUAUGAGACAAAGCCUUUGGCUUGAGUAGACGAUACCAAACUUAACCCCCAAAUCAGUGGCAGCUGGAGUCAGUACACUUAUCUCUUUUAGAGAUAUCCCAAAAUCCCCUGCAGCUUUAAACCAAUAAAUGCAGAAUUGUCAAACCAGAAUAUUAAUAACCAAGCCAAUUCUGGAAAGCAUUGGCGUCCUCUUCAACACUAAGGCAGGCUAUAAAAUUUUGAAAAGCUUCUCGAAGUUGAUAUAGUAGAGCAAUGAAAGACGGAGGAGUUAAUGGCUCUACUUGACCCAAAGCUCCAGAUGACACAGAGGAGCCUAAACCAACCCAAUUGGAAGUUUUCUUCUCAAGCUGGCAAUCAUCCUUCAUACAGCUCGUCUAAAGAGGAAGCUGCUUCCAGGUUUCAGACCGAAUCUAUAUCCAGUUUAGGGAGGAUGUCGACAUCAAUUAUUAAACGAGAUAUGCAAUGAAAGAGGUAACAGAGGGGAUGGUGAUCUUUGUCAUGAUAAGGGUUUUGAAGGUCACGAUUCAUGCUCCAAAUGCUCAAAAAGUUAAAUUCGCAGAAUCAGGGAGAACAAAAAAUGUCUGAGCAAAUCUAAAUAGCAAAUAAGAAACCACAAGAGAAGCAAGAGGAUGGUGGAGCUUGGUAUCUUCUUGACAGCCACUCUUGAAAGUCUAAAAAUGCAGGAUACAUCAGAAAGUCUCUAACUUACUGCUCAUUUACCUUCAUCCAUGCGAAUAAGUUAUUGAAACCUAUUGGCUGAAGGUUAAUUUCUGAUCAUAGGCAAAUUGAUAUGCUUGAAGAAUGAAAAGUUAUUCGGGAAAUCGAACAUCAGAAUAUCAAUCAGGAUGCGAGUAUUCAGUUGAAGAAAUUUAACUACGAGCAAGUUGACAAUAGAAACAGAAUCUAGAUGUUAAUAUAAGAGAUUCUUUCUUCUAUACAUUUCCACACCAGAUGCGAACCCGGAAUUCAUCAAAGUUAUUACAUGUCGGAGUUAGGCUACCUGUCAGAAAUAUCCGUACCCAAUGAAACUUUGCAUGGGAUCCCAGAAUUUAAAUUCAGAAAUAUGGGGAAAGAAGAUAUUAAAAAAUGAAACAGUGGCUGGUACAAGAAUGUCUCAUUAGGAAUUGUUUAAAGUUGUAUUCCUGAAAUGCAGGCAUCCUUCUUCUGACCACAGAAGACCAAAAAGCUUCAGCUUCUACUCUCUCCUAUAUUAAAAUCAGUUGGCAAAAUGGUGGUUAUUUUGGUAGCGUCAACCAUGCUAAAAAUGCUUCAAUACUCCUCCCCCUUUAUUCCAACCCUGAACUAAGGAAAAUGAUGCAAAACCCAGAAUUUCAUUGCUUGCUAACUUCACCAGUGAAGACAAGAGCAUUAACAACAAUGAGCAACGAGGAGCUUAUAUGUUCAAGAAAAUGGCCCUGAGAAGUCAGAUAUGGAGAUUCCAGAAAUAAGGAGAAUUCAUAAGGAUGCAGCAAGCUGAAAAUAUUGAAAAGGCAGAAAAAGGCAACAGCAAGGGUAUGUAUUCUGGAGGAGCUGAUGAAUCAAGCCUUGAUGAUGAGAAAAUAGCACAGAAUGCAGGAAAUAUAGCAAUACAGAAAAGUAAGAAUUUUGAGCUUUAUGUUCAGUGUUUGACCAGCGUUGGGGAGAAUCCAUCUGAGCUUAUGAACCAAGUUAUCUUAUAAAUGGAAAUGCUUCUGAUCACUGAAUACUUUGGCAACGAAUUGGGUCUUUCUAUCCCGAACUCCACUCCAUCAGGCAACCUAAGUAACUCAGUCUCAAAAGCAGCCUAGACACUAAUCCAGCUUGGCCGCCUUGCCUCACAUCGUACUCCUCCUAUUGUUUCUUUUUUUUUUUUUUUUUAUGAUCUUAUACGUCUUAAAACCGGAUUUCAAAACCUUUUUCUAUCAAAAAUGAAUUUGGUUUUCUCUAAGGUUCCUUAGAAGCAUUUAGGUACAAAAUCCAGAUUUUAACAUGCAAUUUGCUGCCACUUUAUUUCGGAUAUGCACUUUCACUGUUUUCUUUGAUUUUUAACUAUUUUCUUGAUUUUUCUCGAUUUUUCUCGAUUUUCUCAAGCAUGAAUACACUUCAUGAUUCCAAACAAUGGAAUUCAUUGAAUCAACUCAUGCAAAAUUAAUUAGGGCUUUGGUGGGGGCCCGACAUUCAUGAUACCUUUUUCAAUAUUGUUUGCUUGAUAUGUUGAUUUUUUAUUCUUCUUGAUGAUAUACAUGAAUUCGUUUCGUAUUUAUCGUUGAGAUGCUUUUGAUUCCCAUAGAGGAGUACUAGCUUGCUAUCCAGAUACGCUCUCUUCUCAUCUAUUUUUUUUAGAACUCUAUGGACUUGUAUGCCAUUGAUGACUAUAUCCAUACAUGAUGUGAUUUUUGGAUGUCUUGAUAUAUGUCUGAUUUGCUUGAAUAAAACAAAUGUUGUGUGCUACAUUUCUACACUAACUUUUAUGUUUUAUGAUAGCGCUUGAAGAGUGGUUCAGGUACGCACCUUAACUUUCUUUUAUGGCAAUUUGAUCUUGUUUAGCAUGCAAAUCUUUUGAAAUCACCUAGCCUACUUAGGUAUCCAUAAUUAACCGAUUAAUUGUCAUAUUCCCCUUAACUUAGUGAGUAGAGACCUUUAUAGGGCUUAGAGGGGUGCUACCUUUCAAAGGUACCUUCCCAAUAGGUAACCUGAUCCCCGGACUUAGACUCGGGUUUUUCAAAGACACGCUUUUCCAAAAAUUAUGGAGUCAUUUUUUAGGGUUUUAUUUCUUGUUUUAUUUUCCCUUCAAAAAUAAAAUAAAAUAAGUGGCGGCUCCAACUUUUUUUCAAAAAUUAAUUUUUCACAAAUAAAAAGCGAGUCUCGCCAAUCGAGUGGGGACGCACGUGAAAAAUGCGGGUCCACAAUAACGUGCUCUUUCCAUUUCUUGAAAUUUGUGCCGUUAAGCAUAGGAAUGUUAUUAACAUUUGCAGAUAUAGAAGAUGCUGAAUUCAUAAUAAUAAAGCUCACAAUCAGUCACAUAAGCAUCAUACAUACAUGAAUAAAUAAACAUCACAUAAGAUACCUAGCACAAACAUUAAUAUUCAGUCUUUGGACAAAAAUAUUAACUUGUAAUUGACAUCCUUAUACAAAAUUAAUUCAUAAAUAUUGACAAUAAAAAACCGAAAACAAUAUGUCUGUCUUUGGACUAACAUAUCGAAUGCAAAAUAAACAUUAUAUGUCACAUAUUUAUGACUACUUUAUUUAUCAUUAUAUUAAAAUAAUCUUCCUUUGGGCCGAUUAUUUUAAAUAAUAAUAAUAACAUGUUUAGAUAUUGUAAAAUAAAUAAAUUAUAUAAUAUAAGUUACUUUGGCAACUGACAUACAUAAUUCAUUUAUUUUAAAAUACAAAACACAAAUAUAGCAAGAAAUAAUUUAAUUAAAAUUAUUCAUCUAUUUAUUUAUGCAUAAACUUAUGUAUACAUCCAUACCAAUUGAAGCAUAAAAGCAUGUAUAUAUAUAUAUCAAUUAAAGCAUAAAUACAAGUAUAUAUAUAUAUAUACCAAUUAAUGCAUAAAAUAGAGACUUGGUGUAGUGGUUCAGCCGUGGGCUUGAAUUUAAAGGGAAACAACCCAGGUCAUGGGUUUAAGCUCCCUUGGUGGCCUUUCCUCCAUUUUUAUAUAUAUACAUGUAUAUAUACCAAUUAAUGCAUAAAAUAGAGACUUGGUGUAGUGGUUCAGCCGUGGGCUUGAAUUUAAAGGGGAACAACCCAGGUCAUGGGUUCAAGCUCCCUUGGUGGCCUUUCCUUCAUUUUCCACCUUUUUUUUUUUUUAAAAAAAAAAAACAGCACGACACCUAAAGUGCGCCCUAAACGACGCUGGAGACGGCACCAGAGACGACACUGAGAGUGGCGCCUCGGAGCGUGCCCUAAUGGUGUUGCAAAUGGGCGCUUGGAAGCCUGCCUCAACGGUGUUGUAGAUGGCGCCUCAACAGCGCCUGGACUGAAUCACAUGAGAAAAUAUGUCACAAAUCUCUAUAGAAAUGGUACUAACCUGAAUCCAUUUGUGUGUUUGAUGAAGACGGUAUGGAUCUUCUAAAAGCAAUUGAGGACACCACAUCUUACACUAUAUUCUCUCAGGCAAUGGGAGCGGGAGAGAGAACGGUUGUUUUCUACUGUUCAAAGAUGUGAUGAUUGUGAAAAGACACAAGCCUUGGUCCUUUUAUACCCUCCUGCCUUAGGGACCAUACCCAUUGAUUAUUGGGCCUCACGGGCCUUAGGUCCAUCAUCUAAAACCCGUGAUGGUAUUAGGCUCUACACAUUAGGUGACCCAUACUCAAGAUUAAAAUCAGAUAUUAUAUGUUAACAGAUAGCUUAAUCCUGGACAAUGUUUAAUAUAAUGUCGGUCCACAUUUAUUCUAUCAUUUCAUACUUCUUAUCUUCUAGAAUUUUCCAUUCCCUUAGCCACUCCUUUUUUCCUAGACAAAUUCAUGAGGAAAUCCUCCUCUCUAAUGUGAUGACCCACUUUGUUUAAAACAUUUUUAAUUCAUCCCCCAUGCUCAUCUAGGGUCUUCCUGUGAUAAUUUUCACAUACUCUUUUCAUGACCAUUAAAAAAGUGAUCAAAUGUAAAAAAAAAAAAAAAAAAAAAAAACUAAGACAAAGCAGUUAGUGCACCUAUAAUACGAAAUUAAAUAUAUAUAUCAACCAAAAAUUAAAGUUCAAAUUCAUGAAACUAAAAUCAAAUUAUUAAUCAUGUGCAAUCAAACAUAAAAAAAAUGUCAAUCUCAUGCAAUCGAGAAAUUAAAAAAGAAAAAACAUUCUAAUACUCAUCUAACCCUAAAACCAUGCAAUGUGAAAACAAAUCUAAACUCAAAUGUACAAAAAAAAAAAAAAACCAAUCAAAAUCAAGCCAAAUAAAGCCCUAAGUUGAAAAGACUAGAGGUCAGUAAUCAUCACACUAAGGAUCUUCAAAAAGUCCCUGUAUCUCUAAAGAAAAUCCAAAGGUAGUGAUCGAAAGAAUUGCAAUGGACCACCGAUGAUGACUCAAAAAAAUAGCUUAUAUAAGGACCCUAAGGCUACGUUUGGUUCCCGGAAAAUGCGAGAGAAAGAAAAUUAGAAGGAAAAAUGGAAGGAAAAAAAAAGCUGAGGAAAUGAAUAUAAAUUUAUUCACUUGUUUGGUUAUCCAUAAAAAAUUCAAGGGAAAAAGAAAAGGAAUUCAUUUUCUUUUGUUUGGUUAACCACAAAAAAAAGUAAAGGAAAAAUGGAAGGAAAAUAAAAUCAACAAUUUGUUUUAGAUGGUUAUCAAUUUGUUGAAUAAUAAAAAAAUUUAGGAAAACAAAAAUUGAACUCUUGGAGUAGAUUGGUAGAAAGAUAUCAAUCUCAUUCAACCCUCCCUCGAAUUGUAUUCAGUGAUACACACUACUAUUUGUAGUUAGACUAUUUGAAUUAAUAAAAUUGAGAAAAAAAAUAUUAACAAAUUUUCAUGCCUAGCGUGUUAAAAACCAAUAUUUUCAUCUUUAUCUAUGAAUGUUUUAAUGAUUUUUUUUGUGUAUACAUGCAAAUUGUAUAUUGGUAUGUAGAUAAUUUUUUUUUAAUUUUUAAAAAUAGAAAAUAUUUAUUACUUCGAUAUAAAAUAUUUAAUUAUUUUUACUAAUAAAAAUAAAAAUUAAUUCAAAUAAUGUAAUUAUUUUUGUUAUUUGAAUAAUUUAUUGUGAUUCAUUUCAAUUGUCUUACUAUCACCCGGUGUAUCACUUAAAAAAUGAAGAGAAAAAUUAUAAUAAAUAAUAUUUUGUUUCGGGGUGGUAGCUUUUGUCAACUUUUCACACGAUCCUGGGAUGCCCCAUAAAACUAGUGACAAUAUGAUCGAGAUUGCAUAUAGCUUCAAGCAAGCAACUAAGAUUAGGAAGCCAACUUCAUUUAAACCUUGAAGGUUUAGAACAACUCCUAUCAGAGUUGUACUACAUAUAUCAGUAUCAAGAACUCUUCUCUCUAGCUGGUAAUCCUGCACUAGAAAGGAUGUUAUAAUAAUCUGCUCAAUGUUUUGAAUGAACUAAGAUGAUAUGGAGGUUGCCAUUACAGUGCACGACCCUCUGAAUAAUCACUCAUUUAUCUGUAAUGAAACAUGCAGAAUUCAUACAUAUGUACUAUGAUCAAUGUAGAGAUACAUGAGCAAAAAAGACUAGAUAAAAAUGUAAAAACGGGUAUCAAAACUAAGGUAAAAGUAGUUGCAGAUUUGAUUAUCCUUAAGUUGGUUUACACAACUUCUAACAACAGCCAGCCACUAAAAUUAGCCAACUAUACAGAGUGCCACUCCACAACCCUAUGAUGCUAUCUAUACAAAACAUAUCACCUUAAGCACCUGAGGCAAUCAAACUAAACUCUAUGCUCUGUUUAGUAGCCACAAAAAUGUAGAUAAUAAGAGAAAUCAAUUAAAGAAGUUCAGAAUUUGAAAUUCAAUUUGUGAAUUAUCGAAAACUCAAGAAACAACAAGCUGGUCUAAACCAAAAAAAGCAUAAUUUCCUCAAUUUUUCAGCUAACCAAACAAAGGAAUAAUUGAAUAACAUGCUGAAAAGAUAGAUGAACUUGCUUUGCCUGCACAAAUAAUAGAAAAGUAAAUUAGGUAAAAAGAAAUGGAAAACCCAUACACUAUUUUAGUUCAAAUGAAUCUCUAUUUUAGUUCAAAUGCAACAAAUGGGAUCACCAUUGAGGUUCCUUUGAUACACUAUUUUAGUUCAAAUGCAUAUUGAAUUUGUGUAUCAAGUGGCACAAUCAUAACUUGUCAUCCUUCCUCCAACUAAUGAACAUAAAUCUAAAUGAAAAAGCAGUACUUGAAUACUGCUUGGUGUGGAAGACAUCACGUGGUGAACCAUUUCUUAAAGCUUGCAUGUCAAAGUUCAAAUGCAUUAAGAUGCUAGAUUUAUCGUAUUUGAACUUUGACACAUUGCCAAAUUCUAUCAGUAUCUAAAGCAUCUCAGACUUCUAGCUGGAAUGAGAGGAUAAAGAAACUUUCAAAUUCAAUAUGCAAGUUGUUUCAUCUGCAAAGGUUGUCGCUUUUCAAAUGUGAGGGAUUUGAGAAUCUGCCCAAGGAGUUUGGGAACCUCAUCAGUUUUGAGGAAUUUAUGCUUCACCACGAAACAGAGGGCUUUGAUAGGGAUAGGACACCUAGAAUCUCUUCAUAUUUUAAGGAUUUACGAAUGUGAAAAUCUAGAAUUUCUACUUCAAGGGACGCAAAGCCUCACUGCCCUUCGGUCAUUGGCUAUUGGCGGUUGUAGGAGUUUGGAGACUUUGGCACCUAGCAUGAAACAACUGCCCUCGUUAGAGCAUCUCAUGAAUUUCGAUUGCGAAAAGCUCAAUUCACUGGAUGGAAAUAGGGAAGACCAUGUUCUAGGGCUCGGGAAUCUACGAGUUUUGAUGCUUAGAAAAUUACCAAAGUUGGAGGCAUUGCCAAUGUGCAACCUCACAUCCCUUGACAGACUUGUGAUUAGAGAAUGCCCUCAAUUGACUGAAAGAUGCAAGAAAACAACAGGGGAGGAUUGGCAUAAAAUCUCUCAUGUCUCAGAGAUAUGUAUCGAUGGCGUCAAAACACCAGAAAAUUAAGCAAGGUAUAAAAAUCUCUCAUAAAAACCUUUCUAGAUCCUGGUAAGCUGAACCUGUUUUCUUUCUUAAUUAGUGUGUCACAUUGUGAGGAGAUGUUUCAAGCUACCCUUGCUAAUGUUGAUCACCAUCUGUUUAGGAGGGAGUGAUGGUAGUAUGCCAGUAGCCACAACACAAAUAAACCCGAAAACAACAACCAUCCCCUUUUCUCCUACUCAAACAAAUCACAAUCCCCACUUCCCAUUUGAAAACACAACCCCAAUUAUAGCAUAUCCCACCUUUAAGCCCCUCACAAACCAAAAGACAGGACAGGUUUAUCCCUAGAUACCAGAAAGGCUUGACAAUAGAAGACAAUUGAAAUUGACAGAAUAUAGCAUAUCUAAGCAUUUAUCAAAAGCUUUAGACAAUAAAAUAGCAGUGCAAAAACAGUUUUCACAAUCAAGAGAAUUACUUGUAUUUAUUUUAGUAAGAUAACAAUAAUACAGAUGAAUGACAACUUCUAGUCAAGUUUCUCAUUUAGUGUCAUGUGAUUAAUUUCACAUUUGAAGAUAUAUGGAAGGGUCCCAUCGCAGCCCACUACCAAAUUUAUUGACUAUUUUCAGUUCGUUUUAUUAUUUAAUCUAUUGGGUCUGUAACGCAACAUGCAUCAUAAUUUUGUUUUUAUGGUAACAUUUCUAAUCAAGAGAGUAGAAACUGAUAUUUCUAACAAUCCAAUGUUAAACCGUCCAAAAAUUGAUGCCACAAACAAUGAUACAAAACAAUAACCAAGCACUCAGAGGCAGCAACAACAUACAUAUAUGCAAUACACAACUGCAGACCCAUUUCCCCAACCAAAUUAUGAAAAAACCAUCGGCUACUAAACAAUAGUAGAACAUCAAGGGUAAAAAUUAGACCAAAUCCAGAAAAGCAACAAGCCAAGAAAGUUUAGAAAAAUUAUGGCGAAAUUUAAGAAACGGGAAAUGCAAAAGCAACCUAGAAACCCAAAUAGAGAACCCAAGAGAGAGAGAUUACCUUGGGUUCUGGGUUUUCACAAGAUGAGGUGGAUUGGAGUUCAAUUCAUACCUGAUCUGAAGACAUGGAUCUGAAUACAUUCACUGGAUUUGAAGAAUUCAUUUCAUCUAUGGGAACUUGAUUUGAAGAACGCACUUCAUCCAUGGGAACUCGGGUGCCUGAAAAUGGUAGGAUUUCGACACUGGAAGGUGGUCAGAGUGAUAGUGGUGGCCGUUGAAAGGGUCGACGACGGUGAGAAGCCAUAGCCACCGAUGAAGAGGAAAUUAGAGGUGAAACCUCGGUGAACAAGAGCCCGAUAAAAUUUUCUCCCUCUUUUCCCUUCUAUUUUUCUCUUAUUUUCCUCAUUAUUUUUUUAAGGAAAAUAUCACAAUAUUUUCUUUAAUAUUUUCCUUUAUAUCUUUUUUUCCAUCAUAUUUUCCAUGUCAUCCAAACUAAAAAAAAAACCAUUUUUCUCUGCAUUUUUUUUCCUUUCCUUAGCAUUUUUCGAGAACCAAACAUAGUCUAAGAUCACAAACAAGUAACAGAGGAUGAAUGAUGACUAACUUGAAUAUCAUGUGCCAAGAGGACAAAAUAGAGGAUUUACACAAAGAUAUAGUGUUUGAUGGAACUAAAAUGACCCAAUUGAUAAAUACAAGUGAUGGAGAAAGUUUGAAAUUGACAAUACUAGAUAGAUUGCAAUUUGAGGUGGAGCUUGUAGAUUUUAAAAAUGUUCAAAAUCAAGGUUUGGAUUGAGAACCCGAUGGAAUGGAUAGAGAUGAAGUUGUUGAUCAUAGUCAUGAGGAAAAUACAAAAUUUGAUAGCCCAUACAGUCUGGAUAAAGACAGGCCUAGAAGAACAAUUCGCCCACCUCAAAAUUAUGCACAAGAAAAUUUAAUUGCUUUUGCAUUGACUGUAGCUGAAGAAUUAGAUGAAGUUGAACCUGCAACAUAUCAAGAAGCACUGAAAGGAAAUGAGAGGCAACUAUGGCAUCACACCAUGGUAGAAGAUAUGGAAGUACUGAUUAAGAAUAAGACCUGAACUCUAGUUGAAAAACCAAGGAAUCAAAAAAUAGUAAGCUGUAAAUGGAUUUUCAAGAAGAAAUAAGGGAUUAUGGGGGUUGAAAAGGCAAGAUAUAAAGCUGGAUUGGUUGCUAGAGGCUUUACACAAAGAAAAUGGGUGGAUUAUAAUGAGAUCUUCUCGCCAGUGGUGAAACAUUCUUCAAUCAGGAUGAUCUUACCUUUGGUUGCUGAUAGAAUCAUGGAAUUGGAGCAGCUAUAUGUCAAAACGACAUUCCUUCAUGGUGAACUGGAAGAAACAGUUUACAUGCAACAACCUGAGGGGUUUGUGAAGGACAAAAACAAGGUAUGCUUAUUAAGAAAGUCUCUAUAUAGACUAUGCUGUGAGUUUGGUAAGUAGGUUCAUGGGAAAUCUGGGGAAGACCCAUUAGGAGGCUUUGAAAUGGAUACUAAGGUAUCUAAAGGGAACACAAAGAACUUGUCUGAUAUAUAAAACUGGAAGUAAAGGUGAUGAUCCUCUGAUUGGGUAUGUGGACUCAGACUUUGCAGGGAGCAUAGGCACAAGAAAAUCCUUGACUGGUUAUAUUUUUACGUUGCUUGGUACUGCUAUAAGUUGGAAAGCAAAUUUACAAGUUGUGGUUGCUCUUUCGACAAUUGAAGCUGGAUAUUUUUUGUUGUAACAGAGGCAAUAAAUGAAACAAUUUGGUUAAAAUGUAUAAUUGAGGAGUUGGGACUAAAACUUAAAGUGUUUUGUGAUAAUCAAAGCACAAUACACCUGACUAAAAAUCAAAUGUUUCACAAGAGGACAAAACAUGUUAAUGUUAAAAUGCAUUUUGUAAGGGAAAUAGUGGCUGGAAGAAUUGCGGUAGUGGUGAAGAUAUCAACAGAAGAUAAUCCAAUUGAUAUGAUUACAAAAACAAUAACAACUGGUAAGUUUAGACAUUGUUUGAACUUGAUUAAUGUUCAAGAAUGCUCAAGCCCUCUGAAGGUCGGUCACCUCUUUGAUAAGAAGAAAUUAGGGGCCAAGGUGGAGAUUUGUUAUAAGUGUGAUGCAUAAAUUUCUGCCACUUGUUAUCUGAAAUGGUUAGUUAGUUAGUUUCAUUUUUUUGUUAUUUUCUCUUGUAACCUGAACCAUUUAUAUGGAAAGAGAAAGAAAGCAUAGCAGAGAAAAGAGCUUUUGAUUAAAGAGCUUUUGAUUUUCCAGAGAGUGCAUUUUUUGUGUGUAAUUCCAAGACACAACAUUUUUUCAUUUUUUUGUAAAAAGAGAAAGUAUUUGGAAAAUCAAAUUGAAAAUGCAGAGUGAAAUGCAAUAAACUUUUUGGCUUGAUAAAGAGAAGCUUUCUUAAACAAGAUUUACAAAAGAAAAACUGAUCUGGAAGACUAGAAAUUGCAAUAGGAUAAAUUAAUCGGAUGAAUUAGAUAAUUACAACAUCGGUCAAGUCAUAUCUGGAAGUGUUAUUAGAAGAGAACUUCGAAACAUGAAAUCGUUAAGUAAGAACCACACCUUGAUACUAUAAUGAAACAUAAAUUAUUCAGUAGCACCUACAUUUUAAUUGCGAAAUCAAUUUACAGAUCCUCUAUUUUGUCCUCUUGGCAUAUUCCAUUCAAGAAUGUCUUCCUAUAUCAUUUGUUGUCUUAUUGUGUACUUAUGGUUAACUACGUCAAUAGUUAGUUUUUUGGAUUUUUUGGAAGAGACAUUUUGGAGAGAUUAGGUGGAUCUGAAUCUUGAUUUUAAUGACCUUUGAUUCUUAGUUUAGAAUUUUUUUUUUUGAUUGAUUUAUAGUAUAUUUGCAUUUGUUUAGAAUUUUAAAACCUAAUUAAUAAUUAGUUUCAUUUAUUUUUAAGAAAUAAAGUGUAAUAAGUGUUUGAUAAUGAAUUAAGACAAAAUCUUCUAUAAUUAAGGAUUAAUAUGAUUCAAUUACUUUGUUAAAAUCAUUUUAUAAAUUAUAGAAUUUGAUAUAUUAACUAUGUUUAUUAAUUAGAUAAAUUGAGAAUUAAUAUAUUAUGAUCAUUAAAUAUAUGUUUUAAAAUUUUAAAUCAUGCUAGAACAAUAUUUAUUUCAGUAUUUUAUGAACAUUAAAUUAAAAUAUAUAUUUAAAUGACUUGCAAAUAUUAAAUUAAAUUUUAAAAAAUAAAAAAUAAUAAGAUGAGUUAUUUUUUAUCUAAUAACAUUGCACUAAAUAUCCAUUUUCAUAACAUCUUAGAUUUCUAUCUUCUUUAUCAUUCUCAUAAUCUAAAAAAAUAAUUAUAAAAAAUAAUAAGCGCUCCUUCAGGCAUCAUCCUCUGGUGCAUCAGCUCGCCCAUUAGUCCAUUAAUUUUAAAGAUUCCCUAACCGUUCGUAGCUGCUGCACCUAGACCCUACUAGCUUACACCUAAUCCCAUCGCCCAUAAUCCUAACCCAUUAGCCUUUCAUAGCUGCAACUGCAAAGUACCUACCCAGACCCUACUAGCUUACACCUAAUCCCGUCACCCACAAUCCUAACCCAUUAGCCUUUCAUGACAACAGCUGCAAGGUAGCUGGACCAGUGAUCCCUUACCACUUUUGUAGCUGUUGGAGAGUUUUGGGUCAAAACGUCCCAUUUAUGAAAAAUAUAUAUAUAUAAUAAAAUAAAUAAAUAAAUAAAAUUAGAUAUAACUACUUUAACAAACUUAUAUUUUGGCAUAAUGUAAAAUUCAUAUCAUUAAAAUAUAUAUAUAUAUUUAAAAAUUUUAGUUAAAGUCUCAAUUGAUAACUAAGAUUUUAUUUUUUAAUUAAAAUCAUAGUUGCCAAUUAAAGUUUCAAUUUUUAAACUAAAGCCGUAAUUUUUUUAAAUAAAACCUUAUUUGACAACUGAGAUUUCAUUUUUGAAUUAAAACCUUAAUUACCAAUUGAGAUUUCAAUUAAUUUUUUUACAUUAAAAUUUAAUUAAAAAAUAUUAAAUUAUAAUUUAUCAUUGAAAUUAAAAAAUAUACUUUAAUAAUAAAUUAUUUAUAUUUAAGGUUAAGAAUAUAGUAUUACUUCAAUAAACAUAAAUUGAUAAAUAGAAUAUAUUAUAAAUGAAUAUUUUAUUUAUUAAUAAAUUAAUAAUCUUAAAAUAAUAAAUUUAUAUAACAUAUAAAUAAGAUAUAACAUUGUAUGAUUUAUUAAUUUAAGUAUUUAUUUGUUGUUUUUUAAGAUAUUAAUUUAUUUGUAUUAUGAUAUAUAUAUAUAUAUAUAUAUAUAUUACUUUCAAAUUUAAUUAAAAAAUAUUAAAUUACAACUUAUUAUUGAAAUUAAAAACAUAUAUUUUAAUAAUAAAUUAUUUAUAUUUAAACUUAAAAAUCUAGUAUUACUUCAAUAAACAUAAAUUGAUAAAUAUAAUACAAUAAAUGGAUAUUUUAUUUAUCAAUAAAUCAAUAAUCUUAAAAUAAUAAAAUUAUAUGACAUACAUAUAAGAUAUAAAAUUUCAUAAUUUAUUAAUUUAAGAUAUUUAAUUUGUUAUUUUUUAAGAUAUUAAUUUAUUUGUAUUAUGACAAAUUUAUCUUUAUAGAAAUAAUAAUAUACUCUUAAGUUUCCAUAUAUAGAUUUUUUCACAAAAAUAGUUAAUGAAAUUAAUUAGAAAAAGUCUACUAUAAAAUAUAAUUUUUAAUAGUUUUAUCAAAGUUACAAAAAAUACUCACUAAACAUUUAUAUACUGGGAAAAAAAAACAUAUAUAAUCUUAUAUGCUUCCAUAAGGAGUGAACAUAUGGAUAAAUUUAACAUAAUACAAAUAAAUUAAUAUCUAAAAAACAACAACAAACUAAAUACUUAAAUUAAUAAAUUAUACAAUUUUAUAUCUUAUUUAUAUGUUAUAUAAAAUUAUUAUUUUAAGAUUAUUAAUUUAAAAAUAAAUAAAAUAUUUAUUUAUAAUAUCUUUUAUUUAUUAAUUUAUGUUUGUUGAAGGAAUACUAGAUUCUUAAACUUAAAUAUAAAUAAUUUAUUAUUAAAAUAUAUAUUUUUAAUUUCAAUAAUAAAUUAUAACUUAAUAGUUUUUAAUUAAAUUUUGAAGUAAAAAAAAAAAAAAAUUAACUGAAGCCUUAGUUGGUAAUUGAGGCUUUAGUUCAAAUAUGAAGUUUCAAUUAUCAAUUAAGGUUUCAGUUAAAAAAUAAAGUUUCAAUUGAUAAUUGCGACUUCAAUUCAAAAAUUGAAAUGAAGACUCAGUUACUAAUUGAGGUUUCAAUUAAAAUUUUAAAUAUAUAUAUAUAUAUAUAUAUAUAUAUAUAUAUAUAUAUAAAUUUGAACAUAAAUUUCAGUCAUUACAUAUAAAUUUUUUAUUUUUAUAUAUUUAAAUAUGGGUCAUUUUGACCCAAAACGCUCUGUUAGAGCACCACAAUGAAGCCAAUAUCAACUGCUAAAGUCACACCUCAUAGCCACACAACAAAGAGUCUCAUCAACUGUCUCAUCUCUCUGCCACAAUCCAGCUUUAUGUCACAGGAUACUUCAAAUGAACCUCCUCAUGGGCUUAUAUAGAGCCUAGGAAGCUUAUGGAGACUCCUACACUUAGCCAUUAGUGAGAAGAGUGUGGAAGGUUCUAGAGAUGCCUAGAGAAGUCCACACAUCUCUACACUAAGGUGGAAGGCAUGAGAGGAGUCCAAAGCUUUCUAUAGAAUUAUAGAGGUCUCUUGUAAAUAGACUUGUACAUAGAAUGGUGUAGGGUGUUCUAGAAUAUUCUUGAAUUGUAAGGAACCUCCAAGGUGCCAGAGAGUUCAAUUGGUACCUAUAAAUAGGUGAGUGUCUCAUUUGGCCAAGGCACCAAGCAAGUGAGUUCCCAAAAGCACUUGUAAAGCUUCUUUUGAGUAAUAAAAGCUUUCAUUCUUUAAGCGUCACCUACUACGCCUUCUAAAACUUUAUAGUCGUGAGCAUCUUAGCCUAGCAAAUUAAGCAUUGAGAGUAAGGUUGACUUAGCAAGAUCGAGUGUCUUGACUUGUCUAAGUGCCACACGAGCUUAGGAAAAUCCUAAGUUUAUGACAAGUGGUAUCAGAGCGCGGCUAUGAAGCAAGCAUAGUAAAAGAAGCAUGUCGGGCUAACAUAUAGGAGACUAGAGAGCAAACCCGUGGGAGGGAGAUCAAGCCUAUUGCACAAGGUAGGAACAAUAAGGAUAAAUCUCAUGAUGUCAUAGCCAACAUGGAGGCAAGGCUAGCCAAGGUGGAACUAGCCAUGGCAAACACUUGGGAGGGGUGGACUUGAUUAAGCAGGGCAUGGAGAAGGGCUUAGAAGAUCUAAGGGAACAAAUACAAGACCUUCGUGAGGGGGUUCUAGGCUCACAAGUUCAACCGGUGUCAUACGAGGAGUUCAUGUCAUUCCAAGACAAGGUCAUGAGCAUGUUCGCUAGUAUAGAGUCAAGGGUGGAGGCCUUGGUUGCACGCAUGAAGACCUGAGACUAGGAGAUUCGACAAGAAAUGACCAUCUAUAAGAUUGCGAUAUCAAUAUGAGUCAUGGCUACUCAUGAGGCACCAAGAGUGGAGAUGCCCAAGCCACAUACGUUCAAUGGCAAGAGAGAUGCUAAGGAGCUGGAUAACUUCCUAUGGCACAUGGAGCAUUACUUUGAGGCUAUUGCACUGACGGAUGAAGCCACUAAGGUACGCACCGCAACCCUCUAUCUCACUGAUAAUGCUACUCUAUGGUAGCGUCGGAGGUUUGCCGAUAUAGAAAAAGAGAUGUGCACCAUAGACACAUGGGAUGUCUUUAAGUGAGAAAUCAAAAGACAAUUAUACCCUGAAGAUGUGGCUUACCUAGCGAGGAAGAAUAUGAAGCAUCUCAAGCACAUGUGCUUGAUCCAUGAGUAUGUCAAAGAGUUCUCUACGCUCAUACUUGAGAUACCUAACAUGUCCGAGGAGAAGCUACUGUUCAAUUUCAUGGACAACCUGCAAAGCUUGGCUAAGCAAGAGUUGAGGAGACGUGGUGUCCAAGACCUAGCCAUGACCAUGGCAGUAGUAGAGUCCUUGGUGGAAUAUAAAAGGGAAGACUCCUCCAAACCCAAGCCACAAUCCAAAAGUAAUCAUGCUAAAGGUGGGGAAGACAAGGGAUCACGAGGCUACCCUUCUAAAGAAGGAUCAAGCAGAGGCCCUAGUGGCAAUGAUGGAAAAGGCAAGGAUAAAUGGAAGGAGUUCAUGCCUAGGACCAAUUGCUUCUUAUGUGAUGGUCCACACUGGGUACGGGAUUGUCCCAAGAGGAAAGCCUUAAAUGCUAUGAUCGAGGAAAAAGAGAAGGAAGACAAUGCUCAUGUAGGAUCAUUACAACUCCUAAACACCCUCAAGGCCAAGUUGGUGCCUACGAUGCCUCAAAGCAGAGGAUUAAUGUAUGUAGAAGCCCUUGUAAAUGGGAAUGCCACCAAGGCCCUGGUGGACGCCGGUGCCAUUCAUAACUUUGUCUCGGAGGAUGAGACAAAGUGACUAGAGCUCCAAGCAUCCAAAGAAAGAGGUUGGCUUAAGACAAUUAAUUCCGCUGCCAAACCAUCACACGGAGUAGCUCACGGGGUGACUAUGCACAUCGACUCAUGGGAAGGAAAUAUCAACUUCACAGUGGCACCCAUGGAUGCCUUCAAGAUGGUACUAGGGAUGGACUUCCUAUAAAAGGUCAAGGUCGUGCCACUACUCUUCCUACGCUCAAUGGCUAUCUUAGAGGAGGAGAAUCCAUGCAUGGUCCCUAUGGUCACCGAAGGUUCAUCCAAGACCCCUAUGUUAUCAGCUAUGCAAGUAAAGAAGAGAUUAAAGAGAAAAGAGGUGACAUACCUUGCCACCCUUAAAGAAAAAAAGGAUGAUGGGUCGGGAGAACCCAUGCUUAAUGAAAUCAAGGAAAUCCUUGAUGAGUUCAAGGACAUGAUGCCGCUCGAGUUGCCCAAGAGACUUCUUCCUAGGAAUGAGGAAGACCAUAAGAUCGAGAUAGAGCCGAGAGCUAAGUCUCUAUGCUAUGAGACUAUACAGGAUGGCACUGCCCGAACUGGAAGAGCUAAAGAGACAACUUAAGGAGUUGUUGGACGCAGGGUUCAUCCAACCAUCCAAGGCUCCCUACGGCGCACCGGUCUUGUUUUAGAAGAAGCAUGAUGGGUCCCUACGGAUAUGUAUCAACUACCGGGCACUCAACAAGGUAAUGGUAAAGAACAAAUACCCUAUUCCGCUCAUCGUUGGCUUGUUCGAUCAACUUGGUAGGAUGAGAUACUUCACGAAGUUAGACUUGAGGUAAGACUACUACCAAGUAAGGAUUAUGGAAGGGGAUAAACCGAAGACCACAUGUGUGACCAAGUAUGGCUCAUAUGAGUUCUUAGUGAUGCCCUUCGGUUUCACCAAUGCCCCAACAAUGUUCUACACACUCAUGAAUAAGAUCUUCCAUCCAUAUCUAGACAAGUUCAUGGUGGUAUACUUGGAUGACAUAGUCAUCUAUAGUAACACCUUAAAGGAGCAUGUCGAGCAUUUAAGGAAGGUCUUUAAAAUCCUAAGGCAGAACGAGCUAUAUGUAAAGAAGGAGAAAUGCUCAUUUUCUAAGAAAAAAGUUAGCUUCCUAAGGCAUCGCAUCAAGGAUGGCAGACUAAUGAUGGCUAAUAGUAAGGUGAAAGCCAUCCAGGAAUGAGAUUUACCAACCUAGGUACCUUAGCUCAGAUAUUUCCUUAGUUUAGUUAAUUACUACUGGCGGUUCAUCAAGGGUUAUUCGGUAAGGGCAACUCCACUCAAUGAUCUUUUUAAGAAUAACAAGGCAUGAGAAUGGGAUGAAAGGUGCCAACAAGCCUUUAAAUAUCUAAAAAAAGUUGUGACUGAGGAGCCAGUGUUGGCACUACCCGACCACACCAAGGUUUUUUAGGUACACACAGAUGCCUCAGACUUCGCUAUUGGAGGAGUCCUUAUGUAAGAUAGGCAUCUAAUCGCCUUCGAGAGUCGCAACCUAAAUGACAUGGAGAGGCACUACACGGUGCAAGAGAAAGAAAUGACCACCAUCGUCCAUUGCUUGCGCACCUAGAGACACUAUCUUCUAGGGUUUCACUUCAUAGUGAAGACCAACAAUGUUGCCACUAGCUACUUCCAAACACAGAAGAAGUUAAGCCCUAAGCAAGCUAGGUGGCUAGACUUCCUGGCCGAGUUCGACAAUACGCUGGAGUAUAAGUCAGGAAACAUUAAUCAUGUGGACAACGCCCUAUGCUGUAAGACAGAACUAGCAUCUAUGAUGAGUCAGCCCCAAUGAGACAUAAUGAAUCUUCUAAGGGAGGGGCUACAACAUGAUCCAGUGGCUAAGAGCCUCAUAGCCCUGGCUGGUGAAGGGAAAACUAAGUAGUUUUGGGUAGAAGACAACUUACUCUACACUAAGGAGAGACGACUCUACGUGCCUAAGUGAAGGAACAUAAGAAGGAAUCUGAUUAAGGAGUGUCAUGACACCAAGUGGGCUGGGCACCCCGAGCAAUGACGCAUGAGGGUAGUACUUGAGUUGGCUUACUACUGGCCUCAAAUACGAGAUGAAGUUGAGGCCUAUGUGAGGACUUGUCUUGUGUGCUAGCAAAACAAGGUGGAGCAACGACAGUGUAGAGGCCUGUUAGAACCACUACCAAUAGCAGAGUGCCCAUGUGACAAUGUCACCAUGGACUUCAUCAUCGAGCUACCCAAUUCGGAGGACAACGACUAUAUCAUAGUAAUAGUGGACAUGUUCUCUAAGUAUGCGACCUUCAUCGCAUCCCCGAUUGACUGCACUGCGGAGGAGAUGUCGAGACUAUUCUUAAAGCACGUAGUCAAGUAUUGGGGGUUACCUAAGUAUAUUAUCAAUGAUUGCGAUCCGCAUUUCAUUGGGAAGUUUUAGAUGGAGCUUUUCAAGCUUAUGGGUUCGGAGCUUCACUUCUCCACAAGCUUUUGCCCAUAGACAGAUGGGUAGACUGAGAGAGUGAAUGCCUUAUUGGAGCUAUACUUGAGGCACUUCGUGAGUGCCAACUAGAAUGAUUGGGCUAAGUUGCUAGAUAUAGCCUAGUUCUCAUACAACUUGCAAAUGAAUGAGGCAACCAACAAGAGCCCGUUCGAGUUAGCCACAUGGCAGCAACCCUUAACUCUUCACACACUAACGAUAGGCUAUACAAGGAGAAGUCCAGCGGCUUUCAAGUUCGCAAAGGGAUAACACGAGCAAGUUGACAUAACACGCUCAUACUUGGACAAGGCCACUAAGAAAAUAAAGAAGUGGGCUGACAGGAAGCAACGUCACACGGAGUACAAGGUUGGAGACAUGGUGUUUGUCAAGCUCUUUCCUCAACAAUUCAAAUCCCUAAUGUUGGUGCAUAAGGGCCUUGUGAGGAGGUAUGAAAGACCCUUCCCCAUACUUGGGAAGGUCGGCAAGGUGUCUUAUAAAGUUGAGUUACCACCAAGGUUGAAGAUUCAUUCCGUCUUUCAUGUAAGUUACUUGAAACCAUAUCACGAAGACAAGGAUGAUCCAAGCCAAGGGUUUUCUAAAAGGGCACCUACAGCGGUCGUGACCUCUUAUGACAAGAAGGAAGAACACAUCAUCACAUAUCGAGUCAUUAUAAGACGAGGUGUGCCUCCUACUACAGAGUACUUAGUGAAAUGGAAGAGACUACCAGAGAGUAAGGCUACCUGGGAGCCAGCAGAUGCACUAUGGCAAUUCCAAGAGUAGAUUGAGCAGUUCCGGGAAAAAUGCACGACAAGGAUGUUUGCGACUUAAAUGGGAGAAAGUGUCACAAGAUGCUUCAAAUGAGCCUUCAUAUGGGCUUAUAUAGAGCCUAUGAAGCUUUUGGACACUCCUACACUUAGCCAUCAGUGGGAAGAGUGUGGAAGGUUCUAAAAAUGCCUAGAGAAGUCCACACAUCUCUACAUUAAGGUGGAAGACAUGAGAGGAGUCCAAGGCUUUUUAGAGACUUCUAGAGGUCUAUUGUAAAUAGACUUGUACAUAGAAUGGUGUAGGGUGUUCUAGAAUAUUCUUAAAUUGUAAGGAGCCCUCCAAGGUUCUAGAGAGUUCCAUUGGUGCCUAUAAAUAGGUGAGGGCCUUAUUUGGCCAAGGCACCAAGCAAGUGAAUUCCCAAAAGCACUUGUAAAGCUUCAUUUGAGCAAUAAAAACUUUCAUUCUUUAAGUGUUGCCUACUACGCCUUCUAAAACUUCGGAGUCGUGAGCAUCUUAGCCUAGCAAGCUAAGUAUUAGGAGUAAGGUUGACUUAGCAAGAUCAAGUGUCUUGACUUGUCUAAGUGCUGCACGAGCUUAGGAAAAGACUAAUUCUAUGACAUUUAGCUGUCUAGGACCACAUCAAUACAGCCCCCGUCAGCUACUCAUCCCUACAAUAAUUCAACAUGCAUCAUCGACUUUUGGGGCAAAAUAGCCAUUUCAUGUAAAAAAAGAUAUCAGUUUUAGCCCCCUUACAAAACUUAUGUUCAAAUUGGCCCCUUUAUUGCCACAUAGGAGUCAUGUCAUAAUUUUUUUAUUUUAUAAAAUUUAAGUUGAAGCCUUAGUUGCCAACUAAGGCUUCAUUUUUGAACUGAAGCCUCAAUUGCCAACUAAGGCUUCAUUUUUUAACUAAAGUCUCAGUUACCAUUUGAGGUUUCAGUUAUUUUAUUUUUUUAGUUUAAAAUUUAAUUAAAAAUAUUAAAUUUUAAAUUAUUAUUGAAAAUUUAAAAAAUAUACUUUAAUAAUAAAAAUUUAUAUAUUUAAACUUAAAUAUCUAAUAUUACUUCAAUGAAGAUAAUUUGAAAAAUAUAAUAAAUAAAUAUUUUAUUUAUCAAUUAAUUAAUAAUAUUAAAAUAAUACAAUUAUAUGACAUAUAAAUAAAAUAUAGAAUUAUAUCAUUUAUUAAUUUAAGUUAUAUCACAUGUAAUAUUAGGGAGGGAUUUUUUUUUUCCAUUAUAUAAAUGUUUAAUGGGUAUUUUUUUUUUUACUUUGAUGAAAUAACUAAAAAUUACAUUUUGUCGUAGAUUUUUUCUAAUUAAUUUCAAAAUGUAUUUUCAAGACAUAUAUAUUAUGUGUACAAAUAAUAGUAUUUUUUAUGUUAAAUUAUAAAUAUAUGCUUUAAAAUUAAAAAAAAAUCUAUAUAUGGAAACUUAAGAAUAUACAAUUAUUUCAAUAAAGAUAAAUUUUUCAAAUUAAAAAUAAAAUAAUAUAUUAAAAAUACAACAAAUUAAAUAUCUUAAAUUAAUAAAUAAUAUAAUUUUAUAUCUUAUUUAGAUUUCAUAUAAUUUUAUUAUUUUAAGAUUAUUAAUUUAUUGAUAAAUAAAAUAUUCAUUUAUUAUUAUAUUUAUUAAUUUAUCUUUAUUGAAGUAUUAUUAGAUCUUUAAGUUUAAAUAUAUAAAUUAUUAUUAUUAUAUAUUUUUAAUUUCAAUAAUAAUUUGUAAUUUAAUAUUUUUAAUUAAAUUUUAAAGUAAAAAAAAAAAAAUAAACGAAGCCUCAAUUGCCAAUUGAGGCUUUAGUUAAAAAAUGAAGCCUCGAUUGGCAAUUGAGACUUUAGUUCAAAAAUGAACUCUCAAUUGGCAGCUGAGGUUUCAAGUUAAAUUUUGAAAAAAAAUAAAAAUUUGUGACAUGGUUCUUAUAUGGCAAUAAAAGAACUAAUUUGAACAUAAGUUUUAUAAAGCGGCUAUGUGACAAUAAAAUGGCUAAUUUGAACAAAAGUUUUGUAAAAUAGAAGCUAAUAUUUCUUUACAUGAAAGGGUUAUUUUGGCCCAAAACUUUGCCUCGACCCUCCCUAGCAGCCCCUCAUACAAACCAUAACCCUAGUCGUCCAAGCUACAUUGCACGAAGCCAUCCACUAGCUGUCCUUCCCGCCAUUUCACUAUCAAAAGCUCUCAUCUAAUAUGUCAUGACUGCAACAACCAUCCACCGGUUAUCCACUCUUUCUUCCAUUUCUCAUACCCAUGUCUCAAACUUCAACUUCCUUUCUUCUGCCCUUAGCUUUCUUUCUCUUCUUUCCAGACCAUAUGAAUCCACAUUAUCCAUCUUCAUUUUCCUAUAUUUUCUCUUUCAAGCUCUCUUUCCCAACUUCACAUGGUAGUAACAAAAACUCUCAUUCCCAUCAACUCAUUUCUUUUCCCAUCGUUGUGGCAUCUCUCACCCGCACCUCCAUCUACCAUUUUCUAGAAUUCAUCUGCAACUACUGGACAACCUAGGCUAUGCCAGAAGCGAAAUAUGGAAGAAAGAGAAGAGUAGCCUAAGCCGAGCAAUAGUUUUCUUCCUUACAUACCUCGUCGGGGUUGUUUUCAGUUUCAUAGUUGUUGUUUCAAUCCCAAGCGCUUCUCUCUACACUACUGACGAUAACUAGCUCACCAUCCUCUUUGACCUUUCUUGCGAAGUGAUCGAUGACGCCAUUGAUGAGAACUCCAACUUGAUCAGCAGUUUUCUUCAAAAUGGCUUGAGCUAUGUUUGCGAGAAGUUUGGUUCAAAACUUGCAUUUCAGACCUUGAAAGCUCCAUUUCUGGUUCUGCAAUUCUCAGCAUAGCUGGAAAGAUGAAGUACUUUGGUGCUGGUUUUCUUCCCCGACGUGUUGACAUUGCUGGAAAGGUGAAGUUUGGUUCAUUGUAUCUGUUUUAUUAUGACCUCUAUUAGGGAUCUUUGGAUAGAGAAAAACUAGAAAGAGAGCAAAAAAAAAAGGUCGAUUAUUGUUAUUAUUAUUAUUAUGUUCUUUGGAGGUUUCCAGAGGGAAACUGCCUCUGUUAAGGAUCUCUGGAUCUCUUCGGUUGUCAAUUUUUUUUUGGUCUUUGUUGAGAGAAAAGCUAGAAAGAGAAUAGAGAAAAUGAUAGGGUUGAAAGAUCUCUGGGAAGAGUGUUGAUGGCAUAAACACAAACAAUGCACAACCAUAUUUUAUCCCCUCUUGUGAGAACCUAAUAGGAAUCAAUCAAAUAGAGUAACAAGAAUUCACCCAAUCAACAAGUAUAUGAACACCAAAAAAUUUUAGCGUGGAAAACCUUCUCCAAUGUGAGAAAUAAAAACCACGAGACCCUUAGGCCACUUAAAAACUCCAUUAAUAUAAUCAAUGGGUUACACAAUUCUCUCUAGAUAAAAUUAGAGGCAUACAUCAACCAUAUCUCAAGACAAGUUAAUCUUGGCAAUUUCAACAACUUUACAUAAAGACAAUGGAAAAAUCUUACCAAACACAACCACUGUUCUCGGAUUGAAAUAUAACUGUUCCAAACUCCAAAUCCAAUCUCCACCGUUCAGAAUGAAGAUCAAUGAGUUAUGAACGUGCUCACCAAAAAUUAGCUCAAUUGAACCACAGAUUAACCUUGAUUGGAGCUCAUGAUCAAAACUGUCAGGAUAGAAAACUCACCAAAAUAGAGGCUCUAUUCUCGGACUGAAAGAAUCGCCCAAAACUCUAAAUCUAAUCUCCACCGUUCAGAUUGAAGAUCAAUGAGUCACAAACCUCUCAUCCAAAUUUUAGGUUGAUUGGCCCACAGGCGAAGCGACAUCGGACCUUUGAUGAAAUCUGGACAGUGAAGAAAAACUGAGUUUUUCUCUCUAACUUCAAAAAUGGUGGUUCUCCAUUUCUCUUUCUUUUCUCCUUCUACUCUCUUUUCUUCUACCUUCGGUGGCUGUAAAAAAAAUUGGAAGAAGAAGAAGAAGAGGGAUUCUUCUUUUAACCCUUUUAUAUAAAGACCUAAGAGGCCUUAAAUUUUUUGCUCUUAAUUUAGGCCUUUUACAUGAGGAAAAACCCAACAAAUAUCACUCUUUCCAAUUAUGUGGAGGGACUCAUCAUCCUAGCGAUUGAACAACAAACUUCAAGUUUCUCCCUUGAUAAGGACUUCGUUAACAUAUCUGAGUCAUUGUGAUUGGUAUGUAUCUUCUCAAGUUCAAACAAGUUGUCAUUGAGAGCAUCUCUCAUCCAAUGAUACUUUACACCAUUGUGCUUCGAUCUUGCAUGAAAGUUAGAAUUCUUACUAAGGUGAAUGGUGCUCUAGUUAUCACAGUAUACCACAUAGUGAUGCUGCUUAAACUCGAGCUCAUGUAUGAAACGCUUCAUCCACAAUAACUCUUUACAUACUUCUACUGCUACAAUGUACUAUACUUCUAUUGUAGAAAGUGCAACACAUUUUUGUAGUCUUGAUUGCCAAGACACAACACCUCCUAAGAAUGUUAUCAAAUAGUCUGAAGUUGACCUUCUAUUAUCUACAUCCCCUACCCUGUUUGAAUUAGUGUAGCCAAUAAGUACCGGUUUCCCACUUCCAAAAGUGAGUUUCAACUUGAAAGUGUCUCGCAAAUAUCUCAUAAUCUACUUGACUGCCUCCCAAUGUAGUCUUCCUGGAUUAGAUACAAAGUGACUAACAACACCAAUUGCAUAAGCUAUGUCUGGUCUAGUACAUACCAUGACAUACAUCAAACUUCCUACUAUUGAGGCAUACGUAACUCUUCUCAUGUCUUUCUUCUCCUUAUAUAUAGAAGGGUUAUGUCUACUGCUUAGCUUAAAGUGACUAGCUAGAGGAGAACUAACCACUUUAGCUUUGCUCAUGUUAAAUCUUUCAAGCACAUUUUCAAUAUAUUGCUCCUAUGACACAUACAGCUUCUUGGAUGCUCUAUCUUUCUCAAUUCUAAUACCAAGAAUUUUCUUUGUUGGCCCUAAAUCCUUCAUGGAAAAUGAUUUGCUUAACUGCUUCUUCAGCUUAUCAAUUCUUGAAACAUUUCUGCCAACAAUCAAGAUAUCAUCAACAUAGAGCAACAAUAUAACAAAAUCAUCAUCAGAAAAUUUAUGCACGAAUACACAAUGGUCAGAAGUAGUUUUUCGAUAGCUUUACUUCCCCAUAACUGAUUCAAACUUCUUAUACCAUUGUCUCGGUGCCUGCUUCAAGCCAUAAAGACUUUUCUUCAACUUACACACAUAAUCCUCUUUUUCUUUUAUUGUGAAAUCCUUUGGUUGUUCCAUAUAAAUUUCUUUGUCUAAAUCACCAUGGAGAAAUGCAGUCUUAACAUCCAUCUGCUUAAUCUCCAAAUCAAGACUAGCUACCAAGCCCAAAACUACACGAAUAGACGACAUCUUAACAACAUGAGAAAAAAUCUCAUCAAAAUCAAUACCUUUUUUUUUACUGAACCCUUUGACAACCAAUCUAGCUUUGUAAUGUGGCUAUGAAGUGUGUUCUUCUUGCUUCACUCUAUAAACCCACCUAUUCUUCAAAGUUUUUUUUUCCAUUUGGCAACUUGACAAGCUCAAAAGAAUGAUUCUCAUGCAAUGACUUCAUCUCAUCUUGCAUAGGAUCAACCCACUUCAUCUUAUUUUCAUCUCACAUGGCUUCCUCAUAACUUUCAGGUUCUCCCCCGUUAGUUAGUGAUACAUAAUCAUCAAUAGAAUACCGUGUGGAAGGAUGUUGGUCUCUAGUAGACCUCCUGAGUGGAAUAUCUGGUGGAACCUCUACUACUGGUGACUGUUCAUGAACAUCAUCAUCCAUCUCAACCUAUGUGGGAGUUUCAACAUCACCAAUGCCAUGUUGGUCAUCAUGUGCUUCAUCUUCAACCUGUGUAGGAAGAUGUGUCAAAGGAACUGGAUCUAAGUCAAUCAUAUUAUCACUAUACUGAAACUCUGUUGCAUCAAUCUUCUCAAUGUCCUAUAUGGUAUGAUCUUCCAUAAACAUAACAUCUCGGCUUCUUACAAGCUUUUUCUGUACCAGAUUAUAAAACCUAUAACCAAGCUCAUCUUAACCAUAGCCAAUGAAUACAUAAGGUCUUGUCUUAGCAUCAAGCUUAGACCUCUCAUCUUUCAGAAUGUGCACAAAAGCCUUGCAUCCAAAGACAUGCAAAUGAUCAUAAGAAAUUUCAUUAUCUGACCAAAUUCUAUCCGGAACAUCAAAUUCUAAAGAAACACAUGGUGUAAGAUUGAGAACAUGUACAACAGUAUUCAAAGCCUCACCCCAAAAAGAUCUUGGCAACUGUGACUGCGAAAGUAAACAUCUCACCCUUUCAACCAGUGUCCUAUUCAUUCUCUCAACCAACCCAUUCAACCAAGGAGUCUUAGGAGAUGUCUUUUGAUGUUGAAUACCAUGUUGUCUACAAUACUUAUCAAAAGGACCAAAAUACUCACCCCCACUAUCAGUCCGGAUGAAUUUCAAUUUUUCAUCAAAUUGUCUCUCAACAAGAGCAUGAAACUGCUUAAACACCUCUAACACUUGGUCUUUUGUUCUCAAGGUAUACACCCAAAUCUUUCUUGAAUGAUCAUUUAUAAAAGUUACAAAAUAUAGAGAUCCACCAAGUGUUUUUGUUUUCAUAGGACCACACACAUCAGAAUACACUAAAUCAAGCAUACUUGGCUUCCUUGUAUGACGGUGUGUUUUGAAUGCAACUUUAGUCUGCUUUCCUACUAAGCAAUCAGCACACAUUUUCAGAGAUCCCUUCUUCAUACCAGAAAUAAGAUUCUUCUUAGCCAAAAUCAUCAAGCCCUUCUCACUCAUGUGACCAAGUCUAUUAUGCCAAAGCUCAAUUGUGCUAUCAUCAUCCACUGCAUUGAUACUAGAAUCAAUUAUGCUUGCCUGCAUCAAAUACAAUGAGGAACACUUCUUUCCUUUUGCUACCACCAUAGAACCUCUGGUGAGCUUCCACUGACUAUCACGAAAGGUGUUGCAGAACCCUUCAUCAUCAAGCUUCCUUGUGGAGAUUAAAUUCAUGCGGAUAUCCGGAAUGUGUUUGACAUUCUUCAAAAUCAACGCAGUACCAUUACUAGUCUCCAAAAUCACAUCUCACAUACCAAUGGCAUUAGCUGAGCCAUCAGUACCCAUCAUAACACUUCCAAAAUCACCAGAUGUGUAGGAUGUAAAGAAAUCUUUCUAAGGUAUAUCAUAAAUUGAGGCACCACUAUCAAUCACCUAACUGGUCUCCUGGUAAGCAAAAUUAACAACAUCACUAUCAUAAAACAAUAAGGAAAUCUAAAGUGGUUGUGGCAACUCAAUCAUCUUCACCACCAUUGUCAUUCUUUUUGUCCUUCACUUUCCCUUGUUUCAUAUCUCUCUUCAAUUGGCGACAAUACUUCCUUAUAUGCCCUUUCAAAUAGCAAUAGUGACACCCAACAUUGGCAAACUUGUUAGUCUUACUUUUGCUUCUAUCUCUGUUUUUCGAACCUCUACUCUUACUCCUCGUUUUUUUUUUUUCAGUAACUAGGACAUCUGACUGUGAAGAAGAACCCUAUGACAUUCUUUUCAUCUUUUCAUUCAAAACACAACUCUUAACCAAAUCCAUAUUCAUAGUACCAUCUGGGGCUGAGUUAGACAAAGAAGUUCUAAACGUCUCCCACGAAUCUGGCAAUGUACCAAGAAGCCACAACCCUUGCAUCUCUUCCUCAAACUUGAUAUUCAUUCUAGCCAACUGGUUAAUAAUACCUUGGAAUGUAUUCAAGUGAUCUGUCAUAGGAGUUCUAUCUUGAUACUUCAAGCUAAUCAUCUUCUUGAUCAGAAACAAUUUAUUGUUACUAGACUUUCGAGUAUAUAACUGUUCGAGCUUGUUCCAUAGACUCCGUGCAUGUUUCUCUUCGCUAACAUGAUUGAGAACAUUAUCAUCUACCCACUGUCUGAUAUAAUCACAAAUUUGCCGAUGAAGUAAAUUUCAUUAUGCAUCAGUUUUAUUUUCUGGCUUUUCAGAAGCAAACACAGGCAAAUAAUAAUCCUUCACAUACAAUAAGUCUUCUAUCUUUAUUUUCCAAACAUGAUAAUUUGAUCCAUUCAGAUUAAUAAUUCUACUUGUAUUGUUUUCCGUUGUUCUACACAAGACACAAAUUAUCUUGAACCAAUGCUCUGAUACCACUUUGAUGGGAUAAACAUAAACAAUGUACAACCAGAUUUUAUCACCUCUUGUGAGAACCUAAUAGGAAUCAAUCAAAUAGAGUAACAAGAAUUCACCCAAUCAACAAGUAUAUGAACACUAACAAUUUUUAGUGUGGAAAACCUUCUCUAAUGUGAGAAGUAAAAACCACGGGACCCUUAGGCCACUUAAAAACUCCACUAAUAUAAUCAAUGGGUUACACAAUUCUCUCUAGAUAAAACUAGAGGCAUACAUCAACCAUAUCUCAAGACAAGUUAAUCUUGACAAUUUCAACAACUUUGCAUAAACACAAUAGAGAAAUCUUACCAAACACAGCCACUGUUCUCAGACUGAAAUAUAACUGUUCCGAACUCCAAAUCCAAUCUCCACCGUUCAUAAGGAAAAUCAAUGAGUUAUGAACAUGCUCACCAAAAAUCAGCUCAAUUAAACCACAGAUUAACCUUGAUCGGAGCUCAUGAUCAAAACUGUCUAGAUAGAAAACUCACCAAAACAGAGGUUUUGUUCUCUAACUAAAAGAACCGUCUAGAACUCCAAAUUUGAUCUCUACCGUUCAGAUUGAAGAUCAAUGAGUCAUGAAUCUCUUUUCCAAAUUUCAAGUCGAUUAGCCCACAGACGAAGUGGGAUUAGACCUUUGAUGAAAUCUGGUUUUGCUUUUUUUUUUUUUUUUUUGGUUUGGAUCAAAUCAUUUUAGAUAUGACGAUUAUAUUUUGUUCUCCUAUUGUUGAUCUGUGUUUGGUUAUCUUGAAAUUCUGAAAUGAAUUUUUUAUAGUCAUUGCAUUUUCUACCUUGAUUUGGAUUUUUUUAAAAAAAAAAAAAACCUAAGAUCAUGACUUCUAGUAAUUCCUUGUUGAUUUAUAUCAGAUUUGUUUGAAGGCUUUUUUAUAAUAGUUUGUUCAUCUGUUUUUUUUUAGUCCUAUGGAUUCAGUUGUCUUGAAAAAUUAAGCUGUUUUUUUUUUGCCUUAAAUUGAUGUUCUUUUGUAGAUUUUUGUUUAGGAAAGUCUAAAUAGGUUAUCACAUGAUUAGAGAUUCAUUGUUUUAAGUGCCAAUUAUUAAAAUUUGAUAUAAUCGUCUUCAAAACUUUGGAUCUAGACUUUUUCCCCUUUUUCUUUGUGGGUAUUUGGUUUGUUUUGUUGCAAUCAUAAAUUGAUGUUUCUUGUAGAUCUCUAUUUAGUAACUUUUGACUAGGUUAUCACAUGAUCACAUUCAUUAUUUAAGGCAUCAAUUAUUAAAAGUUGAUGUGAUUGUUUUCAAAAUUUUUAGAUCUAGGCUUUUUCAUUUAAGAACUGUUCAUUUUAGUUUUUCUCGUUCUGCGUGGUUGAUUGGUGAUUACUUGGAAUUUCCAUGAAUCUAAUUUAAUUUAAUAUACUUAGAAUUUUAACUUUAUGAAUUUAAAUCAACUCGAUUGAUCGAAGUCCUUAUUUUGCAAUUUUUCUCAAAUCCUUGUUAAUUAUAAUGGUUAUAAAGGAAAAUUUUCAGAAUUUUGCUCAAAUGGCACCUUGAGUUUUUGCAUAAGUAGAAGUUCAUCUUAUCUUUUAGUCUUAAUUGUUAUAGGUUGAUCCAAAAAUUGUAAAGAAUUUAGAAUCUAGAUUUCUCAGUUUUAUUGUGUUAUGUUAAUCUGAUUAUUAUAUGUGGUUAAUUAGUAUCUCACUUGAAAUUUCUAUGUUGAUUCAAAAUAUUUAGAUUAUAGUUCAUGUUGACUAAAUAUAAUCAAGUUGUAUUUUUUGUAAUUUUAAAUGAGUUUUAAUUACUUUUAAACUUGGAUUCUUAAUCAUUCUUUAUUUUCCACCAAUUUAUAAUAGCUUGAUGCCAUUUAGAAGCAUGAUGGGAUCUAUUGACUAGUUGGUUUAGCUUUGUUAAUUUGUAAUUUUUUUUUUUAAUUUUGAUAAUUUAAUUAACAGUCAAGUAAUAGACAAUGUUAAUAUAUAUUGCUUUGUUGGAAUUUGCUUAUUUUAAGAGUUUGUACAAGGGGAAAUCAAAUCUACACCUAGUAAUUGGAUUUAAUUGAAGACUUGGAAUAACCUCUUCUUGAUUUACAUUGAUUUUAAGUUAACAUAAUGAGAUUUAAUUUGAUAGUGAUCAAAUAUUAUACUUGGAAUUCUUGUCCAUUGGUAAGUCUUUCCUUUUCUUUUUUUUAAUUGUAUCUUGGGAUGUCAAUAAAGAUGGAAUUCCAUUUGUUUUUAAUGUUUGUAUGGUUAUUAUGUGAUAAUGAGAGACUUUUGGACUAAUACAGAAAUGGUUGAAUAGAUGAGAAACAAAUGAACAACCAAUAAUUCUAGGAAGUGAGGAUGGAUGUUGAAAGGGUUGUGGAAUGUUAGGGUAUUAAAAUUUUAUAAAUUAAAUAUUGUCUUGCUAAGAAACGCUAUGCCUUGCUAAGCAAGGUACUCAAACUUUCCCCUCACCUUUCUAUUUAAAAUAAGGUCUAUGGGAGAACUUUGUUUGCAAUUGUUAGAUGUGAUGAAAAGCUAUAAUAUGUAACGGUUAUAGUGCAAUUUGUUAUUUAUUACCUGCUACUUAACUUUUACAAAAGCGCAUUUAAAUGCUACCAAUGUAUGGUUUCUUUGCCUUAUUUUUUUUUGUAUAUAUUAGUAUCUAUGCUUAAUUCCUAUGAUUGGUUGACUUUGCUUUGUUUGAUCUUUGUGUUGAUAUGUCCUUAUUGAUAUUGAGUGGAAUGCAUAAUGUAUACACAAUGAUAUUAUUGUCGGUGAACUAAUUCUUUUGUUUUAUGAAAGCACUUAAUGGACUAUGAAGGUCACUUAAUGGACUAUGAAGGUUUCUUAUCCACCUUUUGUGAUUAUUGCUCAUUGAGUGUGCAUGUUUUGAUAUAUUCUUUGAUCCAUGAUAUCCAUUGUUUUACCCAUUCAUUAUCAUAAUUACUCCAACUUACUUAGUAGAGACCAAUUUUAGGGCUUAGAGGGGUGUUACUAUUAUGGUACCUUCUCGACUAGUAAUGGGACCCUCGGGUUUUCAAAGAGAAGCUUUUCCAAAACAAGGAGUUGUGUUUUUUAGGGUUUUGUUUCUUAUUUUAUUUUUUCUUCAAAAAAUAAAAAUAAAUAAAUAUUGACUCCAAUAUUGAUAAAUUAGUUUUUCACAAAUAAAAAAAAAAAAAAAGCCAAUCAAGCCAUCAAAUAGGAAUGCAUGCGAAAAAUGCAAAUCCAUACAAAUAUACAAAAGUUCAUUUAUUUAGACACUAGACCUGGCUUAUCAACCACUCAACUAAAGAAAAGGGACAUGUUUUCCAAUGAAAUAAAAGAGCAGCUCUCGGUAAUAGGAGUUCAAGUAGAGGAAAGCAAUGAUGCCUAAGAAUGUCACUCCAUAUGAUCCUCCAAAACUCCAUAAGAAUAUGGCUUCCCAAGAGCUAUUUUCUCUGUUGUUUGAAACUGGUGGUUUGAGUGCAGGUGGGGCACUGGUCGGAGUGCUACAUCGCUCUAAUGGCAGCCCACAUAGAAGAGGGUUGCCCUCAUAACUGCUUUGUUCAAAUGUUGCAAAUUGAAACUUCCUCUCUGGAGUCUUACCUGAUAAAUUGUUGUGAGCGACUGUGAAGACCGUCAAGAAGUUUAACUCUACCAUCUGUGGUGGAAUUUGACUUGUCAAUCUAUUGUGGGAUAGGUCCAAGCUUUCUAUUUCCUGUAGGUUGGAAAAUGUCUCUGGAAUUGUUCCUAUCAACUGGUUGUAUGAUAAGUUUAGACUAUGAAUCCCACUUAGAUUUCCAAUUUCCGGAGGAAUUGGACCUGUCAAUUUGUUCCCUGAAAGAUCCAAUCCAGACAUGAGGUACAAGAUGUUUCCCAUAUAAGAUUCAGACCAACUCUUCGUUAUGAACUCUAUUUCUUCACUUUCAGCCGAAAUGCCAAAACUGAUGUGAAUAAACUGGACCUUAGCAAAUUGAUUUUUAUAUGAAGAUGGAUCUGGGAAAACAUGAGUCCCACCAAAUGCACUGGUAAAAAAUGUGCCAUCCAUUAAUGGAGCUUUCCUUCCAAAAGUGAUAUUAUCUAGGCAAGAAGGUAUAGUUCCGGAAAGAUGAUUAUGAGAAAGAUCCAGUAUGCUGACUGAUUUGAGCUGACACAAUUGAAGAGGAAUUGAGUCUUCAAGUUCAUUUCCUUUCAAGAGAAGAACCCUCAAUUUUGAAAGCAAACUAAUCCAAUGGGGAAUUGGGCCUGAUAGUUUGUUAUCCCUCAAAUUCAAUGUCACAAGAGAGGUAGCUUCAGACAGAACAUGGGGUAUAGGUCCUGAUAGUUCAUUGUUUUCCAAAUGUAAAAACUUCAUUUUUUUUAGAUUGGCACAAGGCGGAAGGGUCGGGCCAAUUUUGUUGUGAGAAAGGUCUAAAAAGCGUAGUUCAUUGAGUUUGCAAAGGCUUGUUGGCACAACACCAUCCAAAUGAUUUCUAGACAAGCUAAGUGUGCUCAAGACUGAGAAGUCUCCAAUCCAAUUUGGAAUUUGACCCCACAACGAGUUAGAGCUGAUAUCCAAUGCUUGUAGUGAAGAACUAUUCAAAAAUCCACGAGAAAUCUCUCCUGAGAAGUUAUUGUUAUCCAAAGACAAAAAGAAUAAAUCUGUCAAGUUCGAUUUUGUAGGAAGAGUGCCAUGUAAACUGUUGUUGGAUAGCUUUAAAACCAAUAAUGAGAUGCAACCCAUCAUCAUGUGCUCAGGUAGUUGUCCCGAGAGAUUGUUAUUUGACAAGUCUAAAGAUACCAACUGUUCCAUGUCUCCCAUUGAGGAAGGAAUAUUACCUUGUAAUGCAUUUCUAGACAAGUUUAAGACCUCCAACCCUGGAAAAAUUGAGCCGAUGAAAGGUGGAAGCUCUCCGUGAAUGCAAUUCGAGGAGAAAUCAAGCAAAAGCAUGUGGGAAUGUUUUGAAUUUGAGGGCAAAUCUAGAACACCCGUCAAGCUGUUACUUCCAAAGCUUAGGUAUUCUAGUUUCGUAUUAUUGUCUAAUAACCAGGUCGGGAUAUCUCCUGUUAUAUUGUUGUGGCUAAGGUCGACCAUUCUCAAAUCGUAUUGACUCGGAAGAAAGCUGGGUAACACCCAGCUUGGCCAAUUGAGGGUGCAGUUGGAUAAUCGGAGGAUUUUCAAUUGAAAUAGAGGAAAUGACCAUAUUGGAUUUUCAGUCUCAACCUUCAAAUACUUGUUAUUGCUUGCAAGGUCGAAAACCACGAGCCUGGAGUGGUUAAACAGUGAACCAAAAUGGAUUGAACCCUCGAAAUGAUUAUCAGAAAGAGAAAUGUACUCGAGCGACUUCAGAUUGGAGAAGAGAGAUGAAGGAAUAGUUCCACUGAAAUCAUUUUCGGAUAGGUCAAGCAAACGUAGGGAUGUCAGAUUGUUGAGACACGCAGGAAGACUACCCUCAAAUCCAUUACGACUAAGAUCCAACGCUUCAAGGUUGAGUUUGCACAGGCCUGUAAAGGUGAAACAUGUAAUUUAUAAUUACAAUUAAAAGCAGUGGCAAUAACUAAAAGGAAAAAUUAUAUUCUGGAUUAUCUUGUCUGUAGAUAAUUUUAAAUAUUUUUAUUAAUAAUAAAUAUGUUUACACUCUCAAUCUUUUUAUUUCUUGUUUUAGAAAAUAAAAUUCCCUAGCAUUUUUAAGAAGCCAAACAUGUAUAUGUUAAUAUCUAAAAUGCCAAAGAAAAUUUCAUCAUUCAAAUCUGCAUUUAUAAUUACUACACAUCACUACUAUUUUAUUUAAAUUUUUUUAAAGUUGUGUGACAGUUAACUAGGAAAUUUUAGUGGUAAAAAGCAAAUUAAGGAGAUGCAGAUGGAAGACUAUAAUGGAAAAAAAUGUGACCAAAAAAUAAAAAAUAAAACACUAGGAAAAUAAGAUAGGGAGGAAAAAUAUGAGAGAAAAAAGCAUAGAAAAAACAAAAAUAGAUUUGUGCUGGUUGCUAGAAAGUUUGAUUAAAAAUGGUAAGGCAAAAAAAUUGAGUGUAGGUAAAAAGAAAGAAAAAAUGGAGCAAAAUAAAAAAUGACUUUAAAGUCUAUAAAACUUCAAACUUUUUCCACUUACUUAACUCUUAUAUAUAAAAAUUAAAUAAUUAAAAAAUAUAUACUUUUCUUUCACAAUAAAACCAAAUAUUAAAAAAUCAUUUUUCUUAAUAUUUUAUUUUUCUUUUCCUAAUAGUGUCCAAUAACCAAAUAUAACAUUAAAGUUAAUAAAUUAUUUUUAUAUAAUACUUCAAAUUCAAUUAACUUAUUAUAACUUUUUUAUAUAAAGAUUAAAUAUUUUGAAAAUGUAUAAUUUUUUUACUAAUUUUAAUUAUAUUUUAUUUUAUUUAUUUUUUUAUAUUUUCACAUUACAAACAAAUAUGAAAAAAUUAUUCUUCUUAUUGUUUUUAUUUUUUAGAACUUUCUAGAAACCAAACAUAGCUUAAGAUUUACUAUAGUACAAUCUUGAACAUGAUUAAAUUGACCACAAAGUGGACUUUACGAACUGAUUCUAUGUAACUUCAUGUAAGAAGGGACAAGUUUUGGGAGUUAAAAUUGACAUGCAAAUCAAGUAGCUAAAACCAUUCAAGGGACUCAAAUUUAGCCGAACUCCAUAUUAUUUAUGUAUAUACGUAUAUUGUUUAUCAAACUUAAAGUAUUAAAAACUUGUUUGAUAAUGAUUUUAGAAAACAUUUUAAACUUUUUUACCACUUGAAAAUAACUUUUUUGAUGAAAAAAUUGAAGUAUUAAAAAAGUUAUAAAUGCUUCAUAGAAUUACUAUCAAAUAGAUUCGAAAUAUCCAACAUAGAACUACAAACAAAUCACAUUUGUGUUCUUGAGUUCCUUGUAUCAAACUCAAAAUCGCCAACCAAUCAAACUUAGAAUUUUCAUAAACCAUACUUGUUUGUGAUACUCAACAUGAUGUAUGUACAUGUGUAUGCAUUAUCAAACUUAAAAUUAUCAAUCAAAUUUAGAAUUGUGAAUAAGUCAUACUUUUGUAUAUAGGUGUUACUCAAUGUGAUGUGUGAUCAAAAGUUCAAUUUAGAUCAAAAGUUGAUGAAUCAUAAAAGAAGUACAAGGUAAAAAUUAAAUGAUUAAAAAUAUAAUUUUAAAUCAAAAUAUGAUAAAUCAUAAAAAGUACAAUGUGAAAUGUAAUUAAAGAAAAUUUAGUUGUUUCAAUUUUAUUUGCUAUCUCUAAUAAAGCUUGUUCUACAAAUUGGAAUAAAUAUAUUUGCAACUUAUAAUAACACUCACAUUGGAACUAGUUAACAAAUCUAUGUUUGGAAUCCAUAAAAAAUUCAAAAUCCUAGCCACUUACCUUCCAUGGACAAAGAACCAUUUAAAUUAUUGUAGCGAAGAGUUAAGGAUUUAAGAUGGCUCAAAGUGCUAAUAAUUGGUGGAAUACCACCCAUUAAACUAUUCCACUUUAGAUUCAACACCUCUAGCCUGCUCAAAUAUUUUAGUCCUAUCAGAGAAUGGACAAAUAGGUUAGUAUUAGGAGCAAAUCAAAGGUAUACCAAAUGUUUUUUAUUAGAGUUAAGAUGCACACACCUUCCAACUGGGAAGAAUUUAUAUGAUUGUCGCUAAGAUCCAGAACCUUGAGUGAAGGUAGGGCACUUAAAAUUGGAAUUGUUGUCAAAAUAUUCCCUUCAACAUUUAGAACUCGUAAUCUUUUCAAUCUUAGUAAGCCUUGAAUGCCUACAUUAAUAAAUGAAUAAUAUUUAUACUUAUUGCUAUGUAUUUGAAAGUUCCAAUUAAGUUUUAGUUAGUGGGUAUAAUAGAAACAUUGAUAAGAAUAUCCAAGACAAU
rnacentral:lncRNA from 1 species